rnacentral:lncRNA from 1 species
GUGAAUAGUGUUCGCCAAAAGAUCUGCCAAAAAUCCCCCGAGUAUCAAGUGUUUUUGAAUGAUCUUCCUGGGAAUGACUUCAACACCAUUUUCAGGUCCUUGUCUAUCUUCCAGAACAAACUGAGGGAGCAACUUGGACCCGGCAUUGGACCAUGUUUUUUCACUGGAGUACCUGGUUCUUUCUACGGAAGGCUUUUCAGGAAAAACAGCCUUCAUUUUGUACACUCUUCCUAUAGUCUGCAAUGGCUCUCUCAGGUUUAGUUUAUAUUUUAAUGAAGUACAGUAUAAUAUAAUAUAUCUGUAAUCAUUUUAGAAUGAAAAAUAGCUUAAUUUAUGAGUGGACUAUUUUGAUUUGAUCCAGGUUCCUCGAGGGCUGGAAAAUAAUAAAGGGAACAUUUACAUGGCUAGCACAAGUCCACCAAACGUGCUUAAGGCAUACUAUGAGCAAUUCCAACAGGAUUUUUCCUUGUUUUUGAAGUGUAGAUCAGAGGAACUGGUGGAUGGAGGGCGUAUGGUUUUGACAUUUUUAGGGAGAAGAAGUGAUGAUCCUUCAAGCAAAGAGUGUUGUUACAUUUGGGAGCUUUUGGCCAUGGCUCUCAAUGAUAUGGUCCUUGAGGUAUAGAAUGAAUAAUUCUACUCACCGUUGCUGGGAAUUGAACCGUACAUUUGCAGGAUAGGAUAUACAAUCUUUUAAAGAUAACUAUAUGAAUCAAUCAUAUUUAGGUUAUUCCAUCAGGGAUAGUUAUCAAUUGGACACUAGUUGAUAUUAUCUAUAUAUAUGAGCCACCCCACCUACCUAUGUAUCUUAUCAUUUUCCGGAAGUGGAAAUCUGAUAGUGUCUGGCCAAUAAACUAGUAAACUAGGGAGUUAAUUUCCUAAAGUAUAUUUUGCUGCAUAUAUAUAUAUAUAUAUAAAGUUGAUAAACUAGAUAUUAAUUAGAUAAUAAAGAAAACAUGAAAUAAAUGCAGGGAGUGAUAGAAGAAGAGAAACUGAACAGCUUCAACAUCCCACAAUACACACCAUCGCCAGCAGAGGUUAAAUAUGAGGUUGAGAAGGAAGGGUCGUUCAGCAUCGAUCGACUGGAAGUAACUGAAGUGAAUUGGAAUGCUUAUCAAAACGAAACUGACUUAUCUGAUGCAUUUAAAGAUGGUGGGUACAACGUCGCCAAGUGCAUGAGAGCUGUGGCUGAACCACUGCUUUUCAGCCACUUUGGUGAAGCAAUCAUCGAUGAAGUGUUUCGAAGGUACAGAGAAAUUGUUGCUGAUCGCAUGUCCAAAGAGAAGACUGAGUUUGUCAAUGUCAUUAUUUCUCUUAAAAAAGCUUGAUUAUUAUUCAUCAGUGGUUAUCUACCGUGGAACCCCACCACCACCACAAAACAAAUAAAUAUUAUGUGGUACAAAUGAACUGUGCUACGCCACUGUAUUAUCCGAUCAAGAAUAAUUUCAUGCUUGCAAGUUGUUUGUAAAAUUUUACCACUCUUUUUUUUUAAUUUCUAAAUACAUUAAAUUAUAAAAUUUACAAACCAAUACCUAAAAUUACAAAGUCAAAGUUGACAAAUUAUCAGUUUUCUUUCUGGUUUCAAUGUCAAAAGUUUUAUAAUUAAAAGCUAAAGAAAAUCAACCUUAGCCACCAGCCCACCACCUCAUAAAGGAAAAGAAAAGACACUUUCAAUCCAAUGUAUUUUCAUCCAAGGAAACCACAAAAGUUCUAAAAUAGUUAAUAUAGACUAUAUAUCUAUGCAGGAUAAAAAUUUUACCUAUUCCAAAAUGUUAAAAUUUAUUCUUAAUGCUAUUAAUUUUGUAGAAUUUAAGAAAAUUGAAUUUUUUUUUAACAAGUUCACAAUGGAGUUGAUGGAAUUUGCAAUAGAGAUAUGGUUAAAUAUUAGUGCUUUUGUCGUUGAGCCACAGGUUCGAUUCUUCUUCUGGGAGGAAUUGAACUUAGGAUUUAAGAAUGAAAUCACAAUUAUCUAACCAUUUAACCAAAAAAGCCAAUGUGUCAAAAAUAUUAAUUAAAAAAAGAGAGAGUUUAAAACAACAUGAAAUAAAAAUAAAAAUGGGAGGGAGAGGAAUUGAACCUGAAAUUGAAGGACAAAAACACUAACAUUUAACUAAUUGACCAAAAAAGCUAAAUUAUCAAUUUUUAGUGAAAACGCAUCUUGUAGGGCACGUUUUCAGUAGAUGUGACUGAAAGCGCACCUUAUAAGACGUGUUUUCAUUGACACAAUAGAUAAGACGCGUUUUUCUUUUUUCUAAAAAAAUAGUAUAAAUCGAUAAAUUAAAAAAAAACUAAUUUCUCAAAUAAGUUUUUUAUGAAUUAACCCUGAUAAAUGAGAGGUAGGUAAAAGAAAAUUCGUGACACAUAAGCUAAGUAUUAUUAUUAUUUAAAAUUGGUUUCGUCUAAAAGGUAAAAAAACCUAAUUGUAGCACAUAAGCUAAGAAUGAAUAGUUUUUGUUAAUAAAUUAAGUACAGAAAAGUAUUACUUUAGUUGUAUGUUUAAGUAAAGAUAGAGAUUAAGUCCACGUAGUGUUAAAAUUCAACUACUUCAUAAAUAAUUUAAUGUAGUACUUCAUUUAAAUAACGUUAUUAAUAUGACGCCCGCGUUAAUGACAUGUUAUAACUACAUUAUUUUAUUUUAUUUUUCUUCAAUCGAAGAAUUUGCCUAUCUUCUGUCUAAACUUAAAUCUUAUUUUGUUUUUCUUCUCAUCAAAGAAAUGAAUUUUUUUUGGUUGUUUAUAUUAAAAAAAUAAAAAAAUAAAAGGGUUAUUUAACUAUAAAAAGUUUCAAAAUGGUUACACAACUAUUUAAUUUUAUCCUUUCUGGUCACUAGCUAGUUAAUAGUAAUGUCUUUUAAAAUUGACAUAAUAGUAACUUUAUCCCUUAAUAUUUAUACAUUUUGGAUCAACUAAGUCUUGAUUCUAAAAAACUUAACCCUCAACUUAUACAAAUUGUGUAAUUUGGGUAGUUCUAAACAUUAUAUAUAAAAAAACCCUCGGUAAAAAAAAUCAAUUGAGUUCUUAUGAAAAAGGUUCACUUAAUUGAGCCAUCAGUGACAAAAAAAAAAUAAAAAUCAAUUGACUUCUUUUGUUAACGGAAACUGUCAAUUGAACAGUUUGAUCGUUAACUGUAUCGAUGUGGCUAAUGAAAAACAUUAAAAGUUAACCACAUAGCUAUAUGUUCAUGAGGCAUGACAGGUCAGCAAAAUAUAAAAAUUAAUUUUUUUAAAAUAAUAAAAAUUGAAUUUCGACAUGGUUUUCUAAAAACUAAAAAAAUUCAAAAAUUAUGAACAAAAUUAUUGAUAAUUAUUUAAGAAUUAUAAGAUAUUAUAAAAAUAAAGUAUGAAAUUUUUUUAAAAAAAUUUAAAAAAUUAUUUAAAAAAACUAAUAAAAAUGUGCAUUCGAAUGUACCAAGACAAAUGGUUGUUCAGGUUUUAUUGAAAUUGGAUAAUUGAUUUUCCAGAUUCAUUUUAGAUGAGUUUAAAAUUAUAAAAAAAAUUAUAAAAUAUAAAAAAUAUUAAUAAUUAUUGAAAAUUUAUAAAAUUUUAUAAAAAUACAAAAAAUGUGAAAAUAUACUUAAAAAAUCGAUAUUUUAGAAAUUAUUUGAUUUUUUUGUAAUUAUAAAAUCGUUGGUCCAUAUUCUGAUGCAUGGUCUAAUCUUUUUUUUUUUUAAAUUUAUGCUUUAGCCUAAAAUUUUUAGUUAUAAUCUUUCUAAACUUUUAGUUUCUUAUACUUAUAAAUUGAAUUAAAAGUAAUUAUAUACAUUAAGAAUAAAUAAAAAAUUAUUUUUUUAGGUUUUACACAUUUGAAAAUUUUCAUAUAUAUUUUUUAAAUUUUUAAUAAUUAUUUAUAAUUAUUGAUUUCAUUUUUUUUAAUUUUGUACUUAUCCAAAAUAAUUCUAGAAAACCAAUUGUGGAGGCUGAAAUGAAUCUGGAAAACUUUUGUCCAGAUUAUUUUAUAUGUAAAUUCUUGCUAAUUUUUAAAAAGUUUUCCUUUUAAAAUUAUUUUUAUUUCUCAAGUCAGUAUACCACCAUACGACAACUUCUGGUGGUUUUUGUCUAACCACAAUUUAAUUGAUUGAUAGGUUUGAUUAAUGAAAGGGUCAAUUAAUUUUUUGAGUCACUAAAAAUUUAAUUAAAUGUAUUUUUUCAUAAAAGUUGAAUUAAUUUUUUAAAAUUUCACCUUUUAACUGAAAUAAUUUAAUGUAAAAUCUACGUAUGUAAAGCAAAGCUAUAUGUAGUACGUCAUUCAAAUAACGUUAUUUACAAAAGCCUUUUGGUUAAUGUAGCGACGUAAAAAUUUCUCUUUCGGUCACUAAAUGAGGCGAUUAUUUGAAAAUUUAAAAAUCGACUUUCGAUUUUAUUAAAAAAGGGAGUCGCCACCGAUCUUUUUUCUAAGUGUGACCGGACACCUAAUAAAUCAUCCUUUUUUAGAAAAGAAAACUUAUUCUUACACAAAAAUGAAGGCCGAAUUUAGGUCUACGUCAAAAGCCAGAGUAUCGUUGGGUUCGGGAGUCGGUUACGCGCGAGGAAGGUAUUAGCACCAUCGCGACGCCCAAAAUUGGUAUCUUAUUAAACACGUGUUGUCUUGAUUUUCAAAAAUACGAAUUCAAUUUGACAUUUAAGUGUGAUCCGAUUGACGGAAAUGAGAAGUUGUAAGUUUUUGGUUUUUUAGAAGAAUAUCCCGUUUUUAACACGAGCCGACUAACUUCACCCAACAUAGCGAUGAAAUCAAUGACUUAAUGUUAAAAUCGGUACAUUUCCUUAUUCUUAAAAUUAAAAUGUAAAAAGUUUCUAAAAUGAUAAUAAAAAAAAUCUAAGAAUAUUAUUGUAAAAAAUACGAAUAAUGAUGUGAAUAAUAUAAAAUAUUAAAAUAUCAAAAUAUUAGAAUAAUAAUAAUUAAUAUUGACAAAUAAAAAAAUAAAAUAGAUAUAAAAAGGUGUACAUAAUAUAUAUAUUAGAAAUAACAAUGAUGUUUAAAAAUAAUACUAUUAAUAAUACUACAUAAAUAUGUACAUAUAUAAAAAAUAAAUACGUGAUAAUAUUAAAAAUAUGUACAUAAUAUAGUGUAAAAAAUACAUACAUAAUAUAAUUAAAAUAUAUACAUAAGAUAACAUGUAAAUAUAUAUAUAAAUAAUAUAGUAUUAUAGAUAUAUACAUAAAAUAGUAUAAAAUAUAUAUACGUAAUAUAGAAUUUAGAAUAUACCUAAUAUAUUAAAAGAAUAUAUAUAUAAUAUAAUAUUAAGAAAUAUAAUAAUAACAAAAAAAAGAGAGAGGGAGAGAGUGGGUGAUUUCCAGCCACAAGGCCGGCCACCGUCUGGUCACCGGACCGCCGCCGGCCGCCAUCGGUGCCACCGUACACGGCAGCCGGACCUCCAAAAAAACUUUUUCGGUAAAAAUGGAUAAGCUUCCUCCUUUUAUUUUUACUUUCAGAUAAAAGAAACAAAAUAAGAUUGAAAGAAAAAAUGAUAAGCAAACAAAGAACUUAAAACGAGAAUAGACGAAGAAACCUCUUUUGCUUUGAUCUUUGAUUAAUCUCCAAAAAAACUACUCUCUCCAAAAACUAGCCUUUACAAUAACUCUUCUCCUUGAUUACUCUAAAAAAACCUCUCAAAAAUCCUUUACAAUAACUUUCUCCCCCAAAACUUCUUCCUCUUCCUUUAAAUACAAAAUAUGAGAAGGCUUAUAUAGCCAUUUACAAAAUAUUUUUUUAUUGUUUAUGUCUUCAUUUGUAGGUACAAGUGGUGGUGGAGCAAGUGUGGCUAGUGGAGUAGGUAGUGGAGCAAGUGUAGCUAGUGGAGUUGGUGGUGGAGCAAUUGUGGCUAGUGGAUUUGGUGGCGGCAAAGGCUAGGAUUUAGUUGAGGAAAGUUUAGGUUGUGGGCUAGGGUUUUUUAUUUUGAUUUGGGCUUAGGGUUUGGGCCAUUGGGGUUUUGAUGUAAAUUGGGCUUUGGGUAGUUAAGAUUUUGGGUUUUGGGUUUAAUUUUGGUGGGUUAGGUAAGGCUAAAUUGGGUUUUGAUGUAAAUGGGUUAAAAUUGGCCUACAACAGCUGCCCCUCUUUGCUUAUUAUUGUGUAACGGGAAUAGAGCAAAGACACAAAGAAAGGCCAAUUUUUCCCAGUCUUGCUAAGUAUGGACUUCUUUGGUGCUCUUCUCAUCCAGGUAGUCUCUUUCCAGUCCACCGCAUCUUGUAGCUUUGGUUCAAUCCACUGCAAAUUCAAAGAUAUGCCUCGUAGCUUCAAUCUACUCCAAUGUAACUUCAAGGGUAUGAGAUUUGUGGCUUCGAUCCGCUUCACUGUAACUUCAAAAAGAUAAGAUCUACAACUUCAAUCUGUUCUUCUAUUGCUUCAGUGAGAUAAGGUUUGUAGUCUUCUCUUCUACAACUUUAGAAAGGCAAGAUCUGAUAUCCUCGAUCAGCUCCACUGCAACUUCAGGGAGACAAAAUCUUGUGUCUUCAAUCAGCUCCAAUCUUUAUUCUUUAUUCAGCAUGUGAUCGUGAGCUCAACUCAUUUCUUGCAAUAUGAAUUGACUCUUUAAAAACAGACAUUAAAAUAGAAAUUGAAAAUAGCUCAGCACGUGAGCCAAGGCUCAACUCACUUCUCGCAAAAUGAGUUGAUUUUUAAAACAAAAUUUGUAAAACAGAUUUUGAAAAUACCUCGAUAUGUGACCCGAGGCUCAACUCAUUUCUCGUAAUAUGAGUUGAUUCUUGAAAAGCAUAAAUUGAAAAAUCAUUAAUUGAAAAUACCUCAGCGUGCCCCGAGACUCAACUCACCUCUCGCAAUAUGAGUUGAUUUUUUUGAAAAACAUAAAUUGAAAACACCUCAGCGUGUGACCCGAGGCUCAACUCACCUCUCGCAAUAUGAGUUGAUUUUUUGAUGAACAGAAAUUAAAACUACCUCAACGUGUCCUGAGGCUCAACUCACCUCUCGCAACAUGAGUUGAUUUUUUUGAAAAACAGAAGUUGAAAACACCUCAGCGUGUGACCCGAGGCUCAACUCACCUCUCACAAUAUGAGUUGAUUUUUUUGACAAACAGAAAUUGAAAAAUACCUUAGCGUGUAAGCCAAGGCUCAACUUACCUCUCGCAAUAUGAGUUGAUUUUUUGAAAAAUAGAAAUUGAAAACACCUCAGCAUGUGAGGCUCAACUCACCUCUCGCAAUAUGAGUUGAUUUUUGAAAAACAUAAAUUGAGCAGAAAUUGAAAAUACCUCAACGGGUCUUGAGGCUCAACUCACCUCUUGCAAUAUGAGUUGAUUUUUUGAUGAUAAAUUGAAAAUACCUCAAUGUGACUUGAGGUUCAACUCACCUCUCGCAAUAUGAGUUGAUUUUUUGAAUUAAAAUAGAAAUUGAAAAUAGAAAUGGAAAACACCUCAGCGUCUUGAGGUUCAACUCACCUCUCGCAAUAUGAGCUGAUUUUUUUGAAACACAUAAAUUAAAAAAAAAAAGAAAUUAAAAACAGAAUUUGAAAGGACUUCGACGUGUGGCCCGAGACUCAACUCACCUCUCGCAAUAUGAGUUGAUUCUUUUAAAAAGCAGAAAUUGAAAAUACCUCAGCGUGUCCCGAGGCUCAACUCACCUCUCGCAAUAUGAGUUGAUUUUUUUGAUAAAAAUAGAAUUUGAAAAUAUCUCAACGUGUCCUGAGGCUCAACUCACCUCUCGCAAUAUGAGUUGAUUUUUGACAAACAAAAAUUGAAAUUACCUCAGCGUCUUGAGGCUCAACUCACUUCUCGCAAUAUGAGUUGAUUUUUUUGAAACAUAAAUUAAAAAAACGAAAAUUGAAAAUACCUCAGCGUGUCCUGAGGCUCAACUCACCUCUCGCAAUAUGAGUUGAUUUGAAAAGCAGAAUUUGUAAGGCAAAAAUUGAAAAACAGAAAUUGAAAAUACCUCAGCGUGCCCUGAGGCUCAACUCACCUAUCGCAAUAUGAGUUGAUUUUUAAAAAAAUAGAAAUUAAAAGCAGAAAUUGAAAAACAGAAAUUAAAAAUACCUCGGCGUGCCCCGAGGCUCAGUUCACCUCUCGCAAUAUGAGUUGAUUUUUGAAAAGCAUAAAUUGAAAUUACCUCAGCGUGUCCUGAGGCUCAACUCACCUCUCGCAAUAUGAGUUGAUUUUUUUGAAAAGCAUAAAUUGAAAAAACGGAAAUUGAAAAUACCUCAGCGUGUGACCUGAUGCCCAACUCACCUCUCACAAUAUGAGUUGAUUUUUUUGAAAGACAGAAAUAAAAACAUCAAAAUACCAAAAGAUGUCAUAUGGUGGAACUCAAGUGUCCUGUCCUUUGAUUCAGUACAGCUAUCAUCGAAACCUCUUGUUCUGCUGAAAUACAUGUAUAUGUCAUGCAUGAUGUUAUCAUGAUAUGCACAUGUUUGCCUUAAAUGCCUUUAUGCCUAUAUGAUCAUGCUAUGCGCCUUGGGCUUGCUUGUCAUAUGUCCCUUUCCGUCAUGAUUUUUGAUUAUCUGCGUUCAUUGCUUUGACUCUUGACUUUCUCUUCAGGCCCUGUACCCGUCCUCUAGCUUCACGACUAAUCUGCGUUUCUCAGAUAUCGCUCUUUUGCCCCUGGUUGAACUUUGUUCUUGCUUUGAGGCUCUUGUACUUAUCAAAUUCUUAUCCGGGUAAUGCUUAGCACUUCUUUUGUUUAGAGUAUGUCAUUUCACUAUUUAUCAUGUAAAUGAACCACAUAAUGAGAUGCAUGAAAAUGGUCAGGUAGGGGACAAAAGGAUACCUCACAUUUAUUCAUUUCAAAUGUAGCAAACAAAGAAAGUUAAUCAAUGAUAGUAAAAAAAGUGUCAUAAAGAGAAAGGGAUCGCAUUUCAACAAAUACAAAUGCUCUAGAUAUUUAACGCAUGAACUCUUCCACUUUCCUCAAUCAAGAAUCUUUUCGAGCAUGGCUUUCUUGCGUAAGAGAUUUCGAGUUUUCAGAAAUGCUUCAAAUACUGUAGUCUCUCUGUUUGACCCAUCGUUCAAAACGCCUUACUUUUUAAGCCAGUGCUUGCUUCAUUAGAUCGCCCUUUCGGGUUUUCAUCCUAAUCUUUUGUGUUAAUCAAGACGCCCUUUUCGGGUUUUCACCUUGAUCCCUCUCUCUUUUUCUUUUUUCUUUUCUUUUCUUUUUUUUUAAGAUGCCCUUUUUCGGGUUUUCAUCUUGAUUUUCCUUUUUUUAAGCAUAAUAUUUCUUCACAGCAUCUGAAUUCACUGGAUUCGGUAACUCCUUCCCAUCCAUCUCAGUGAGAAUAAGAGCUCCACCCGAGAAUGCUUUCUUUACGGCGUAUGGUCCUUCCCAAUUUGGGGCCCAUUUUCCUCGGAAGUCCUUUUGUAUUGGGAGAAUCUUUCUCAGCACAAGUUCUCCUUCGUGGAAUUCUCUUGGCCGUACUUUCUUGUCAUAGGCCGUGAUCAUUCUCUUCUGGUACAUCUGUCUGUGACAAAUUGCCUUUAGACGUUUUUCUUUGAUGAUGUUUAAUUGAUCAUAUUGAGCUCGAACCCAUUCUACUUCUUCUAGUUUCGAUUCUAUUAAGACUCGUAGAGAGGGGAUCUCAACAUCGAUAGGUAGCACAGCUUCCAUUUCAUAUACCAGAGAGAAAGGAGUUGCUCCCGUAGAUGUCCGCACAGAUGUACGAUAUGCAUACAAAGAAAAUGGUAGCUUCUCGUGCCAAUCUUUAUAUGUCUCGGUCAUUUUCCCAAUAAUCUUCUUAAUAUUCUUGUUGGCCGCUUCAACAGUUUCAUUCAUUUUCGGGCAAUAGGGUGAUGAAUUAUGAUGCUUUAUUUAAAAUUGUUCACACACCUCCUUCAUCAUCUUGUUGUUCAGAUUCAUGGCGUUAUCUGAAAUGAUUCUUUCAGGCAAACCAUAUCGACAAAUGAUUUCCUUUUUCAAAAACUUGCAAACUGCAGUCUUCGUCACGUUGGCAAACGAAGCGGCUUCUAUCUAUUUUGUGAAAUAAUCAAUGACCACAAAAAUAAAUCGGUGUCCAUUAGAAGCUUUUGGGGGAAUUGGCCCUAUAACAUCCAUGCCCCACAUAGAAAAAGGCCACGGAGAAGUCAUGACGUGAAGGGACGAAGGGUCGCAUGAAUUUUAUCACCAUAAAUUUGACAUUUGUGGCAUUUUCGUGCAAAACUAAUGCAGUCACUUUCCAUUGUCAGCCAGUAAUAACCAAGUCUCAUAAUCUUUCUAGCCAUAGUGAAACCAUUGGCAUGUGUCUCACAAAUUCCCUCAUGGACAUCUUCAAGUAUUUUUCUGGCUUCAACAACAUCUACGCAUCUCAAGAGCACCUGAUCUUUUUCUCUUUUGUACAGGAUGUCCCCAUCAAGAACGAAUCUCGCUGCCAUUCUUCUGAUUGUUCUUUUGUCGUUCUCAUUUGCUUGUUCGGGGUACUUUUGAUUCUUGACGUAUUCUAAGAUAUCAUGGAACCAUGGUCGUCCAUCUGGCUCUUUCUCAAUGCUGAAACAACGUGCAGGGAUUUCAUAUAUGCUCAUUUGAAGAGGCAUUAUUUCUGUUUCUCUGUUUGCUUUGAACAUUGAAGCCAAAGUGGCCAGGGCAUCAGCCAAUUGGUUUUCUUCUCGUGGGAAGUAAUUAAAAGUUAUUUCUUCGAAUUCUUUAAUUAGCUCUGCCAUUAGAUCACUGUAUUUAACCAAUUUCGGAUCUCUCACUUCCCAAUCUCCACGGAUUUGGUAAAUCACCAACGCUGAGUCUCUAUAUACCUCUAAAGUUUUGACGUUUCGUUCAAUAGCUGCACGAAGUCCCAUGAUACAGGCCUCAUAUUCUGCUAUGUUAUUGGUACAGAAGAAAUUCAGCCUGGCAGUGAACGGAUAAUGAUUCCCGUCUGGUGAGACUAGGAUUGCUCCAAUUCCAUGCCCUAAGGCAUUUGACGCACCAUCAAAACUGAUCUUCCAUGGAUUCUCUUUUGAUGACUCGGAUUCCUUUUCUGUGAUGCACAAUAAGUCUUCAUCUGGGAAAUCGAAUCUCAAGGGCUCAUAUUCCUCUGUCGUUCGAGUCGCUAAGAAAUCAGCUAUUGUGCUCCUUUUUUAUCGACUUCUGACUUACAUAGGCAAUGUCGUAUUCCGAUAGGAGGAUUUGCCAUCGUUCUAUUCUUCCUGAGAGUACCGGUGAUUCCAUCAUGUAUUUUAUUGGGUCCAGCUUUGAAAUUAGCCAUGUCGUAUGAUACAACAUAUAUUGCCUGAGUCUCCGAGCUACCCAAAUUAGAGCGCAACAGUAUUUUUCAAUAGACGGAUACUUUUCCUCAUAUUCAGUGAACUUUUUAUUGAGGUAGCAGAUCGCCUUUUCUUUCUUUCCUGACUCAUCGUGUUGCCCCAGUACGCAACCCAUUGAAUUUUCAAACACAGUCAAAUACAAUAUCAAUGGUAUUCCUAGAGUUGGCGGUACUAGCACUGGAGGAUUAGACAAAUAUUGUUUUAUCUUAUCAAAGGCCACCUGACAUUCCUCAUUCCAUUCUCCCGGGUUAUGUUUUCGAAGAAGCUGAAAAAUUGGGUCGCAUUGGUUGGUAAGUUGAGCGAUGAAUCGGGCGAUGUAGUUUAACCUCCCUAAAAAUUCUCUAACUUCCUUUUGCGUGCGCGGAGGUGGUAGCUCUUGAAUGGAUUUUAUUUUAUUUGGAUCAACCUCGAUACCUCUUUCACUGACAAUGAAGCCCAGUAAUUUUCCCGAGGUAGCCCCAAACGUACAUUUGGCUGGAUUGAGCUUUAGCUGAAACUUUCUCAAUCUGUCGAACAAUUUCUUCAGGUUCACUACAUGCUCUUCUUCCCCUCGGGAUUUAGCAAUUAUAUCGUCGACGUAGACCUCUAUUUCUUUAUGCAUCAUGUCAUGGAAUAAUGUCACCAUAGCCCUCUGAUAUGUUGCCCCAGCAUUCUUUAACGCAAAUGGCAUCACCUUGUAGCAGAAUGUUCCCCACAUUGUUACGAAGGUAGUUUUCUCCAUAUCCUCAAGGGCCAUCUUGAUCUGAUUAUACCCUGAGAAUCCGUCCAUGAAAGAAAACAAUGAAUGUUUUGCUGUGUUAUCCACCAAUGUAUCAAUAUGUGGUAAGGGAAAAUUAUUUGUAGGACUUGCUCGAUUCAGGUCACGAUAAUCCACGCACAUCCGUACUUUUUCGUCUUUCUUUGGUACCGGGACUAUGUUAGCCACCCAUUCUGGAUAUUUGGAGGCUUGUAGGAAGCCAGCAUCAAAUUGCUUCUUGACUUCCUCUUUUAUCUUCAACAACAUUUCAGGUCUCAUCCGUCUUAGCUUUUGUUGAAUGGGCUUGCAUUCUGGUUUUAAUGGGAGUUUGUGGACCACUAUCUCUUCAUCCAAUCCAGGCAUGUCCUGGUAUGACCAUGCAAAUACAUCUUUGUAUUCGCGGAGCAAAGCAAUCAAAUUAUACCUGGUGCCCCCUGAAAUAGAAGUCCCAAUCUUCACUUCUUGCUUCCUUUCUUCAGUUCCCAGAUUUAUUGUUUCAACAGAUUCUUGAUGAGGCAAAAUCUGUUUAUCCUCUUGUUCCACCAUUCUUAGCAAGUCAGGAGACGAGACAUAGUCUUCAGUAUUUUUUUCGGCUUCGAAUUCUCCUAAACAAACACCUUCUCAAAAUCGAUUCCAGGACUCGUAACAGGUUUGUUCAUGCUGUUGACAUUUGAGCACCUGAAAGUUAGAUGGAAAAGGAAACUAUAAAAGGGCAUCCAAGUAUUAGAACCAACAAAUGAAAUGUUAUGGCAUGGCAUGAGGUAAAUGUAAGGAUUGGCUAUGAAAUGAGAAAUUGAUUAUGAAAUUAGUGAUAAUGUAAAAGAUUAUGACAAAAUGCAUCUUCAUUGAUAUUCAUUUGAAUGAUAAAGAGCGAAUGCAGGCUCUUACAAAAGAAUUCUAUUAUAUCUAAGGACAUAACAGAAUGUUAACGUUUGAGCAUUACUCUGAAGACUUAUAAACUAUAAGAAGAUCCUCGGUAGUCCAAUUAUUUAACCUGAAACCCAAGGGACAAGGGCGUAUCCUUGAGACGUCUUUACUUGUGUUAGCUCCUUUAUCAAUGACGUUUAUACUGAUAUUCUGACAACCCUUUUCGAUCAUUAACAUUGUGCCCUGUGCAUUAUCCUGCCUCAGGUAUAUCAUUCCCGUAGACGUAAAUGUUCUUGACAAAAGAGGGAAUUCCAUAGGCUGCCAUUCUGGUUCUCGGCCUAAGGUUCUCGCGAUCCUUCUUUCCUGAUCUUUCUUCCACUGCCUUAUUCUUUGACGCAUGUCCGGCUGGAAACCUAAACCGUAUCGAGCCUUAUGGUGUACUGGCCUUAGAGCCCUAACUAUUCCUUGCAGAUAUCUCCCUAAACCUUUUCUCGCUCGAGCUCCCCUUCCUAUAGUCAACUUGAUACCCAUCCUGGUAUUUCUCGACAGUUUUGGCUCGGGAAUUUUGUUACCCUCAGCGAUGAAUGCGGCAUUGACAAAUUCAAGAGAUCGAAAGGAACAUUCUAUAGCAUCUUUACUUACUUCAAUAUAUGGUGCGUUGGCAGAAAUAGAUGCUACAAUGUCUUUUUCUCCCUCGACAGUGACCAAACAGCCAUCCAUGAUAAAUUUCACCUUUUGAUGGAGGGAUGAUGGGACCACUCCGGCGGAAUAGAUCCAGGGUCUUCCCAAGAGGCAGUUAUAUGAUGGUGUAAUGUCCAUGACUUGGAACUCGACAUCGUAUAUGUAGGGACCUACUUCUAGAGGGAUGUCGAUUUUUUCCAUCACCUCUCGUCUUGUUCCAUCGAAUGCCCUUACUGUGGAAUGGCAAGGCCUUAGGUAGGACAAAUCCAUCGAAAUCUUGGAAAGUGUGGCCAAAGGCAUGACGUUGAGUGCCGAUCCACUGUCGAUAAGCACGUUUGGUAUUAUGUAACCCUUGCAGCGGGUUGUGAUAUGUAAUGCUUUCACAGAACCUCUACCAUUGGGCGGUAUUUCAUCAUCACUAAAAGAAAUGAAAUUAUCCGCAUUUAAAUUAUUCACCCAUCUGUCAAGCUUCUCAAUGGAUAUAUUGUUUGCCACGUAAGCUUGAUUCAACACCUUUAACAAGACGUUCUGAUGGGGUUCUGAAUUUAAUAGUAGAGACAAUACCGAGACUCGUGCUGGCUGCUUGCUCAAUUGUUCCACCACAUUAUACUCACUAUGUUUGAUAAACUUUAAGAAUUCCCGUGCUUCUUCCUCAUCUACCGGCUCUUUAGUUUUUUGUUGCUCGGGCGGAAUUUCGUGCUUAGUUUCAGCCUCAUACAUUGGUGCUUUUCCUUUUUGUUUCAAAUUACUAUUCUUCUUCACUGGUUCGACUUCUUUCGAAUAACAUCUUCCACUGCAAGUGAAAUGACCUACUUCUCCAACGUUUCCAGUUACAGCUUUGGAUUUUUCGUCUUCAGGUGUGACGAUAUUGACGUCGUAUUUCCAUGGUACUGCUUUAUUAUCCUUGUAGGGGAAAGGAGAUGGUACUUCAAUUAUCAUUUUUGGUUUCACCGGUUCCUUCCUUGCAUCGUAAUAAAUUACGAAUGGUCGAUCCUGACGAUUGAUUGUCAGAGGCACAUACUUCUCUCUCAUUGGCCUCUCAUUCAUUAAUGAUCUCAAUCUCCUUACUAUCUAUCCGGUAUUGCAGUAACCUUUUAAAUUCCUCACAUGAUUGAAUGUCGUGCCCUACAAUUCCAUGAAAAUCACAAAAAACCUGACAUUCUUUUCUGAGAUUAUCGUCGGGGCGACAGAGCAAUCCUUUCUUAACCAGUGCCUCCCAGAUUUUCUGCAGAGGCGUCCUUAUUUCUGAAACACAUUUUCUAACUUGCCAUUCAUCUUCUUUCCCUACUGUGCUCACAUUUCCUUCGGUAUGGUUAGGGAAUGGGUUCCCGGUUGUACCACCAGUACCAUCAAAUCGCAGAAUACCCGCAUCGAUGAGUCCUUGAACUCUCCUUUUGAAGGCAAUGCAGUUUUCCGUAGAGUGUCUCUGGUUCCCGGCGUGGUACACGCAACUAGCAUUUGGGUCGUACCAUUUCGGGUAUGGGGGCCUCAAGGGUGCCAUAUAAUGCGAGGAUAUCAAUUGCUUCUCCAGAAGUUUUGGGUACAGUUCCCCAUAUGACACAAGAAUAGGGGUAAAUUGUGGUCUCUUAGAAUUGGAUUUUGCUGGCCUCUGCUCAUUUCUGGGUUGACCUUGGACGGGUAUUGUAUUUUGUGGGAAUGUGGCGAUUGGUUUCGGGUUACUUGUGGCGUAAACGGGGUAAGAAGAGUAAGGAAGCGGUGUUUGGUAGUAAAGGGUUUGAGGAGGAUAAUAAAAAUUCAGAGGUGGAUAAUUUCGAGGUCGGGGUUGGUUUAGAUACGGAUUAGGGGCAUAACGGCUUCCCAUUCCCACCAUGUGGGCUUCUGGUUCUUUCUUCUUCAUGGGCGCUACCCUUCUUGAACUUUCUUGACCUUCCAUUCUACCGCUCUUAACGGCGUUUUCUAUAAGCUCAUCGGAUAUUACAAUAUCCGUGAAGUCCUUCGUGGCGCUUCCCACUAGUUUGUCAUAAAACGACGUCUUUAAGAUGUUGAUGAAAAGGACGAUUAUCUCCGUUUUUGUCAGUGGGGGUUCCAGUUGGGCUGAGACGUCCCUCCAUCUCUGCGCAUACUGUCUAAAAGUUUCUGACGGCUUUUUCUCCAUCAUUUGUAAAGUCAUCCGAUCAGGCACCAUAUCUGAUACAUGCUUGUACUGCUCACAGAAUGCCAACGCCAAGUCUUUCCAGGAUCAGAUCCUUUCCUUACUGAGCUGGUUGUACCACCGAAGAGCCGACCCUACCAGACUAUCUUGAAAACAAUGUACAAGUAGCUUAUCUUUGUUCACGUAACCGGUCAUUUUUUGACAAAACAUGACAAGAUGUGCUUUUGGACAUCUUGUCCCAUCGUAUUUUUUGAAGUUAGGCACCUUGAACUUCGGAGGCAGAAUUAGAUCAGGUACCAAAAUGAGUUCUUUAGCACCUAGUACCGAGAAGGCUUCAGUGCCUUCUAUUGCCUUGAGUCUUUCUUCCAAACUCCUAUACUUCUCUUGAGCCUCGUGAUCAUCUAUUUUCAACUUGGCUAUUUCGACAGGAUCAUCUAAAUCUGGAGCUACAGGAUUGGCAGGGGUUGCUCCAGGAUUUGACAUAAAUGUUCCUUGCCCUAGAUGAGCAAAUGGCAUAGGUCGUUGUUCCAAGCCUGUGGAUUCCCCUUGAGUAUACCCUCUUUGUGCUAUGUGGGCAUGUGGUGGAGUGAAUCCUGGGGGAUAGAGUGGAUCCUGGUCAUGAUUAAUUCUUGAUUGAGGUUCCAUAUUGUCGAGGUUCUGCAUGGGUCCUUUUCCUUUGACCAAAACUGACACCAUCUCCAUCAUUCUAGCCAUUUGAUCCUUUUGUUCAAGCGAUUCCUCUCGAGAUCUCACCAUUAAGUCUCUUGUCUCUUGCUGUGAUUUAGCCAGUUGUUCUUGUAAUUCCCUUUGGACUCUUUCCAUUCUUUCGAUUCUUUCAUUGAACUCAGCCUCAAUUAUUCUAGCUUGUCGACGCGUUCUAUACGAAUAGCGUGAUUCCAGAUUUGAAGUGUUGUGACUGCGAAUUAUAUGAUUCUAACCUUAGCGAAUGAUCAUGGGAUAGAUAUAUGAAAUGAAUGAAUGAGUGCAUAAAUGAAUGUCAAUCAUGAAAGAUAUGCAAGAAAUGGGUGUUGAUUUCUAGAUAGCUCCUAUUUAGGCAUUUCAUUCAUCAAAAGAGUCUAUUACACAAUGCUUCGGUCACUCGUAUAAUUGACUCCUCCAUUAGAAACCCGUUUUUGGCAACCAUUCUCUAAUCAACACAUUCCUAACAAGAUGCCUAUAAUACAUGAUGAAAAUAAAGCAAAGACAAACAACCUUGGUUUGUAGUCAAAUAUAGGCAAAAAAAAUCAUGGAAAAUUUAUCAAAUUACGCUACCCGAUCUAGUUUAUUAAACCAACCCAAUCCCCUUGCAUACAAAGUGAAAGUGCAAAAGGUAAGAGGCGUUUCUCCCGUGUACUUAUUUUGGUGACUAUGGAACAAGCGGAGGUUCGGCAUGGCUCUAGUUAGGGGGCUCGUACGGUUCACUAUAUGCGGUUUUGGUUCUAGAUAGGCACUCGAAUUGUUCGUACUAUCGUCUACUAAGACUAGUAAGAAGUCUCGGUCAUGGCCCAUCAUAGGCUUACGAGAUCAAUUCGAGGGAUUACAUUUACUUAUGCCUAUGCGGAGGGACAAGUUAACUCACGAAAGCAUACGUCAUAUGUAACCCGAAAGUAUUCACUAGCCUGUGCGGAGGGACGAGUUAACUCACGAAGGCGUAGCGUUUACUUUCACUUAAACGGACGAGGCCCGAGUAGAGAGCUCAUGUUAUGCAAAGAUGCUCGUGCACGGUGUGUGGGGAGAAACUCACAAACCUUUACGUUUUAUUUAAAAAACUAAACCAAAACUAAAAUCACAAAAAUUUAAAGCUGAAAAAAAAUCGAAUAAAACAAGUUAGAAUAUAUACAACACGAUGCAAAUGCAUGAUUUUUUUGAAAACAAAAAAUUUGAGGAUCAUGACUAAAUGUUAAUUUGAACAAGGAACUUUGAAAAUUUUGACAACGCGAGUUUAAUUCGACUUGACUCUCAAAAAGGGUCCCCAAUGGAGUCGCCAGCUAUAGUGACGUAAAAAUUUCUCUUUCGGUCGCUAAAUGAGGCGAUUAUUUGAAAAUUUAAAAAUCGACUUUCGAUUUUAUUAAAAAAGGGAGUCGCCACCGAUCUUUUUUCUAGGUGUGACCGGACACCUAAUAAAUCAUCCUUUCUUAGAAAAGAAAACUUAUUCUUGCACAAAAAUGAAGGCCGAAUUUAGGUCUACGUCAAAAGCCAGAGUAACGUUGGGUUCGGGAGUCGGUUACGCGCGAGGAAGGUAUUAGCACCCUCGCGACGCCCAAAAUUGGUAUCUUAUUAAACACGUGUUGUCUUGAUUUUUAAAAAUACGAAUUCAAUUUGACAUUUAAGUGUGAUCCGAUUGAAGGAAAUGAGAAGUUGUAAGUUUUUGGUUUUUUAGAAGAAUAUCCCGUUUUUAACACGAGCCGACUAACUUCACCCAACAUAGCGAUGAAAUCAAUGACUUAAUGUUAAAAUCGGUACAUUUCCUUAUUCUUAAAAUUAAAAUGUAAAAAGUUUCUAAAAUGAUAGUAAAAAAAAUCUAAGAAUAUUAUUGUAAAAAAUACGAAUAAUGAUGUGAAUAAUAUAAAAUAUUAAAAUAUCAAAAUAUUAGAAUAAUAAUAAUUAAUAUUGACAAAUAAAAAAAUAAAAUAGAAAUAAAAAGGUGUACAUAAUAUAUAUAUUAGAAAUAACAAUGAUGUUUAAAAAUAAUACUAUUAAUAAUACUACAUAAAUAUGUACAUAUAUAAAAAAUAAAUACGUGAUAAUAUUAAAAAUAUGUACAUAAUAUAGUGUAAAAAAUACAUACAUAAUAUAAUUAAAAUAUAUACAUAAGAUAACAUGUAAAUAUAUAUAUAAAUAAUAUAGUAUUAUAGAUAUAUACAUAAAAUAGUAUAAAAUAUAUAUACGUAAUAUAGAAUUUAGAAUAUACCUAAUAUAUUAAAAGAAUAUAUAUAUAAUAUAAUAUUAAGAAAUAUAAUAAUAACAAAAAAAAGAGAGAGGGAGAGAGUGGGUGAUUUCCGGCCACAAGGCCGGCCACCGUCCGGUCACCGGACCGCCGCCGGCCGCCAUCGGUGCCACCGUACACGGUAGCCGGACCUCAAAAAAACUUUUUCGGUAAAAACGGAUAAGCUUCCUCCUUUUAUUUUUACUUUCGGAUAAAAGAAACAAAAUAAGAUUGAAAGAUAAAAUGAUAAGCGAACAAAGAACUUAAAACGAGAAUAGACGAAGAAACCUCUUUUGCUUUGAUCUUUGAUUAAUCUCCAAAAAAACUACUCUCUCCAAAAACUAGCCUUUACAAUAACUCUUCUCCUUGAUUACUCUCAAAAAACCUCUCAAAAAUUCUUUACAAUAACUUUCUCCCUCAAAACUUCUUCCUCCUCCUUUAAAUACAAAAUAUGAGAAGGCUUAUAUAGCCGUUUACAAAAUAUUUUUUUAUUGUUUAUGUCUUCAUUUGUAGGUACAAGUGGUGGUGGAGCAAGUGUGGCUAGUGGAGUAGGUAGUGGAGCAAGUGUGGCUAGUGGAGUUGGUGGUGGAGCAAUUGUGGCUAGUGGAGUUGGUGGCGGCAAAGGCUAGGAUUUAGUUGAGGAAAGUUUAGGUUGUGGGCUAGGGUUUUUUAUUUUGAUUUGGGCUUAGGGUUUGGGCCAUUGGGGUUUUGAUGUAAAUUGGGCUUUGGGUAGUUAAGAUUUUGGGUUUUGGGUUUAAUUUUGGUGGGUUAGGUAAGGCUAAAUUGGGUUUUGAUGUAAAUGGGUUAAAAUUGGCCUACAACAGUUAACAUUGUUGGAAAAGAAAUUUUAAAUAAAUAAAUAUCUAAUAACGUUACUUUUACUUUUAUUUUCAUUUUUAUUUAGUGUGUAACAUCCUAAUUUCGUUCGGGUCAAAUAAAAACAAAAAUUCAUUAAGAAUCAAAAGUCCGUUUUAUAAAUGAAUAAAAUACAAAAGCCCAAAUCCAAACAUUAAACUACCCAAGACUCAUAUGCUAACCCAAAAACCUAAAACCUUAAACUACCUAAAUGACUUAAUACCCAAAGGCCCAUACAAGCCCAAACCCCAAAUUAUCCUAAGCUACCAAAAACCUUAAAAGCCUUCAACAGCCGUUUCCUUCACCACAUCAGUAGCAUGCCAUCCAAGACCUUGCUAUUACCCACGCCCCUAGGACUGCCCUCUGCCAUGGUUACACUGUAAUGGUAAGGGGCACGUCCUUCAUUGCCGUUGACUCGGCCUCCCUUACUACUACCAUGUAAAGACUUGUAAAACAAAGGCAGAAAAGAGAGAUAGAGAACAGAAACAGAAGUAGAGAAAAAAGAAAAAAAACAAAUCAUUUUAAUAUUAAUGUGGCUAUAAAAGUCGCAACAACUCUUCUGUAAAAUAAACUGCUGCCCUCAAUUCAUCCAAUAGUUCCUCAAUAAUAGGAGUAUGAAACUUGUCCUUAACAGUCAACUGGUUGAGUUAUCUAUAAUCUACACAAAGUCUCCAAUUGCCAUCUUUUUUCUUGAUCAUGACAAUAGGUAAAACAAAAGGGCUGUUACUGUUUCUCACAAUGCUAGUCUUGAGCACUUCUUUGAUAAGUCUUUCAAUCUCCUUUUCUGAGUAAUAGGAUACGUACAAGGUUUGAGCUUGACUACUUGUGUCUCACCUUGUAAAAGUAUUCUAUGAUCUUGUAGUCUAAUAGGAGGAAGACCAAUGAGGACCUGAAAAACAUCUUCGAAUUCAGUCAACAACAGUUCGAUAUCAUUAUGUAGUACCUUGUCAUAUAGUGUUAAAGUGGUUUGCUCAAAAGUAGUAAACAACAUAAGGCUGGGACCUUGCCCCAUGACACUAAAGCAUUUAGAUAGUUGAGCACUAAUGACCUCAUUUAGUCCUCUAGGUCGAAGGCCUUCAAGAAUGCAUGUUGUGCCCGAGUACUCAAACUGCAUAGUCAAUAAGGAGAAAUUCCAUACAAUAAACCUUGAUGAAAGUAACCAUUGAACCCUAAAUACCAAAUCACAAUCUUUAACCAUAAGAAUCAUGAAAUUAGUAAAACACUUGUACCCUUGAGCCUCCCAUAACACUGACUUACACACCCCUUGAGUUGUGAGCUGAACUCCAUUGGCAACCAUUACUUUGAGUUUGCAAGAGGAGUUCAGAAGUAGAUGUAGUUUCUUCAUUAUUUGAAAAUCCAUGAAGUUGUCGCUGCUACCUGAAUCAAUAAUGAUAAUGACUACACAGGAUUCAAUAGUAGUUGACAGUCGCAUUGUAUUAUGGCCCUGUGAGCCAUUGAUGGCAUCUAAAGACAAGACAAGUGAAACAGAAUGAACUUCUCCCUAGGCAAAUUCAAGCUUCUCUGGAGAGUCUUGGAAUUCCUUAGAAAUCAAAUUUUUAUGCUCAAUGUCCCCCUCAUUUGAAGCUUCAAUGACCAGCUGAAACAAUUAUGACUUAACACACUUAUGUCCAGGAGUGUAUUUGGUAAUACACCAAAAAAAAUGCCUUUCUUUCUUCUUUCCUCCAUUUUACUCUGAGAAAGGGCUUUGAUAAGGUUUUUGGAAAUGUGAUAACCCCCAGGAGAAUUAGUAGACACAUUCUGUGUAUAGCCCUUAACAUCAGGCAACAAGGGUUUAGGUAAGCAUCCACUACCCAUAGAAACAUUUUUCCUAGGUAUAGGUCCUACUAUAUCUUCAAUUUCUAGAGCUACGGUAAACUUUUUUGUCAGUGAAGUAGGUUUGAAUAACCUCAAGUAUUGACCAAUGUCUAGCUUAAGGUUAUACACAAACACAGUUAAGGCAUAACUUUCUAGCAAAUAUAGUUGAUUCAAUAAACUCACAAAUUGUUCAUUAUAGAGAUCUACCGAACCUGUUUACUUAAGGGCCACAAGUUCAGUUAUAGGAUUCAUGUGUCUGUGAGAUCCAACCUCGAAAGUUAGUAAAUGCUUGAAUAAAGAGAUUGUAUGUCGGUAUGGAAUGCCAGAAAGAAUCAUAUCUAACAAUGCAUUGAAUUUGAACAACAGCACCAUAGCAGAGGUCUGUAGUUAAUUCAAGAUCAAACAUCACAACUCAGCACCAUAUCGCUAGUGGAGGCAACUAAUAAGAACAUUAAGAAGAUUGUGGAGAAAAUGACAGAGGCCUAUAAAUAUUGGCAUGAGAAAUUACCAUUUGCCCUCUAUGCUUAUCGAACAUUUGUUAGGACCUCCACGGGGGCAACACUUUUUUUACUGGUUUAUGGAAUGGUGACAGUUUUACCUAUUGAAGUUGAGAUUCCUUUCUUCCGAAUUUUGUCAGAGUUGAAGUUAGAUGAAGCAAAAUGGAUCCAAUCUAGAUAUGCCCAGUUAAACUUGAUCAAAGAACAGAGAUUGAAAGUUAUCCGUCAUGGUCAGAUGUACCAAAACCGAAUGAUGCGAGCUUAUGACAAAAAAAGUCUGCCCUAGAGAAUUUCUUGAGGGGGACCUAGUGUCAAAAAAGAUGCUUCCCAUACAAAAAGAUUUCAGAGGAAAAUGAAUACUGAAUUAGGAAUGACCUAAUAUGGUAAAGAAAGCCUUUUCCAGAGGAGCGUUGAUUCUGACUGAGAUGGAUGAAAAUGAUCUGCCCAACCCUAUGAAUUAGGAUUCAGUCAAGAAAUAUUUCACCUAAAAAAAGGGGGGAGGUCAGAUGAAAAUCUACAAAGGGCGUCUUGAAACCUAAGGGGUUUUGAGUUGAAGACUCAAAAAGAUUAGCUAAAAAAUGGACUAAGGAUUGGGCAUGUAAUAGUCGUUUCCUCUCAAAAGUAACAAAGAGGGGGAACUUUACAUUUUGGGGCAUCGAUAAAGUACUCUAGGUCUCCUAAACACUUAUUAAGCUCAUAAUGGUCCUCAGUAAGUUUGUUCGAAGAUGCUCAUAUUGUGAUUUCUGGGCACCUAAUUUCAUCUUCACUCUGUGUUUAACAAUGUUUGCCCUUUUAAUUAAUCUUUUCAUUAGAGUUUUUUCUCCAACAGAUUCCAGUCUUAUCCAUUUUACGACCUUGUUCAAGCAUUGUUGCAUUGAAAUAAUGUUUCAUGGACUAACAAUGUUAUGAAACACAAAAUGAUUUCUUCAUACUGCUUUGAAAAAUUUCUAAAUAGUACAGGGACCUGAAAGAUGACCACUAGUUAGAAAUAACCAAAUUUGAAGGUUAGAAAGAUCCCAAAACAAAUAGUCCAAAUUGUGACUACCUCUUCGGGUUUCCUAUCAAAGAUACCAAACUUGAUUGGAAGACAUGGUAACACUUCAGUGAUAAAACCUAGACGACCGAUGAAUAAUGUCGACCUAAGGACUAAAAGAUAGGACCAUCCUCAAAUAUGACAUUUUGCAUUCUUACAAAUAUCAUUCAUUCAUAUCUAAUUAGGAGUAUUUGAUUCAUUCCAAUCAUAACAUCCUAAUCGCUUAGCAAAAAAUAUAUGAAACAGAUUCUACAGGUCUUGUUCCUAGAAAGUGGCAUAACGGAUCGGUGAAACAAUAACUCCUAUAUCCCUGGAGUUGCAGUGGAAUGGAUCAAAACUGCAGUAGCAAAUCUCAUGUCCAUGUAGAUGUAGUGGGGCUAGAUGAAGUUAUAAGCUCAAAUCCUAUAUCCCUGAAGAUUUAAUGGAUCAGAUUAAAACUUCAGUAGCAGAUCUCAUCUCAAUGAAGAUGCAGUGGGGCAAGAUGAAGCUACAAAUUGAAAUCCCGUAUCCCUGAAGAUGCAGUGGAUUGGAUUGAAACUACAGUAACAAAUCUCAUCUUCAUAAAGAUGUUGUGGAGCAAGAUGAAGCUACAAAUCCUAAGUCCCCUUGAAGUUGCAGCGGGUUGAGAUAAAGCUACAACAGUGAAUCUUAUCUCCUUGAAGUUGCAAUGGGGCAAGAUGAAGCUGUGACACUAAAUCCUAUCUUCUUGAAGUUGCAGUGAAAUGGAUAAAACAACAAUUCCAAUCCCCUAAAGUUACAGUAGAUUGGAAUGAAACUACAAUAAUGAAUCUUAUCUCAUUGAAGUUGCAAUGGGGUAAGAUGAAGUUGUGUCACUAAAUCCUAUCUUCUUAAAGUUGUAGCAAAGCAGAUACAGUGGAGUAGAGUAACCAAUGAAUUGAAAUAGUGAGUUACUUGAAAAAGAGAAGCACAAGAGAAGUCGAGAUCCAACAGGACCGGACGAAAUUGUUCCUCUUUUAAAGUCUUUGCUCCCUUUUCGUUACACGAUAAUGAGUAAAUAGGGGCAAUUGUAAUGGCCCAAUAUCGUCUGGCCCAAAAAAAAACAAAAUUCCAUUGAUAAUCAAAAAUCUAUUUUACAAAUGAAUAAAAUACAGAAGCCUGAAUCCAAACCCUAAACUACCCACCACCCAUCUGUUAACCUAAAAACCCAAAACCCAAUACCCAAAACUACCUAAAUGAGCAAAUACCCAAAGGCCCAUACAAGCCCAAACCCCAAACUAUCCUACGUUACCAAAAACCCUAAAACCCUUCAACGUCACCGCUCUCGCCAAGUCAGCAGUACAUCAUCCAAGUCAUUUCUGUUAACCACGCCCCUAGGACUGCCCUCUGCCAUGGUUACAUAGAAAUGGCAAGGGGAACGUCCCCCCACUAUCGUUGACUCGACCUCAUUCACCAUUGCCAUGCAAAGACCUACAAAACAAAUACAUAACAGAGACAGAUAACAGAAGAAAAAGUAGAGAAAAAAGAAAAAAAAGCAAAUACAUUGUAAUAUUAAUGCGGCUAUAAAAGAUGCAACAACCCUUUUGUAACAAAAAAAAAGAUAAUACAAAAAAAAAGUUAAAAAAGGUAGUUCAUGUAACGCCCCCAUACCCGAGACCAUCUCUAGAGUCGAGCAUGAGGUGUUAACGAACUUAAUUCAUUAAUUAAACAGCUCAAGCAAUUUAUUUUUAAAAUUUUCAGACAAGCUGGCUAACUGCGUCACAUUCACUUAAAAAUUCAUAUCUCGAGUUUCGAAACUCAAAAUUAAGAUCUGUAAAUUUUUACUAAAACUAGACUUAUAUAUUUAUCUUAAAAGUUUUUUCUAGAAUUUUUGGUUGGGUCAAUUAGUACAGUUUAUUAGUUAAAGUCUCCCCUGUUUCAGGGUUUGACUACUCUGACCCCUGUGCAUUACGAAUCAGAUAUCUCCCUGUACAGAGUUUAAAUGAUUAUACCAUUUAGUUCUCAUAAAACUAGACUCAAUAAGGAUUUCAUACAUGUAAGAUAAACUCUAAUUAUUUUUUUACAAUUUAUGGUGAAUUUUUAAAUUCAGAACAGGGGAUUUAGAGACCACUCUGACCCUGUUCCACCAAAACUUAAAUAUCUUAUAAAACAUAACUCAUAUACCUGUUUCAUUCGAUCCAUAUGAAAAUAGACUCAUCAAGAUUUGAUUUCAUAACUUAUUAAUCAUUUAAUUCCAUUUCUACUAUUUUUAGUAAUUUUUCAAAUUCACAUCACUGCUGCUGUCUGAUUCUGUUUUGUGGUCAAUUUUACCUUUCCAAGGAUUUUCAUGGUUUAGUUAAGACAUAAAAUAUACAUGUUAUUAUAAAUAAACUUGAUUAGCCAUUCCAAUAGCUAAUCAUUUACAUACCCUUUUCUUACCAAACCAUAACCAUAUCAUAAGAUCAUUACACAAAAUGAGUAUAUUGCUAUACAUGCCACACUCAAAAUAUACAAGCUAUUUUACCAAUUUAGGUCUUCGAAUAGUGUGAACGAGCCUUCGACCUAUCCCGAUUCUCAAGUCGGCUUGUCAAAACUACAAUGAAUGAAAAAUGAGGGAGUAAGCAUAAAUUCUUAGUAAGUUUACAUGCAAAUAAUAAGUAACAUGAUCAUGCAAUCCAACAUAAACAUCAUUAAGACACUCAUAACAUAAGAAUACUUACUAUCUUACCACAAUUUUAUCUCACCAAGUUCUCAACCAAGGAUUAAACUCAUACCUGUCCAUUUUCACUUCUUCAACACAUUCAUCAUCGAAUCAAUUUCAUUUUAAGUAUUCUCCAUAUUCUCUUAGGAUUCUCCUGUUGAACACAUCGGAAUAUAAUUUCGGAUAUGCGGAUAGUGUGCACGUAAGUGCUAUACUCAUAACUGAACAAGCUCAAUAGCUUUUGAAAUCUAUGUAGCCAAGCUACCAUGUAACCCGCCCAUAAAAGAAGUAGAACUCAACUCAAUGAGCUCGAGCGUUCGCAUCCAUAAGUGAACUCGGACUCAACUCAACGAGCUCGAAUGCCUAGUUACAUCUCACGAACUCGGACUCAACUCAACGAGCUCGAAUGCCUAGUUAUAUCUCACGAACUCGGACUCAACUCAAGGAGUUCGGAACUCAACCAUCCUAGUGACAUGUCACUUGUACCAUAAUCUAUUCCCAAGGUUCAAACGGGAUUCUUCUCAAUUUUACAUUUUUAUCACCUUCUUCGAAAUGUAAAAACUGAUACUUGCUAACAUCUCAUACUUAUCAAGUUGUUCACAUAAUUUGCAUAUUACCAAAUAAUAAUUCACAAAGCAUAAUAUUUCAUGAUAAUAAAUAUCAUAUCAUAUAAAUAUCAUUAAAUCACUUAAAAUAAAAGUUAUGUUACCUUAUUUACACAUGAACUUACCUCGAUACAAAAUAUUAGCAAUCGAGCCUAUUCCUUGUAAACUUUGUUUUUCCCUCGAUCACGACUGGAAUCUUGUUUCUCUUGAUCUAUAACACCAAAUUAAUUUAUUUAAUACAUACAUUCAUCAAAAUAGCCCCUAGUAUGAACUUUGACAAAAUUACUAUUUUGCCCCUAAACUUUCACAUAUUUACACUUUUGCCCCAAGGCUCGUAAAUUAAACCUCAUCCUAUUUUUUUAUGUUUUAUGACAUGCUGAUCAUUUUUCUCUUCUAUAGCAACAUCAAAUUCACACUCUAACAUGUACUUAUGAAUAUUAGGUAUUUUUACCGAUUAAGCCAUUUUACUCGUUUUUCACUUAAAACCGAGUAGCAAAAGUUGUCUAACAUAAUUUAAAACCUCAUAUUAUAUCAUAAAACACCAAAAUACACAAAUUUCACCUAUGGUUAUUUUUCCAAAUAUGAACCCUAGAUUGAAUUAUUGCUAGCAUAAGCUAAAUCGAGUUACCGAGAUUCCAAAAACAUAAAAAUCAUUAAAAACGGGGCUUGAAAUCACUUACUAUGAAGCUUGGAAGUUGAAGAAACCCUAGCUAUGGAGAGAGGUAAGAUUCGGCCAAGGCUUGAUGAAGAUGAACACAUUUUGGCCUUAAUUUUCCUUUUAAUUAAUUUUAAUUACAAAAUGACUAAAAUAUCCUUAAUACCUUUAUUUGAAAAAUUUCAUGUAUAAGCCCAUUUUUGUCCAAAAUUUUAGAAAUUGGUCAAAUUGCUAUUUAAGACCUCCUCAUUAAUAUUCCAAAGCAAUUUCAUACUAAAAACUUCUAGAAUACAAGUUUUGUUAAUUAUUCGAUUUAGUCCCUAAUUUCAACUUAAGCAUUUUAUGCAUAGAAUUUCGUCACGAAAUUUUCACACAAUCAUGCAAUCAUAUCAUAAACCUCAAAAUAAUCAUAAAAUAAUUAUUUCUAUCUCAGAUUUGUGGUCACAAAACCACUAUUCCGAUUAGGCCCUAAUUCGGGAUAUUACAGUUCAUUUUUAUUGUUUUUUUAAAUUUCAAAAAAAAUAUAAAAAGAAAAACAAAAGGUUUAAUUUUUUUACCUGCGACGCUUCAUUCUCCACCAUGGAAGGCCGAGGCCACUGUCUCCGAUGUCUCCUAUGGACAUGAGUGGUCCUCGAGCCCCUCUUGGCUCGUCUUGGCUUUGUUGGAAAAGGAAAUAUAAGGGUGACCUUUCAAAAAAAUGAAGAAAUCAACAGGUUUUUUAGAUUUUUUAGGGGAUUUUGGUUGGGGUUUUGGAUGAUCUAACCUCAGAUCCGCGUUCUACACGUAAAAAGGCACAAAAGGGAAAACUUUAGGGAACUUUGGCAACUGGGAGCCCCACCGUCCCUAUGGUCGAACAAGGGGGAGAGUUGAGAUAGAAAAAAAAAACGAAAGUUUUAAAAAAAAUUGGGCACAAAUGAAUUUUUUUUUUCAAAAUUUUUAACUUAAAUAGGCUUGCGAUACGAUGCCGUUUUGGCUUGGCUUUAGAAGCCCCAAACGGACUUCAUUUUAAUACGAUCCAAUGACACAAUCCAGAUCUCCUGGGAUCCGCGUGUUUAUGAGGGGAGGGUUUAAUUGCUGUAUAGGCCCUUCUGCUUUUUGUUUUCUUUUUUAUUUCGUCCUUUCUUUUUUUUUGAAAAAAAUUUCCCCUUUAAUUUUAUUCCUUUGCAUUUCAAUCCUCUGACUCAUUGUUAACCCCUUUUGGGGAGUGACAUGUGUACCGAGGCCGAGAUAAUUUAGCCCUUUUGUAUAUUUAAUUCAGUCUCUUUACUUUCUGGUUUUUAAUUUCCUGCACUUCUAGCUUAUUUUAUUUAUAUUUCUGCCCAUAAAAUUAUGCAAAUUUUAUUUUAUCCUUAAUCACUAUUACUAAUUAUUAUUAUUAGCACUGAUUAGAAUUGUUUUUACAUUUAUUGUUAUUUUUGUCAUGAUGUUAUAUUUAUUUUAUUUUACUAUUUAUGUUUUUAUCACCUUCUACUAUUAUGAUAUUGUUUGAUAUGAUUGCAUAUACUCAUUUAUCCCGUAUAAUAUAUCAUGUUCGAAUAGAUUUGUCGUAUGUCACAUUAGAAGUUGUGUCCAUUUUCGUGCAAUGUAUAUUUAGCAAUUAAAACCGAGGCAAUGUUCUUUAUUUUGGGGAUUUGACUUUCUCUUCGAACCGAAAUAAUCGAAUGUCCUUAUUAAAAUUAAAAAAAUAUAUAGGGUUUAAGUAACAAUUAAGCGAUGGAUAUUCUUAUUUUCGGUGAUCCGAAACGUCGUGCCCCUAACUUACGGGACAUGACUUUUUGAUUGACUUGAAACAAAAGAACCUUCUCCAUAAAGUUCAAUUUAGGUAAUAAUAUUUCUAGUAAUGUCAUCAAAUAACACCAUUUUCAUGCAUUUAAAGGUCGUAUUUUAAAAUCUUAUCAGGUUCACCUAUGUCUAGAGAUGACACGCACGCUAUUCAUAAAUACCAUUGAAUGAAAUAGUAAAUUAAAACUAAUCUAAGUUCUGGCCAAUAAUGGAAAUAAAAGUUUCAUCAAGUAAUCCCAACCCUAUGAGAUUUGGCUCAUGGGUUGGUGAAUAGAAUCCAUAUUCAAAAUAGUAAUCAACAUCGUUUCCUUAAAUCAGAUUAUGGAAUAGAAAAUAAAGAAUUAAAGGUAGAACUAAGGAAGAUAGCUUUCGCCUGUCUAGCCCACAACUCCAGCUAUGAAAUGUCUUUUAGUGACCAGGAGGGACUGCCCUCAUCUUCCCCUUUACGUCUCCGUCCUUGUUGCAACUGCUACCCUCUAUUUUCGUCUAAGUGAUUUCUCCUUCCAAAAAUGACUCUGUAUUGUCUACUCCCUUUUCAAUUUUUAUUUUUGGGUUUUAUAUAUCCUCCUUUAGGGUAAACCCAUCAUCCCAUGAUCUUUUUCCUUUUUUUUUUGGGCUAAUUUUUCUGGUUUGAUAAUGGUUAAGUAUUGACUGGGUUGCUUCCUGGCAUUUCCAUGACAUUCGUGUUGGCAAACUGUCCAACCUUUUUCCACGAUAAACCUUUACUUCUUUACUUCUUUUCCUCAUUUUGCACAUGCCACUUAACAAACAAAUCCUUCUCGCAAACAAUUAGAAGUAACAUGUAAUAACAUUUAAGCAUAAUCCAAGCUUUUUAAUACAAUUAACUAAAAACACUAAUGGAAAAUCCUAAAAUGCAACUAAACUUAUCUAAGUAUAGGCAAUUAAUCAAGUCUAAAGGCAUCAAAUAUAACUCGUUUCAAGAGUUAUCACUAGCACGGGUUGUCCACCUCUUCGUUGACACUAAAAAAUGUUGUGUAGUUAUCAGGAUAAGUGGUUGUACGCAAAACAAACAAACAAAGGCAAAUUAUAACAAAAUAAUAGAAAUAAAAACAAACAAAAACAAAUCCAAAAGUAGUUUAGUAGUUUAAAUAGUUUACAUGCUGCACAAAUAAAAAAUAAAAAGAAAUGCUUAAACAUGUAACUAAUCUUCAUCAUCGGAGUGCGCUCCGGUCUAGCUACUUCAUUCCCCUUGCCCUUCACCACAGACCUUUUAUAUGAUAGGUGAGUCAGUGGUUUGGGGUCUCGAAUGAAGAAACUUGCUAUAGAGGGGCGUUCGGGUGAAAAUGUUCCCUCGAAGUCAUCAUGAUAAGACACCACUUCAUCAUCCUUAGUUGCCUCAUCAUCUAUAUCAACAUCUGUUUUGGUAUCCCCUUUGUCAGCUUCUUUAUCUUCCUCUAUGGCAUAAUCAUAUGACCUUAUUAGCCAAUGAAUGUUGCCCCAUGACUCUCCAUAAAGCUAUCCACAAAAGGUUGCAUGGCAUCAAACCUUCUAUUGGUGUAUCAGACCUCAUUGAACAACUUCUCAAGUUGUGCUUCAAGGCCUCCAGAUGUCAUUUUGGAGCUCACUUUCCUUGGAUGAACAGAAGGGGUGUCCAUUUUAUGUUUCCUUUGUUGGUUCUAGUCCUUUAUUUAUUCUUGGUGAAGGUCCCUAAACUCAUGAAGCAUGAAGUCACCAAUGAUACUUCUUAUGAGCUUGUAAGAUUGUUCCAUCGGGUUUAUGACAACCGUCUUCUUACGACAUAAUUCUAUAAUCAGGUGGGGAAAGUAGAUAACUAAUUUUCCUCCCACAAUACACUUUUUCAUUUCUUGGUUGAUCCAGUUCCCUAAGCAAACCCGCUUACACUGUAAAAUGGUAUACAAAAACACAACUCAAAAUACAGUGACAGUGUUAGUAUUAAGCAAGGGGCUAACAUGUGUGUAAAUGAAUUGCAUCCACAUCUUAACCAUAUGGAACAUUAUGGUCUGUAUGAAAGUAAGAGGAAGACUGUGAUACCCCUCGCGUUUCCAUUCGCCCAGAUUUUCAGUUAAAAUAUUUAAUACGACAUCCAUAUUGACAUUCGUAAAACGUUCUAAAUCCAUAUUCUAAAUGUUAUCAUUUGGAUAAAACAGGACACUGUAAUGUUCACAAAUACGCUCGGGUGCUAUGCCUAUGUUGGAAAAUUGGGUUUGGAAAAGGUAACGAAAAAUAAAUUUAGUGAAAAACUAGAGUUUUAAAUUUUUUCCAAAAGUAGAACUUGGUUGUGAUAUCUAAAGUAAUAAACACUUAAUCAAAAUUGUACAUUUUUAUCCGUCUAGGAUGAACACUUCGACUGAGUAGUCUUCUCUGCUAUCCUCAAGCUCACGUCUACUUAGUGUUGGCUUGCUUCGAAUCGGAAAAUUUUUCACAAAAAUUACCAGUGGGCUAAUUUCGUAAUUUCUCUAAACUUUUGGGCUAAGCUGUAAAUAAAAAAUAUCUCUAGAAAUUUUCUGAAAUAAUUUCUUUAGAGAUUUUUCUUUCUACAACUUUCUCUUGAAUUCAAGUGUGUAAAAUAAUGAUCUAAUGCUCUCUUUAUAUAGAGAGCAUUUAGAGAGUUUAACUAUGAUUAAACUUAAUUAUUUUAAUAUUAAAUUAAUAUGAUACUUAUCAAGAUAAAUAUUAGAUUAAAUUUAAUAUUAAAUCUUAUUAAAUUAAUAGAAUAUUUUAUCUACAAAAUAAACAUUAAAUUAAAUUUAAUAUUAAGAUAAUCUCUUUAAUAUUAAAUUCAUAAAAUACUAUUAAGAUAAGUAUUAAAUUUAAUUUAAUAUUAAAUCUAUUAAAAUAAUAUUAUUUUUGAAAUAGUUAAUCUUAAAUGAAAUUCUCUGGUAGAGUUCUAGAAUGAGUGUAAUUCUUCCAAUGCUCAACCAUCGAAGACCCACCGCUGCCAACCAUUUUUCAGCCACUGGAAUACUUUCGUCGCAUCUGCCUACACCCCAAGAUAGUUUGGUUUCUGCCGGUUUGGUCCAAGCCAGUGACAACCCGACUGGUCCGGUCUAACCAUCAGUUGGACCAUCAACCCGAUUUCACAUGCUAAUUUUUGGGUCUUGGCCUCAGUUUUGGGCUCCGAGGCCCAAUUUACAAUCUUAGGUCUAACUUUCAAGUUCAAUUACCCAUUGGAUCAAUUAUUUGACUUGAAAAUUAAUUUCCAAAAUAUCAUAUUAAUUUUAAUUAAUUUGAUUGAUUUAAUUUUACUUGAUCAAAAUUAAUUUUUCCAAAAAUCACUUAGAUUUUUCAAUUCUUACGACCACUCAAUUUAAUUCCAUGUCGAACAAAUUGACUCAAUUAAAUUAUUUUCAAAGUUUUAGAAUUUUCUUCUGAUUCAAAUACAAUCUAAUCGAGCUUUUGUUGAGCUACUGGAGGGACCAAUUAGACAUAUACAAUUAGGCUCUAGUAAUUGCAAUUAUAUCUAGAAGCAUCGUUUCGAUAAUUCUCAAUUACUUAAUCAUGGAGUCAAUUCACAAGAAGUACCAUGAUUGAAAACUCCCUAUCGUAUACUUUUUACAAAAGUAAUUCAUCCAAUUUCUUUAUCCAAUGACCUCUCCAUGUGUGUGUUAUCCUCAUGUGAUACAUUGUUUUCUUUAAGUUAAAUCUGUUCACUCAAUAAAAUCAUAUUUUAUCUCAUUGUCACCAUUGUGUCUUUUUAAUAAUUAAUAUAUCACUAUCAACAAAUGACUAUGAUAAAUUACUCGUUCGAGAAUAAGAAACUCGUCGCCACGUUCCAUAUUUAUCAAUCUAAACAAUACCAAUGAGAGGAUAACGUUAACUCUUUAAUUGAGCAAUGAAUUCCACUAUUGCUAGUAAAGUCAUGUCAUACACAAGUUAUAUACCUAACAUACCGGCUAUUGGCUCAAUUAUCUUUAGAGCAUAAGCCUCCACUUAUAUCAAAGCACAUGAGUUACAUACGCAUGGUUAGUGAGUAACUCAGGAUUUAGGUCAAUCACACCAUGAAUGUCAUAAGUGAAUUAAUUCACAAACGGAUUCAAAAUUAACUUAUCUUGGGUCCAGUCCAAUGUAUCAUUCUGCCAAUGAAUACAUUUAUGUCUCUACCCGUAAAGUCAACUACAUCAAUAGCCAAUACUAACCAUCUCCUCAAUUGGAAUUGUAGAUGACAUAAUAAAUCUUUCUCAGUAUUUGAAUCAAAUGCUCACUUUAAUUCUUUUUACGGGAUUACGGACUAGUUUUGAUUAUCUACUAAAGUAAGUUCUCUUUCUUGCAAUAUAAACGUUCUUACAGUUCCACUUAUCAUCAGUUUGAACUUAUAUAAUUAAUUAUCUAAUAUUUUUUUUGUCACAAUUUCGCUAUGCAUGCAAAAUAUGAAAGACAUAAAUACAAAAGACAUAACAGUGAAAUGUAAAAUUUAUUUAUUCAUCGUUCAAAUACAUAGAAAACAAUUACAUGUUACUAUAAUAUGAACACAUUUCCCAACAAUCUCUUAUUUGCUUUGGGCUGAGCUUCAAGAGGGCACGUUUCAUCAAGAACGAAUUUGUAUUUCUCACAUUUGAGAACUAUUAGAAAGUUUCGCUUCCAUUCUCAAAAGUUAUCCCCAUUUAAUUUGUUAUGAUUUUGACCCGAUUAAGCAACGAACAACAAAAAUAGUGGAAUAAAUUGAGAAAUUGAACACACAAAUUUAACGUGGAAAAAUCCCUCCAAAGAGGAUAAAAAACCGCGGGCAAAGAUAAUUUUACUAUAAUGGCAAAAAAACGAAGAGUACAAAAGAUGGAGAUAAAGACUAAACCCCGAAAACCCGAAAACAAAGAACCCUCAAAACGUAAACACAAAAUUCUCUAAAUGUGUUAUGAGUUCUAAUCUCUAAUGGGUGAAUUUUCUAAGGUUCUAAAAGAGCCUAUUUAUAGGCUAAAUUCAUAGAUCAAAUAAUAAUAAAAUAAUCUAAACUAAUCAGUGUUUGAUUGAAACAAGUAAACAGAGUUUAACUGAAAGAUUACUUUUCAAAUUUGACUGAAAAUAGGAGUCAUAUUUAACAAAUCUUCACCUUGACUCAUAUUUCCACAACGCCAUCUUUGCCAAAGCCCGCCACGAGCCUAUCUUGAACUAUGCAGGGAACUAACUGAGUCGAUUUUGUGCUUAGAAACUAGAAGACUUCUAGCCUUCGACUUGUACACUGCCAAAUCAAAACUAACCCAUGUUUGAUUUUCACGAACAUAGUGCCCUAACUUUUCAAAACCUGCAUCCCAAAGAGAACCUCUCUUCAACGAAACGGUCAUACCUUUUUUCCUCUUAUGACCAAGUUGCCUCUUCUCCAAACAAGUUGACUUCAACUUCGUAACAGACGAGGGACGUCCGAUUUCAUCGGUCACUGUAGAACCUUCCAAAAUAUAAAGACUUCCAGUUCUUUUACCUUUUAACAAAACGAGAGCUCCACGAGAUACUUUAAUGCCGCUCAACUCGAUGUUGAUUCUGCAUUCUUUCAAGUUUAAAAUACUCUAGGAGAUGAAAUUCUUUUGUAAAUCAGGUACAUACCUGACAUCUGAGAGUGUCCUAAUUGUCCCAUUGUGCAUCUUAAUUUUAACAGUACCAAUACCAGUUAACUUACUAGAUGAAUUGUUUCCCAUGUGCACAACUCCACCUUCAACUGAACUGUAUGUGGAGAACCAUUCUCUAUUGGGACACAUGUGGAAAGAACAUCCUGAAUCUAGGAUCCAUUCAGAUGUGAGCUUUGAGUUAUCGUUAGUUGACACUAACAAGAAAUCAUCACCGCUUUCAUCGGCCAAAUUAGCACCAGCUACAUCUUCCUCGUUACUCUCAGCAGCUCUUUUAUUUCGCAAUUUAUAACAAUUUGCUUUGACGUGACCUAACUUUUUACAAUAGUGACACCUUUUAUCUCGUUUCUUUGAUGCUACCAAAACGGAAGCUUGCCUAUCUGUCUUGCUAUCCAAAUGAAGCUCAUUGUCGAGUUUGUCUCUACUCAACAAAUGACCCUUCACAUCUUCGAACGAGAGUUUGUCUCUACCAUAAAUCAGGGUCUCCCUGAAAAACUUGUAUGAAGGGGGUAAAAAGUACAAUAAUAUCAUAACCUGAUCUUCAUCGUCAGUAUGAACCUCAACAUUCUUUAAAUCAUUUAAAAGAGUAAUAAAUUGACUGAUGUGAUCUCUAAGAAGCUCACCUUCGUUCAUGUGAAACGUAAAUAGACGUUGUUUCAACACUAAACUAUUAGCCAAAGACUUAGUCGCAUAAAGAGUUUCUAACCUUUUCCAUAAGGCAGAUGAGGUCUUUUUCAUCAAUACUUCCUGCAAUACCGUAUUCGCAAGGCACAACUGGAUUGCAGACAAAGCCUUUUCAUCAAGCUCUUCCCAUUCUGCUUUAUUUAGAUUCUCAGGCUUUUUCCUGGUAAUAACCUUUUUCAAACUGGAUUGAACUAGAAUUGCCAUCAUCCAAACUUGCCACAGAUUAAAAUUUGUAUCACCAUCGAACUUCUCAAUUUCAAACCUUGUUGCUUCCAUCUCUGAAUGGGCUGAUAUAUGAAAAUUAAACUAGCUCUGAUACCACUUGUUAUGAUUUCGACCCGAUUAAGCAACGGAUAAGAAAAAUAGCGAAAUAAAUUGAGAAAUUGAACACACAAAUUUAACAUGGAAAAAUCCCUCCAAAGAGGAUAAAAAACCACGGGCAAAGAUAAUUUUACUAUAAUGGCAAAAAAACGAAGAGUAAAAAAGAUGAAGAUAAAGACUAAACCUUGAAAACCCGAAAACAAAGAACCCUCAAAACGUAAACACAAAAUUCUCUAAAUGUGUUAUGAGUUCUAAUCUCUAAUGGGUGUACUUUUUAAGGUUGUAAAAGAGCCUAUUUAUAGGCUAAAUUCAUAGAUCAGAUAAUAAUAAAAUAAUCUAAACUAAUCAGUGUUUGAUUGAAACAAGUAAACAAAGUUUAAUUGAAAGAUUAUUUUUCAAAUUUGACUGAAAAUAGGAGUCAUAUUUAACAUAAUUUAUUCUUUAUAAAAAUGAAAAUAAGAGGAGUAGGAGACAUAUUUGAACUGAAAAAAUAAAGUUUCACUAAUUAGUAUAUUUGUAUUAAACAAAUAUUUUCCUUUUAACAACAUAUCAAGAAUGUGGUAUGAUACAUGCGUCUUGUAUUUAAACCUUGAAAAAACACUACGAUCAUUCUCACAUCCAUCAACCAUGUCGCCUUGGGGUCUCAUGAUUAACUAGUAAAAACAUGUAUUACAUCCAAUCAGUUUGUGAAUCUUAAUUCUCAAGACUCCACAUGAACUAACGAUUGUUUAACGUUUGGCUAUCAUCUCUAGCUUAAAUAUCAUUUCUUAGGAAACUAUUUAGUUAGAGACGAUCUUGAAUGUGUAACCAUUGGCUCAACACCUAUCAUUAACAUGCUUUCAUUUGUGAGUCAUCUUGGGACAAUCUCUCUAAAGAUCAUGCAUGACUAGUUGUCUUUAAAAGGAAAUCACAUCUAGUGAACCCACAUGAAAAAAGUUUACCUUGGGGUGCAGCUAGGGUAGGAACCAACACGAAAGUUUAUCAUGCUAUCACUUAGGGACUAUCAAUGGUGGCCAUAGGUCUUGUUCAAGGACCUUUUCCCACUCAAUAUUUUUAAAAAAAUAUGCAAGAUUCUUAUUCCAGAUUUCUAGAAUAAUCAUACAAUAGUCCUAGUGGCAUUCUUACCUAAUCUAUAACACCCUUUAUCUGGCUCGGUCACCAGACCCGAGUAAUAAUACGCUAUUUUAAAAAUCCAACAAACAAAAAAUACUUUAAAUAAAAAAACUCUAUUCCUUAUCAUUAAAUCAUAUAUAAAAUCAAACAUAUUAAAAAUUUUGAAUUCUACAAUGACCUAUCUAUGAGAUACAAGCAUAUAGUGAGAUUGAAUUGUAAAAUUUUAAAGUUUAACUGCCAAUUUUUAAAAUCCACAGUUGGUAUCGAUACCUUACUAAAAAUUGAUAAUAAAACUCAAUUUUUUUUUCUUUUCUAAACAAUGGUAUCGAUAAUUAUUUUAUGUUAUAAAUAUUUUAUGAGAAAGUAUCAAUACUUAAAUAAAAAUCAAUAGCAUUUUGGCAUUCUAUUUAUUUUAAGACUAUACAUAAUAACAAGUAUUGAUACCAAUGCCAAAAAUAUCAAUACCUGGGUCAGGAAAGGUAAAAACUAUAUUCAAAAAGUUCAUUUGUGACCAAAAUUCACAUAAACUCAAAUGGUAAGCUUAAAUAUAUUUAUAGAUACAUAAUUCCAUUCAAAAACAUAAGUUUUCAUAUCAAACACAUCAUUAAAAUUAACCAACCUAGACCCUUAAACAAUGUACAUCAAUUUCAAACUAACUAAAUACAUAUAUAUAUACAAUUAAACUAUUAAAUCAUUGAUAUAUCUCAACCAUUUCCAUUAUACCAAACAAAACUAGUUGAGCAAAAAAAUUCCAAUUCACUUCUCCCUAAUUAAUAUAUUCACCUUCAACUACUCAAGCAUCAAAUGUCCAUACCAUGGUACUACCUCAUUUAUUUAGACAUUUGACAAGGAAAUCAUUCAACCAAACAUAUCAUCAUCAAUAAAGAUACUACCAAUACUUUCACACUCACAUAUAUAAACACAUAACUUGUAUAAAUUACCAACCAAAACACAAACUAAUUACAUAACUCAAAAUGAGCUUUAACUCAAAAGACUUCCUAAGUACAUGCCAAACCAAAAUAAGAGCGUCAUUAACGCUUGAGUUCAGGAUUGUUGUUGGAUGCUGAGUUGAUGAGUGAACUGUAAAGUACCUAACCUACGCAUAGAAAAGAAAACUGUACGUUGAGUAUAAUGCAAUGGUAUUUCUAUAAUCAAAUAAUAAAGUAUAUUAUAAUGAUUAUAAUGCAUUUUAACUUGUCAAUAUACAAUUCCUAUUACAUCACCUAUUAUUAAAUCUAAUUACAUAUAUUAAACCGAGCUUAUAAACUAAUAUCCACUAUAUACCCCUAUUUCAAUUUCACUAUUCUCAAUUUCGCAGUUCUACAAUAUAAUUUCAUCGACCAGUCAUUAAUUCACAUAUGUUCCAGCAUAACUCAUCACAAAUCGAAUUCAAUUGCACAAUAUUAUCGACAUAUCCUAUUUUCAAAUUUAUUCAAGUUAAUCAUUAUCAUAAAAACUAAUUCAAAUUGAUUCAAUUUAGCUUGUUCUAUCAUUUCCAGCUUACCUUAUGUUAUAACCAUGUAGCGCAGUUCAUAAAUGCAACAAUUAAAAAUGUUCAGGUUAUAAAAAUACAAACUGUAAACUUUGAGCUAUUCAUUUACAACUUUGUCUUUUCCUUUUCGUCUUGGGGUAUUCAGGUCGACAUUUUGCUACGAAUUAAAAUAAACAUACCAAAUCAUCAAAAUGCAAGCCAAUUCACAUUCAUUUGCUAAUUUAAUAAACUUUUUUAUUUUAUUCAAUUUAGUCCCUAAAAUCUAGAGUAACAUAACUUUUAAAUUUAACCCCAAAUUUUAGGCCGAAUUCAUAAGAGUCCCUACAGGAUCACCUAUUUUUCAUUUUUACCCCUAAUUUUGAAAUUUAUACUAUUUAAUCCCUAUAAUACAAAACUUUAAACUUACUUCACAAUUUAGUCAUUUUUCAACUCUAAACUUAAUAUCUAUCAAAUUGACCUAAAACUUCAACUAAUCAAUAAUGGUAACAUCCUUAAUAUUUAACAAUACUAAAAAAUACAACAUGGAUCAACAAGCUUAAGCUCCCAGGAUUCCAAAAAAUAUAAAAAUUACAAGAAAAUGGACUAAAUUGACUAACCAAUUAAAGCUUAAAAAUUUCUAAACCUUAGGCCCAUUGUAUUCUACCUCUCCCUAUUUGUUUCGGAAGUUGCUGCAUGCAAAGAGAAAUAAAGCUUCUCUUUCCUUCCACUCUUAUUUUAUUUCCUAAGUUUAAUUAACUGUUUUAUUAUUAAUGUUAUUUUACUUAAAAUUUCAUCACAAAUUCUAAUAUAUUGGCACAUGUUAUUGUCCACUCAGUUAAACCAUUGGUUUAAUUGCUAUAAAAGUCCCUUAUUUAUGUUUUACACUAUAAUUCAAUAAUAAUUAAAUUUUAAUACUUUUUUGAUUUAAUUCUUGUACCAUAAUUAAGUAAUAAUUCGAUACAAUUAACUGAAUGAAAUUCAAUUCACUUAUAAAAUAAUCUCGUAAAUAUAAACAUUUACAAGCUCAAUUUACGAAAACGAGGUCCCGAUAUCUCAUUUUCCAAAACCAUUGACUUUUGAUAUAGACCACUUGUACCUUGAUUAACUGAUUCUUUAAUAAAAUCUGUCAAAUCAAAAUCUCAUAUAACACUAAAAUAAAUUUGUAAAUAUUAUAAAAUAAUAUUUACAGACUCGACCAUCGAAGAAUGGGGUUCUGAAACCACCAUUUCCGACACCACUACCUUUCGGGUCGUUACAUAAUCUGUAUGACAUGCUUCCAAUAUAUGCAUGACAUGCUAUGACAAUUUUAUAAUAUUCUCAUUCAUUCAUACACAAGAAUCAAUCAAUCAAUCAUAAAAACAAGCAAUUUUCAUUCUCCACAACGCAUUUUUUAAGGGAAAAAUCAAAGAAGUGAAUACAAACCAUGCACCAAGUAGGGUCCCAUGAAAGAAAGAUGAGUCAAAUUUGCCCGUUUAAAAAUCAAACCUUUUGUAAUAUCCUUAAACUGGGUCUACUAGUUUUGGGUUCCGAGAAUGAAUUUAAGAAUUUAUUGGGUUAAUAGUAAUUUUUAAUUUAAUUUAGGAGGUCAAUUUCAUCUAAAAUUGAUUAAAAAAUAAUUUGAAAAAAUAAAAAUAUUUUUUGAAAAAUUAAUUUUAAAGUAUUUAAAUAAUUAUUAGUGAAAAUAAUUAAUUUGGGUCGAAAAAGAAUUUUAAAAUAAUUUUUAUUGGGGUUAAUUUGAGCUACAUUUAAAUAUUAAUUAAAUUAGAUUUAAUUAUAAAAUAAGAGAAAUUUUGGAUUAUUUAUUUGGAAAAUAAACCUUUAAAUUCGAAAUUUUGAAGGGAAAUGAUCAAUUGGUAAAGAGAAAUGUGGGAGUGACCAUUAGACAAAUUUCCCAAUUUUUAAAUUUCUGGUAGGUUGUUUCAAUUUUAAACACAAUUCAUCUAGCCUACAUUUUACACCAUUUACAUCAGAUUAGAUAGCUAUAAAAUUCAUUUUCUUUGUAUGGUUUUAAAGAUCUAUCAUCAGAUAAUAGAUUCAACAAAUUUCCUUCUCAAAGUACUCUUUCUUUUUACCCGAAAUUAUUCACAAAAUUAGCUAAAAGUAUUUUGAAAUUUCUCAAGAUUCAAGAUUCAAGAUUCAAGAUUCAAGAUUCAAGAUUCAAGAUUCAAGAUUCAAUAUUCAAGAUUCAAGAUUCAAGAAUCAAGAAUCAAGAAUUUAUUUUAAUCAAACUAAAAAUAAUCCAAAAUAUGGGUAUGCUACCCUAGCACGCAUGCGUCUGCCUCUCUGGCAUGUUCUUAGGUUUUUUGGGUUAUUUUGUUCAAAGUUUAAUCUUGGCGGCAACAGUCUAUCAGAAUCUCCUCUUAUCCUCUAAGAUAGCAUGCAAACGGGGCUUAAUCUCUAGCCUGCAAUCAUGGAAAAAGAAUUUGCUGAAUGAACAUUUGAUGAAGAAGAAGUAGUUUUACAAGCACAAGUUGAGCCGAAUUUGGAAAAGGAAGAAAGAACUUUUCGACUAGUGGGAUGAUUUUUAACAGCUAGUGUUAUUCACUUCCCAGCAAUAAAAAGCACCAUGGCGAACCUAUGGCUCCCAGUUAGAGGUGUUCAGAUCCGAGAUCUAGGAGAAAAAUGAUUUCUGUUUCAAUUUUUUCAUACAAUGAACAUGGAAAAAGUUCUGAAGGGCUCUCCAUGGACCUUUAAUAAUCAUUUACUGGUUCUACACACACUACAGUAGGGGGAGGAGCCAUUGAAAAUCCCUUUAAUCUUUUCGCCUUUUUGGGUACAGAUCCAUGAUAUUCCAAUGGGGUAUUUUUUUGAAAGUUUGGCAAGGCAACUAGGUGAUUUUUUGGGCAAAUUUUUGGAGUUUGAUAGUUCAGAUCUGGGGAAAGGUAAUAGGAAUUUUAUGAGAAUUCGAGUUCAAUUGGAUGUCUUUCACACAUGAAAGAGGAAAAAGCAGGUUAUGUUCUCUGGGAACUGUUCAUAUGUCAGAUUCAAAUAUGAAAGGCUGACUCUUUUCUGUUUCUAUUGUGGUCGACUGGGUCACAGUGAUUCUUUUUGUGAGGGAAAAAUGAAGUUAAGGGUAGAAGUGGCGGUAAUGGGCUGGGACUUGUCUUUGCGAGCGCAAUCCAAAAGAGCUUUGGAAAUGAAUAGUAUUUGGUUACGCAAAGAUGGAGAAGAUGACACAGGUCGAAGUUUCUAUGGCGAACACAAUUCAGAGUACAGGCCAUGGGAAAUGAGGAAUAAGUCAGAAACUAGAGUAUCCAUCGACCCAAUCCUGGGGAUCAAUUUGGAAGGUAAUUUGCCCUCUUCUUCACAAUGAGGGGAAAUUUGUUAGCCAAACAGACCCAUUCUGUAAUGGAACAUGAUUUGGAGGAAAGGGUGUUAAUUGGAGCAGAAGGAAAAAAAGGCCUAGGGGGAAAGUGCAGACCCAACAAUAAGAGAAGAAUGCAUUACUGCCACAGUAAGAAAUAGGAGAAUGUUGGAAAAUACUCUUUUAUCGUCGGCAGCUGCCAAAAGGCAAGCUGACCAAUCGUAAUAAAAAUUUUAAGUUGGAAUGUUCGUGGUUUGAAGAACCCACGGACAAUUCGAAGGCUUUGGCAUACGCUGAAGAAAUAUAAUCCCCAGAUGGUCUUUGUCGAAACCAUUUUUUAAAGGGAUGUUUGAAAAUAGGGAUCGAUUUUUGAAAAACGAAAACGGGAGUCACCACCAACCUUUUUAGGUGUGAUUGGAUCACCUUAUAAAAUGUUUUGGUCUACGAAAAUUAAGAAAAUAGGUUCGGGAGUCGGUUACGUACGAGGAAGGAUUAGCACCAUUGCAACGCCCAAAAUUGGUGCCAAAUUGAAUAGUUUUCUAUCUUAAUGCCAAAAAUUUGAAAGGAUUUAAAAAUAGGAUCCCUUUUUUUAAAACCGGAAUUAUUUAAGUUGAAAAAUCGAGAUUCCUUAGCUCCAAAAGAAUACAAACAUCACAUCCAGCAUGAUAGGACACGAUAUUCUUAAACUCUCGUAACUGAAAUCAUCUCGUGAUUUACAAAAUAUAUUUAGAAGGAUACUUUAGGCAUUUAGACAAACGGGAAAUCGUAACCCAGCAUGUUAGGGCACUAUUUCCCGAAUUCCUAAAUACGAAAAACAUUGCCUUAUUUUAGAAAAACUUUUGGAUAAAAUAUGACAAUUAAAUGAAAUAUAUUUUUUUAAAAUAAUGAUUUGAGUAAAAUUUAAAAAAUAAUUUACUAAGAGUAAUACUAAAAAAAAUUAUUAAAAAAAUGAAAGAGUUUGAUAUGAUACUAAAAUUAUUAAAAAAUUAAAAUAGAAAAAAAUCAGGGAAACAUGGAUUAAAGCAAAAUAAAAAGGGUUGAAAAACGAAGAUGAACAAAGAAUAAAAUAAGAACAAAAAGUAGAAAAUAAGAACGUAAGAGGGAGAGAAAUUUGAGUGAAAGCUCUCAAAAUUUUUUAUUGUUUCCUAAAACUCCAGUGUCUUUACAAUGAAGGGAGAGGCCUCUAUUUAUAGUUGAACCUCCUCAAAUCCAAUGGUACAGAUCAAUUACAUCAACGGUUAAGAUUAAAAGGUAUCUACAAAUUAAAUCUCUAAAAUUACAAAAUCAUAUCUUCUAAGAUUGCAUAUCAUAUCUUCUAAGAUUGCAAUCAUAUCUAAGAUUGUAUCAUAUCUAAGAUUGCAUAUCAUCUAAGAUUGCAUAUCAUUGAAGAUUAUAUUUCCAUAUGAGUCAAGCUUGUAGACGGACCUUAAAUCUUUUUUAGUAAUGGGCCAUUCCGAUCGGGCCAAAUUAUAUUUGUAAUUCUGGACUGAACUUGGACUUUUUUUUUGGGUUUAUUAUUUUUGUUUUUGGACUUAUUUCUGGGCCCGGGCGAAAUUGAGUAUCUACAGCUACCCCUCUUUCCUCAUUGCUGUGUAACAGGAAUAGAGCAAAGACUAUAAAAGGACCAAUUUUGCCCGGGCUCGCUGAGUUUUGAGUUCUUGAUCCUUGAUCUUCUUUAAAAGGCCUCUUGACGGCUUCAAUCUGCUUCACUGCAACUCAGGAAAGCGAUAUCUGCUAUCUUUGAUCUGCUCCCUAUCUAAUACAGAGAUGCUAAAUCUGUUAUCUUCGAUCUGCUCCCCGUCUAAAACAGAGACACCAAAUCUGUUAUCUUCGAUCUGCUCCCCGUCUAAAACAGAGACGCCAAAUCUGCUUCUUCAAUCUGCUCCCUGUCUAAUACAGAGACACCAAAUCUGUUAUCUUCGAUCUGCUCCCCGUCUAAUACAGAGACGCCAAAUCUGCUUCUUCAAUCUGCUCCCCGUCUAAUACAGAGAUGCCAAAUCCGUUAUCUCCGAUUUGCUCCCCGUCUAAUACAGAGAUACCAAAUCUGUCAUCUUGGAUCUACUUCGAUGUAAACACAUGAAGGUCAGAUCUGCUAUGUCUUCGAUUUGCUCCCCGUCUAAUAUAGAGAUGCCAAAUCAUCUUGGAUCUGCUUCAAUAAAGGUCCAAUCUGUUAUGUCUUCGAUCUGCUCCUCGUCUAAUACAGAGAUGCCAAAUCAUGUUGGAUCUGCUUCAAUGAAGGUCUAAUCUGUUAUGUCUUUGAUCUACUCCCUGUCUAAUAUAGAGAUGCCAAAUUAUCUUGGAUCUGCUUCAAUGAAGGUCCAAUCUGUUAUGUCUUCGAUCUGCUCCCCGUCUAAUACAGAGAUGCCAAAUCAUCUUGGAUCUGCUUCAAUGAAGGUCCAAUCUGUUAUGUCUUCGAUCUGCUCCCCGUCUAAUACAGAGAUGCCAAAUCAUCUUGGAUCUGCUUCAAUGAAGGUUAGAUCUGCUGUGUCUUUGAUCUGCUCCCCGUCUAAUACAGAGAUGCCAAAUCAUCUUGGAUCUGCUUCAAUGAAGGUCAGAUCUGCUACGUCUUCGAUCUACUCUCCGUCGAAUAUGGAGAUGCCAAAUCUGUUUCUUCGAUUUGUUCUCUGACAAUACAGAGAUGUUAAAUCAUCUUAGAUCUACUUCAGCAUAAACACGUGAAAGCUAAAUCUGCUAUGUCUUUGAUCUGCUCCUUGUCAACGCAAGGAUGCCAAAUCAUCUUGGAUCUACUUCGAUGUGAAAACAUCCGAAGGUUAGAUCUACUAUGUCUUCGAUUUGUUCCCCAUCUAAUACAGAGAUGCCAAAUCAUCUUGGAUAUCCUUCAAUGAAGGUCCAAUCUAUUAUGUCUUUGAUCUUCUCUCCGUCGAAUAUGGAGAUGUCAAAUCUGUUUCUUCGAUUUGUUCUCUGACAAUACAGAGAUGUUAAAUCAUCUUAGAUCUGCUUCAGCAUAAACACGUUAAAGCCAAAUCCGCUAUGUCUUCGAUCUGCUCUCCGUCGAAUAUGGAGAUGCCAAAUCUGUUUCUUCGAUUUGUUCUCUGACAAUACUGAGAUGUUAAAUCAUCUUGGAUUCGCUUUAGCUUAAACACCUGAAGGUUAAAUCUGCUAUGCUUUAGCCUGUUACCCUACUGCUUAGGGGGUUAAGGCGCAUCAAUCUUCAUUGUCCCUUGAAGGACAUAACCUGUAUAAUGUGUAUGAGUUCAUGCCUAAUGAUUAGGAUGCUAUGAUCGAAGUGAGUCAAAUGCUCCUAAUUAAACCUGUUAUAAUGCAAAAUGUUUAUGAAUAUGACCCCUAUUCCAGACGUCACUACUCAUUCUUUCAUCGAAGUUUAUCCUUAUUUCUCUCGAAGUAUCAUUCCUACUCAGCCUGUGGGUUUGUACCAUUCUUCAAAUGCUAUGACCCAUCAAAAAUGUCUGUAAGAUGAUUCUCUAUUAGGAUUGAAUCUUUUGAUUUGUCCAAUCAUCAUUUUGGACUAAAGAAAGAAUUUCCUCGAGUUCUUUCAAACCUCACUUACAUGAAUUCUUCGAACAAUUAUUCUGUUUUAGUUUCUUGUGUUAUCUAGAAAUUUCCAAAGUAAUGAGCAAAACUUCAUUUGUGAAAAUUAUUUAGUUCAUCUAUCAUUAUUUUAAUGCAACAUACUUUAAGAAUAAUGGAAGAUGAAUUUAAUCUUGAGAAUAAUUAGAUUUGAAUAAAUUUGUCAAAAAUACAAAGGAAAUUAAUCUGAAAGCCUAUCUUUGAGAAGAAAAAGAAUCUAAAGAUAGUAAACAGGACAAAAGUUACAUGCCCUAGAUAUCGCCACUUGAGCGUUUAUAUGCCAGCUCAUUGAAGACUUUCUUGAAUUCAACAUGUGUUUAAAAGAUCUGAAGUACUUUGUUGAUGCCCCGAUAUGCAACGCGCUUCACUCUUCAUUGAAUCAGAUAUAGCAAAAUUACCGUGUGCUCUUCAAAAUUUGAGCUGCCCUUUCGGGUUUUCAACUCAAAACCCCUUUGGUCACAAUGCGCCCUUUGCAGGUUUUCACCUUGGCCUCUCCAUUUUUUUUUUCCGAAAACUCAAGGCGCCCUUUGUGGGUUUUCACCCUGAAUUCUUCUCUCCUUUAGACAAAGUACUUUUUGACUGAGUCUGAAUUCACUAGAUUGGGCAAAAUCUUCCUAUCCAUUUCCGUUAAGAUCAAUGAACCCCUAGAGAAGGCCUUCUUCACAACAUACGGUCCUUCCCAAUUUGGUAUCCAUUUUCCUCUAAAGUCCUUCUGAAUAGGGAGGAUCUUUUUCAGCACAAGAUCCCCCUCGUGGAAUUCUCUUGGUCGUACUUUCUUGUCAUAAGCUCACAUCAUUCGCUUUUGAUACAUUUGACCAUGACGAAUAGCCUUUAACCUCUUUUCCUCAAUCAAGUUCAACUAAUCAUAUCGCGAUUGUAUUCAUUAAGCUUCAUUUAACUUUAUCUCUGACAAGACUCGAAGAGACAGUAUUUCCACUUCAAUGGGUAACAUUGCUUCCAUCCCAUAAACCAACGAGAAAGGAGUUGCCCCGGUAGAAGUUCUGGCAGAAGUUCGGUAAGCUAAGAGUGCAAAUGGUAACUUCUCAUGCCAGUCUCUGUAGGUUUCAGUCAUUUUCCCCACUAUUUUCUUGAUGUUUUUAUUAGCAGCUUCCACUGCCUCAUUCAUCUUUGGGCGAUACCGCGAAGAGUUAUGAUGCUUAAUCCUGAACUGAUUGCAAACUUCUACUAUCGUUUUGUUGUUCAAGUUUAGUGCAUUGUCUGAUAUGAUCCUUUCAGGCAUCCCAUACUGAAAAAUAAUCUCUUUCUUCAAGAAAUGACUUACAGUCGACUUAGUAACAUUCGCAUAAGAAGCAGCCUCUACCCACUUCGUGAAGUAAUCAACGACCACAAAAAUAAAGCGAUGCCCAUUUGAAGCUUUUGGUGAUAUUGGCCCAAUGACAUCCAUGCCCCACAUAGAAAAAGGCCAUGGAGAAGUCAUAACGUGUAGAGGUGAAGGUGGUACAUGAAUCUUGUCUCCAUAAAUCUGACAUUUAUGGCAUUUUUUAGCGUAGUUGAUACAAUCCCAUUCCAAAGUAGACCAAUAAUAUCCAAACCUCAUGAUUUGUCUAGCCAUCGUGAAACCAUUAGCGUGCGUGCCACAAACAACCUCGUGAACUUCUUCCAAUAUUAACUUAGCUUCCAUGGCGUCAACACAUCUCAACAGUACUUGGUCCUUUCUUUUUUUGUACAAGAUGUCCCCAUCCAAAACGUAGUCGCAGGCUAAUCUCCUUAAAGUUCGCUUAUCAUUUUCAGUUGCCUGUUCUGGGUAUUUACGAUCUCUCACAUAUCGCAAUAUAUCCUGAUACCAAGGGUUAUCAUCCUUUUCUUCUUCCUCAAUGUUACAACAGUGAGUUGGAGCUUCGAAGAUACUCAUCUGAAUGGGUCUCAUCUCCUCCUCUUUAUUCACUUUAAUCAUUGAAGCCAAGGUUGCUAGAGCAUCUACCAUCUGGUUUUCGUAUCGUGGGAUAUAAUUGAAAGUGAUGUCAUCAAACUCCUCAAGUAACCCUAAAACUACCUUUCAAUAAUUGAUCAAUUUAGGAUCCCUUGUCUCUCAUUCACCUUUAAGUUGGUAAAUUACCAACGCGGAGUCUCCAUAAACUUCCAAGGUUCUUAUUCUUCGCUCUAUAGCCGCUCGGAGUCCCAUGAUGCAUGCUUCAUACUCGGCCAUAUUGUUUGUGCAAUCAAAAUCCAACUUGCACGUGAAUGGAUAAUAAUCACCAUUUGGGGAUACCAAGACUGCCCCAAUUCCAUUUCCCACUGCAUUGGAUGCCCCAUCAAAGCUCAACUUCCAAGGAUAAUCCUCUGUAGCUUCUACACACAUCAACUCCUCAUUUGGGAAAUCAAAAUUCAACGGCUCAUAGUCUUCUAGAGCUCUACUAGCCAGAAAUUCCGCUAUCGCACUUCCUUUUAUAGCCUUCUGGCUUACAUAAACUAUGUCAAACUCUGAAAGCAGAAUUUGCCACCUUGCCAUUCUUCCAUUCAAAGCUGUUGACUCUAUCAUAUACUUCAGAGGAUCAAGUUUUGAAAUAAACCAAGUAGUAUGAUACAACAUAUAUUGCAUCAACCUUCGAGUCGUCCAGAUUAAAGCACAGCACAAUUUUUCAAUUGGCGAAUAUCUCAUCUCACACUCUGUGAAUUUCUUGCUGAGGUAGUAUAUCGCCUUCUCCUUUCUUCCCGACUCGUCAUGUUGGCCAAGCACACAUCCCAUAGAAUUUCUAAACACUGAUAAGUACAGAAUUAAUGGUCUACCUGGAUUAGGUGGAGAUAACACAGGAGCAUUUAACAAGUAUUGCUUAACCUUAUCGAAAGCACACUGGCAUUCCUCAUCCCAAGUACCUUGGUUGUGUUUUCUAAUGAGGCUAAAUAUAGGGUCACAUUUCUCAAUUAAUUGUGAAAUAAACCGAGUAAUAAAUUUAACCUUCCAAGAAAACCUCGAACUUCUUUCUGAGUACGUGGUGAAGGCAAAUCUUGUAUGGCUCUAACUUUAUCUGAAUCAACUUCUAUUCCUUUUUCACUGACCACAAAACCUAGUAACUUCCCCGACCUAGCUUCGAAAGUGCAUUUUGCCGGAUUAAGUUUUAACUGAAACUUCCUUAAUCUCAAGAAUAGUUUCUUUAAAACCUCAAUAUGUUCCUCCUCUGUUCGAGAUUUGGCAAUCAUAUCAUCAACAUACACCUCAAUUUCCUUGUGCAUUAUAUCGUGAAAUAAGGUUACUAUAGCCCUUUGGUAUGUUGCCCCUGCAUUCUUUAGCCUAAAGGGCAUUACCUUGUAACAGAAAGUCCCCCACAAGGUUAUGAAGGUGGUUUAGUCCAUGUCUUCAGGAUGCAUCUUUAUCUGAUUGUACCCUGAAAAACCAUCCAUGAAGGAGAACAACGAAUAUCCCGCUGUGUUGUCUACCAAAGUGUCUAUGUGAGGCAGAGGGAAAUUAUCUUUUGAGCUAGCUUUGUUCAGAUCUCUGUAAUCAACACACAUUCGUACCUUCCCAUCCUUCUUAGGAACUGGUACAAUGUUAGCUACCCAUUCAGAAUACUUUACCUCUUGUAAGAAUCUUGCAUCGAACUGUUUCUUGACUUCAUCUUUUAUUUUUAAUACGAUAUCUGCUCUCAUUCUUCGCAACUUCUAUUGAACUGGUUUACAAUCCUGUCUUAUUGGAAGACGAUGCACCACAAUAUCAGUAUUUAACCCUAGCAUAUCUUGAUAGGACCAUGCGAAGAUAUCCUUGAACUCACGUAACAACUCAAUCAGUCCUUACCUUAUAUCAUCAACAAUAUGCAUGCCAAUUUUCACCUCUUUCCCUUCCUCUAGGGCUACAUUCUCUACUGCCUCUUUCUCAUGUGGCAUGAUUUGUUUCUCCUCCUGUUUCACCAUCCUCAAAAGAUCUAGAGACACAUCACAAUCCUGGACAUCUUCAAAAUCUGGUGAUUCCUCUAAACACAUGGCUUGCUCACGAGAGAAAUCAAGAUUUGUAAUUUCAAUGCUCAUGUCAUUCAUAUCUAGAGAUCUGUGAAGUAUAAAGAAUAUACAAAGAAUGAAUGAAUUUAAGAAUGAUUAUUUAUGUGCUAUGAAAGAAAGAAUAAGAAUUGCCAAAAUUUAACAGAAUAUUGGUUGAUAAAAAUGAAACAAUACUCGUUCAAAUUGAUAAAAGUUAUGCUUUAUUAAAAAAUAAUAGAUGAUUGUAAGCCUAUUUCACAAGUGAAAUCCUAUUCUCCUAGGCUCUAGAGUAACAAGAAUGUUUCGAGAAUUACUCUGAAAAAUUCCUAAAGACUACAGAAAGUUCUUCCACAGUCCAAUUGUUCAGAGAGCUUCUUGAUUCGUAAGGGUGAAUGCCCUUAAGGUUUCCUUGCUCCGAUCCUUUGUCGUGUAUAGCAUUAAUCUGAUGACCUUCUUCUAAAAGUAACCCUCCUGAUAUAAAGGUUUGGGAUAUUGGAGGGAAUGUCAUCGGCUCCCACUCCACUUCUCUUCUAUUAAGGCGCGCCCUUCUUCCCUCUUGGCGUUUCUCAACUUCCUUCCUCCUUUGCUUAUAGUCUGGCUUGAAGCCCAGACCAAAGCGAUCUCUCUUCUCUUUUAGUUCUGGGAUUUGAGUCCCUCCUUGCAGGUAUUUUCCUAACCCCCUUCCUGGCAAGUCUCCCUUUCCCACUAUCAUUUGUAGAGCCAUCCUUGUGGCUCUUGCUAUCUUUGGCGCCGGUGGCUCACUCCCUUCUGAAAUGAAGGUUGCAUUCACAAAUUCUAAAGAGCGAAAGGAACACUCAAUAGACUCUUCAUUCGUCUCGACAUAACGGGUCUUGCUAGUGACUGCGGCUAUAAUAUCCUCCUCCGCAUUGAUGGUUACUAACCGUCCAUCCGUCACUAACUUUAAUUUUUGGUGCCACGAUGAGGGCACCGACCCCGUUGAAUGUAUCCAUGGCCUCCCUAAUAAGAAAUUAUAGGAUGGCUUGAUAUCCAUCACCAAGAAGUCUACUUCGUAUAUAUUUGGCCUAAUUUCCAAGGGGAUGUCAAUCCUUCCCAUCACCUUCCUUUCUGUACCGUCAAAGGCUCUUACCACAUUUUGACAUGUCUUCAUGUGAGAAUCAUCAAUGGGUAAUCUGUUCAGAGUAGACAAUGGUAGAACAUUCAAAGCCGAUCCAUUAUCGACGAGCACGCUUGGGAGUGUGUACCCCUUACAUCGAGUGGUGAUGUGCAGGGCCUUUGUUGACCCCCUACCCCCCGGUGGGAUUUCAUCAUCAUUAAAAUAGAUGAAAUUAUCUGCACUUAUGUUAUUCACCAACUGGUCCAGCUUGUUAACGGAUAUGUCAUGGGUGACAUAUGUUUCGUUGAGCACCUUCAUCAAUGCAUCCCGAUGCACCUCAAAACUCAAAAGUAGAGCCAAUACUGAUAUGCGAGCUGGCUGCUUACGCAAUUGCUCGACCAUGCUAUACUCGCUAUGUUUAAGGAACUUUAUAAAUUCCUUAGCCACUUCCUCCUUUACUGGCUCCUUGAUAGGUGCUUCGGACUCUUUCUCAUUCUCUGUACUAACAUUCUUUAUUUUUGUGGGCUCCUCUCUGACGCCCACUAUAUCAUACCGCUUCCCGCUCCGUGUAUGGGAACCCUCACCUUGAACUUCCUUAGAAGCACUUGCUAUAUCCUCCCUCUCUGGCAUUAACACAUGGCAAUUAUAACUCCAUGGUACCCUCUUAUUAUCCUUAUAAGGAAAGGAAUCAGGUUUAUGAAUGAUGACUUUCGGUACCAUCGGUAUUUCAACUUUAUUACUUCCUGGUAAAGAAAUAAUGAUCCUUGGCCGGUUUUGAUUCUUCGGUGCACCUUCUAAUGUGCAUAUAUGUCUCUCAUUUGGCCCAGCUUCAUAAAAUCCUUGCUCCUUGUUGUCCAUAAGGCUUUGUAUCAAGGCUUUAAACUCGUCGUAUUCCUGAAUCUUGUGCCCCUCUUCGGCAUGGAACUCACAAUAGUCCCUUGCUUCUUCAUUUCUCUCUUUAGAGAUUAUCAUCUCUCUUUUUACCAUUUCUUCCCAAAUCAUCUUUAUCGGUGUUCUCACCUCAGCCACGCGUUUCUUUAUUCUCCUCUCACUGGUUUCACCAAUGGCGUUCACUCCUUGAUCGCUAUGAUUUGGUAAUAGGUUUUCAGUAUUCGGGGUAUUAUCGAACUUCACUACCCCCAUCUUAAUAAACCUUUCUAUGGCCUUCUUAGAACCAGUACAGUUUUCAAUCGAAUGCCCCGGUAUUCCAGCAUGGUAUUCGCAUCUGGCGUUUGCGUCAUACCAUUUAAGAUAUGGGGGUUGCAAUAGCCUAAGGUGAAAAGGAGAAAUAACAUGUGCAUCGUUUAAGCUUUGAUAGAGCUCACGAUACGUCAGGGGAUAGGUGUGAAUUGCAUCCUUUCAGAAUUCUGCCUUGUACCUGACUCCUGCCUUUGAGAACUCUGUUGCUCAACCGCAACUAUUUUAGGUUGACCAACUGUGAUUGCCCUCGUGCUGAAAGUGCUUGUGUUAUUCACUUCACCAUCCUUUCUCCUUGGGGUCGAUCUUUUAGUUGUUUCCCCCUCAAUUUUUCCACCCCUUAUGGCAUUCUCAAUCAUCUCUCCCACCAUGACUAUAUUCGCAAAGCUUUUGGUGGUUCUCCCAAUCAUGUGAGUGAUGAAUGGAGCUUUUAGAGUGUUGAUGAACAACAUGGUAGUCUCUUUCUCCAACAACGGUGGUUGAACUUGCAUUGCUACCUCUCUCCAUCUCUGUGCAUACUGCCUAAAAUUUUCAUUAGGCUUUUUCUCCAUGUUUUGCAGCGUGAUCCUAACCGAAGUCAUAUCAGUCACAUGAUUGUACUGCUGCAUGAAGGCCUGUGCAAGAUCCCUCCAUGAGCUUAUUCUGGCUCGGCUCAGUUGAUUAUACGACUUGGCUGCUGCUCCAAUUAAACUGCCUUGGAAAUAGUGAAUCGACAAUUGAUCAUUAUUCACAUACCCAGUCAUCCUCCUACAGAACAUCGUAAUGUGGGCUUCUGGGCAAGUAGUCCUACUGUACUUCUCAAAUUCUGGCAUCUUGAAUUUGUGAGGAAGCACCAAGUCUGGGACCAAGCUUAGAUCUUUGGCAUCAACCCUAUGAUGCCCAUCAGCAUUUUCUAAAACCAUGAACUUUUCCUCCAACCAUUUGCAGCGAUCUUCCAACUGUCUUGCAGCCUCAGUUCUUAGAUCCUCUUCUUCAGCCAUGUCUAAGUCAGAAAUGACAGGAUUUGCAGGAUUGUCACCCAAAUUGAAUCCUGAACCAGUUGGGAAAUUCAUGGGGAUCCCAGUAUCGACCGACCCUUGUUGGGGCCUUAUAGUGACAGAUGACCUCCUAGGAAGUGUCUCUAUUUAUGUAGGCACGUGGGGUGGGGUGAAACUUGGAGGAUGAUCCUCACCCUCCUCGCCAAUAAUUGCCGUGAGAGCCUUUCCCUUAUCAGUGGUACUCAGAAGUUGGGCCAUCUCAGCCAUCAUGUUCCUUUGUGCCUCCAACAUUUGCUCUCUCAUGUCGUUUUGCAUCUUUGCCAAUUGCUCUUGCAAUUGGUCUUGCAUGUCCUUCUGUAAUUGUUCAAAUCUUUGGUCCAUGUUCUUAGUUUUUGCAUGAGUUCUGUAGUGAUGUGUUGCUUCUAGAGUUUCUUUCUCUUACUCUCUUUCUCCCUAUUAAUUUUAACUAAUUAGGGUCUUUCUAUAAACUUUAAUGCAUAUGAUACAAUGAGAUGCUAUGAAAUGCAAAUGCAUGAAUGCAAAAAGAUGUCGAUUCUGAUUCAAUUUCAUUUUAGAAAACGUUAUUUAAGGAACAAAAUCUUUUCAUAAAAUGGAUUACAAAUACGCUUUCUCCCUUAGGCCUAGAGUCUUAACCCUAUCUAAUAACAAUGUGAACUCUCGUCCUCUAUCUGACGAUGACUCAUACAUUAUACUCAGUGUUCUAGCUUGUACUACCAAAUCCUGCAAGUGUUCAGCAACCUCUUGAAUCUGAACUAAGGCUUCUCCCAUGAGAUAAUCCCUAUUUCCAACUUGAUCCUGAAGAUGGUGAAGUUCUCCCUUCCACUAUUCUUCUCUUGCCUCGAGCUGCUCAAUCCGUAGCUCACAGCCCUGUAGUGCUGCUUCCAACCUUCCAAUAUCGUGCUUCAUUUCCUCGAUCUUAUUCAAGCUUGCCUUUAACUCGAUUGCAAGGUUACGACUUCGGUGAUGAUGAAGAGAUCGUCCAAGUUUAGCCACCUUAGUUUUUAAUCCUUGAUUUUCCUUCUCUAGGGCCUGAUUAUGCGACUGCAUUUCUUGGAACUUCUUCUCCCAAUACUCGGCUUUGGCUCUUUCUUCCUGAAUCUCUUGCUGCCACUGCUCUGGAGAUCUCCCUAAUCCGACCCUUUUCAACGUUACCUGGGCAUUUUUGUAGUGUGUCUUUAAAUCAUCUCGAUCUUCCUCGAUCUUUCUUUUUUCCUUUUUCACCUUCUCGACAUCCAUCUUUUGAACAUCGAUGUUGUAACACCCCUAUCCCGUAACCGUCGCCGGAAUAGGUAAGGGGCAUUACCGGACUUGUAACUCAUGUCAGAACAGUAAAAUUUUAAACUUUUUCUUGAAAUAAAGGUCAUUCAUUUAAAUAAGUACUAAGCACGGCCAGAGAUAAAAUUUAAACUUCACUAAGUAAACAUUCAAAGGAUGCCAUUUUCGCAUGGCUUAUAUACAUUAACCAAAAAUAUUCUUCCGCCACUAGUCUAUUCUAUACAUGCCAUAAAAUAGUUCUAAACAUAACAGUAACAAGCAGUGGAUAGUGAUAGUGUGACUAGUUGCUGACGAUCCCCGAGCCUGUAGCUUCGCAAUGAGAUCUAUAAAACAGAGGAAACAGAGUAAACGGAGUAAGCAUUACAAUGCUUAGUAAGUUUUAAGAAGUGUCAACAGAUAACAAUCAAAUUAUAACAUAGUUGUUCGUAUUUUUAUUUCACUCUUCCUUCGGGCAUACCAUCCCUUUAGGGAAUAUGCACAUCUCAUCAUAUACAAUAGGCAGAUAAAAUUUCACAUAAAAGUGAGCUCAUGUGACAUAGAUAUAUCGUAUGAUUUCACAUAACCUCUCACAAUGAUCCGACGUCACAUAAUCAUAGGAAUAGUCUCAUAGAUUGCUCUCGUAUGCAUCACAUAACUACCUUAUGAUUUAGUGCAAAUCAAGCUCACAUAUAAACUUGGAGUACAUACCUGUUUAACCUUUCGCAUUGAAUAUAUUUAUAAGCAAUUCUUAUUACGAAGUCUUAUAGCUUUAACCUCUACUCGGAUUAUCGGUGAGACAUUUAGCUCAGACGAAAUCUCCACACGAAGUUAUCGGGUCUUACCUGGACAAAAUCUCCACACGUAGUCAUCGGGUCUUUAGAGCUCGGAUAUAGUACGAGCACGAAGCUUACGGACAUUAAUCAGUGAUAAUAUUCUCGCAUAAAGCCUGCGGGGUUUUAACCCAGAUAUAGUACUGACACAAAUGCCCUUCGGGACUUAUCACAUUUAUACACUUUCACAUCCAUCACGUUGGCCACUCGGCCCUGUCACAUAUAUACACUUUCACAUUCAUCACAUCGGCCAUUAGGCCUUAUCACAUAUAUAUACACUUUCACAUUCAUCACAUCGGCCAUUAGGCCUUAUCACAUAUAUACACUUUCACAUUCAUCACAUCGGCCAAUAGGCCUAAUCACAUAUAUACACUUUCACAUUCAUCACAUCGGCCAUUAGGCCUUAUCACAUAUAUAUACUCUUUCACAUUCAUCACAUCGGCCAUUAGGCCUUAUCACAUAUAUACACUUUCACAUUCAUCACAUCGGCUAUUAGGCCUUAUCACAUAUAUAUACACUUUCACAUUCAUCACAUCGGCCAUUAGGCCUUAUCACAUAUAUACACUUUCACAUUCAUCACAUCGGCCAUUAGGCCUUAUCACAUAUAUACACUUUCACAUUCAUCACAUCGGCCAUUAGGCCUUAUCACAUAUAUACACUUUCACAUUCAUCACAUCGGCCAUUAGGCCUUAUCUCAUAUAUGCAUGUUCACAUCCAUCACAUAGAAUCCUAAAUCAAAAUAUAGAUUUUCAUGUAUUCACAUCACAAUUAUCCAAAUAUACUUCACAUACCACAUAUACUUUCACGUAUACACACUGUCUUGGCUGAAUCUACAUCUAUCAUUUUCCAAUAUCACAAUUUAGAAUUCACGUAUGGGUUUAAUCAAUAGCUUAUGAGCAACUAAAACAAAUUUAUCAAGGUUUACAACACAAUCUCAAAUUCAGCACAAGCUGUUUUUCCUGAGCAAUAGUCACCAAAUUAUUUAUAACUGGAGCUAAAAAACUCCAAAUCACUUUCCGUUAAUUUUUCCUGAAUAUAGACUCGUAUAUCUUCCAUCCAUAAAAUUUCUAGAAUUUUAGGUUUGGCCAAUCAAUACCAUAUUUUUCUUAAAGUUUCCCCUGUUUCACUGUUUGACUAAUCUGACCACUCUUCACUACGAAUCAAAUUUAUCAUUUUACAGAAUUCAAAAUGUGUUGUAUUUGAUUUAAUUUGAAACUAUACUCAUUAAGGAGUCUAAGCAUAUAAAUUUUAUCUUAUAACCAUUUUUGAACAAUUUAUAAUGAUUUUCUAAAAACAGAACAGAGGAUUACAGUGUCAUUCUGCGCUGUCUCACACAACUUUAAGUAUCUCAUUAUCGGAAAUUCCUUUGCUUACACGGUUUCUUUUAUAAGAAACUAGACUCAUUAAGAUUUAAUUUCAUUUCUCAUUCAGCUUCUAAUUCAAAUCCAUAAAUUUAUGGUGAUUUUCUAAAGUCACGUUACUGCUGCUGUCCUAAGCAGACUAUUUCAAAUUACCCUUAAAUUCCCAAGCUCAAACACUUAAGAACUUACCAUUUGAGCUUAGAACAUAUCAUGGCCACAUCAUAUCUUAUUAAAUCAACUCAUCAUGUCCUAUUAUAAUUGGAUUUACUCAAUGUUUAAUCACUUAAAACUUACAAAGGAAUCAAACUCAAAUACUUAAGAACUUACCUUGAAUUUGAUCGACUUAGUACAAAUCGGCUAUUCAACUACUUUCUCUUUCCCCCUACCCGAAGUUGGUGUCCUUUGUUCUUGAGCUAGAUUUAAACAAAUUCAAAUCAUUACUAAUCCAUAAUUCAUGCACCUUAUUUCGAGUAUAUCAAAACUCAUUCAAAACAAGAAGUAUAAUUAUUCACUUAUCAUUACAUUCGGAAUUCAUAUACUCUUUAAUAGAAAACCACAUCAAAUAUUAACAUCUUAUCAUAUUUCAUCUAAAUAAAAAAAAUUCCGAUAAUUUUAUUCACAUAGUACAUACAGUACUUUCAUUUUUCGCUAUUUAAACACAUAUCAAAUUAAACAUAAAUUUUCUAAUGACUAUAUGCCACAUAGCUCUUAAAUAAAUUUAGCCGAAUGUCUCUAUAUUUACAAAGCACAUACAUAAGGCAUAUACAUAUAUAUAACUAUCAUAAGAACCUUAGUCUUAACUAAAUUAUUAGUUUCAUUUACUAAAAAAAAUCAUUCAACCAAGUAUUCAAAUAUAGCUUAACACCAAAUUCACAUUCGGCACUCUAUUAACGCAACAUAACCAUUUUCACCUUGUUAACACAUAAUCGGCAAGGUUAAAUCCCAUAUACACAACUUAAGUCCAUCCUUUAACAAUCAUAAUUCACUAUAAGGCCGAAAGCUACCUAAACAUCACUCUCAAGUCUCUUUUUACCAUUUAACAACCUUAAAGCUUACUUAAUAGUCAAUUUAAAAUUAAAAAAAAACAACAUCCAAAAUUUAACACAAUGCCACAUAGCCGAAUACCACUUUUAGUAAUGAAAUUCAUCUUUAACACAAAAUUACUAAGCCUCACUUAAUAAUUAACUAUUUAGAACUCUCAAAAAUCAAAUACUUCAAAUUUUAUGCAAUCUACACCAUAGCCGAAAUGCUUAAUAUAAGAAAUUGAGUUAAAUUUGAGCUAAAUUUAAGCUCCCAAUCAUAAACUAAACUUAUAACUUUACACACUCAAUAAUUUUAACAUUAUCAAGUCCAUCCAACACUUAUCCAGCAACUUUUAACUUUAAAAACAAAUCCCUAGCUCAAAAACACAUGAACCGAACUUAAUACGCCACUUAGACCAAAAUUAGCAAAUGGGUUUCGGCUAGAUAAAGAAGUGAAGCUCGUAUUCAUCAAAUUUUAACAAAAUUACAAUGAAAUUACCUUAGAAAUUGGCCUCCAAAAGACCGAACAUUCCAAAAACACUUUCCGCUUUUUCUUUCUUUAGUUUCGGCUAGAACCCAAAAACAAUGAAGUCUCCCCUCCUUCCCUAGCUCACGGCACUUCAAGAAAAGAAAGAAGAUGAAGACUUUCUCUUGCUUUCUUAUUUUAUUCCCCUUUCUUUUUUUUUGUUGAUCUAUUUUAAUCAUUUACUAAUAAAAGCAUCAUUAAAAAUUCAACUUAAUGGAAGAACCAUCCUUGCUUGGCCGGCCACUACUUGAGGUUUGGGUGAUUUGACAUGCAAACCCAAGUUUCCUCACUUUGUUAUCAUUUGAUCCUUACAUAUUCCCCUAUCAUAUUUUCUUAGGUUCUCAACUAAGUCAAUCACAUGAAAUUCACCUUCAUAAGUCUAAAUUAAAACAUCAAAUUUUCACACGUGCACUAAUAUACAUAGAGGAUACGCAACCAAAUUUUAAAUAAAUUUUGGGACUCGGUUUUGUGGCCCCGAAACCACAUUCUGACUAGGGUCAGAUUAGGGGUGUCACAACUCCCUCCCCCUUUAGGGAUUUUCGUCCCCGAAAAUUUCUACCGAUGCAUAGUUUAGGAUAACGUCCUCUUAUUGAAUUAUAUCCAUAUAAAUAUUAGCUCAUCGAUAGCAAUUGUAAUUCAUUACUGAUUUCGCGUCGAUCUAUAAAAUCAUUUUCUUAUCUUAAAACAAAUACAUAAACAUUUCUACAAGUAUGCACAAACAUCUCAUUUUCUUGAUUUCAUAAGCAAUAAUCACUUAACUUAAUUCACAAAUGCAUUUCAAACACAUAUUAAGCACAUAUUAACAUGUAUAAUUCACAUCAUCAACCCACAUAUUUGUAACCCACAUUUUCAUUCAUGAAUAAGCUGUAACCUAACCGAAAGUACACAUAUACUCAAACAUCCCAAUAAAUAUCCUUUAUAACUUUAUCACAUCUCAAUAUUCAACUUAACUCAUUUCCAAAAGAAAAGUCAACUUCCACGUACCUGAACAUUUAGUUCAUUUAGCACAUUCAAUCGUAGUUAACGUUACCCGUAUACAGUCGAAUAGGCAUAAAGCCUAAUAUAAUACACUGGCAUGAGAUUUAUUCUAGCGCAUAACUCGUAUAUCCAAAAUUAUCAACAUUCAUCAAAAAUUCUUUCAAACUUUCGAAUGUCGAAACUUAAUCAAAAUCAUUUCUUGAACAAGAUUAACAAAAUAGUGUCCAUUCAGCAAUAGCACAUAUAGCUCUUACAAUGCCAUAUCCUAGAUAUGGUCUUACAUAUUCUCACAUAUCGAGCCGAUGCCAUGUCCCAGACAUGGUCUUACACACUAUCUCAAAUCAAUGCCUUCGUCCCAAACGAGGUCUUACAUGAAUUCCACUUCACACACUUAGUGCCCACUGACCGAUCUCGCACUCAUAGUGCUCGGUUAAAGGAAUUCGCACACACACAGUGCCUCUAAUCAUUUACAUACAUAGUGCCCCUAUUCAUUUGUUGUUACACAUUGAAAUGACUUAACCAAGUCUAUAAACAUCAUGUAUGUACACUUUUAAACAUAUCCUUUCAUUUAAAUUUGAAUUCAUAUAGUAAUGAACACUUAAACUUUGCUCAAAUUACCGGCACGAAGCCUACUAGGCACGAAGGCCCGAAUACACAUCACCAGCAUGAUUGCUCUUCGGGACCUAGCCCGGAUAUAACACCAGCAUAAAUGCUCUUCGGGAUUUAGCCCGGAUAUAUAACUAGCACGAAUGCUCUUCGGAACUUAGUCCGGAUACAUCACUAGCACGAAUGCUCUUCGGAACUUAGUCCGGAUACAUCACUAGCACGAAUGCUCUUCGGGAUUUAGCCCGGACAUUUCACUCUCAAUUCUCAUGUACAUAUACACAUAUAGCAAUACACAUUAGUAUAUCAUUUACAUUACUUGAAUACAAACACAACAUGCUUAUCGACCAUUCAACUUCCAGUUCCAUAGCCACAUACAAAAAUCACAUUUAUAGUCAUAACACUCUUUCAAAAUUGCAUCACUUAUACCCUUAUAAGUCAAUCCAAAUCGAAAUUCAAAUACGAGUACAUGAUACGUACCUGAUCAACUUAAAAAUUUAGGCAUAUCUAAGUGAAGUUAUAUCACAGAUUCUCAUAGUCAGAAGCUUGCUACAGCUCGAUCGGGAUCAAGAUUCAUUACAAUACAACAAACACAUUUUAAUAGUAAAAAAUCAUCACACUAUCACUUUAUCACUUUAUGGCAUGUAUAAAUAGACUCACGCGUGCUACGUUAGUCCUAGAAUCGACUAAACCGUAGCUCUGAUACCAAUAAAAUGUAACACCCCUAUCCCGUAACCGUCGCCGGAAUAGGUAAGGGGCAUUACCGGACUUGUAACUCAUGUCAGAACAGUAAAAUUUUAAACUUUUUCUUGAAAUAAAGAUCAUUCAUUUAAAUAAGUACUAAGCACGGCCAGAGAUAAAAUUUAAACUUCACUAAGUAAACAUUCAAAGGAUGCCAUUUUCGCAUGGCUUAUAUACAUUAACCAAAAAUAUUCUUCCGCCACUAGUCUAUUCUAUACAUGCCAUAAAAUAGUUCUAAACAUAACAGUAACAAGCAGUGGAUAGUGAUAGUGUGACUAGUUGCUGACGAUCCCCGAGCCUGUAGCUUCGCAAUGAGAUCUAUAAAACAGAGGAAACAGAGUAAACGGAGUAAGCAUUACAAUGCUUAGUAAGUUUUAAGCAGUGUCAACAGAUAACAAUCAAAUUAUAACAUAGUUGUUCGUAUUUUUAUUUCACUCUUCCUUUGGGCAUACCAUCCCUUUAGGGAAUAUGCACAUCCCAUCAUAUACAAUAGGCAGAUAAAAUUUCACAUAAAAGUGAGCUCAUGUGACAUAGAUAUAUCGUAUGAUUUCACAUAACCUCUCACAAUGAUCCGACGUCACAUAAUCAUAGGAAUAGUCUCAUAGAUUGCUCUCGUAUGCAUCACAUAACUACCUUAUGAUUUAGUGCAAAUCAAGCUCACAUAUAAACUUGGAGUACAUACCUGUUUAACCUUUCGCAUUGAAUAUAUUUAUAAGCAAUUCUUAUUACGAAGUCUUAUAGCUUUAACCUCUACUCGGAUUAUCGGUGAGACAUUUAGCUCAGACGAAAUCUCCACACGAAGUUAUCGGGUCUUACCCGAACAAAAUCUCCACACGUAGUGAUCGGGUCUUUAGAGCUCGGAUAUAGUACGAGCACGAAGCUUACGGACAUUAAUCAGUGAUAAUAUUCUCGCAUAAAGCCUGCGGGGUUUUAACCCGGAUAUAGUACUGACACAAAUGCCCUUCGGGACUUAUCACAUUUAUACACUUUCACAUCCAUCACGUUGGCCACUUGGCCCUGUCACAUAUAUACACUUUCACAUUCAUCACAUCGGCCAUUAGGCCUUAUCACAUAUAUAUACACUUUCACAUUCAUCACAUCGGCCAUUAGGCCUUAUCACAUAUACACUUUCACAUUCAUCACAUCGGCCAUUAGGCCUUAUCACAUAUAUACACUUUCACAUUCAUAACAUCGACUAUUAGGCCUUAUCACAUAUAUAUACACUUUCACAUUCAUCACAUCGGCCAUUAGGCCUUAUCACAUAUAUACACUUUCACAUUCAUCACAUUGGCUAUUAGGCCUUAUCACAUAUAUAUACACUUUCACAUUCAUCACAUCGGCCAUUAGGCCUUAUCACAUAUAUACACUUUCACAUUCAUGACAUCGGCCAUUAGGCCUUAUCACAUAUAUACACUUUCACAUUCAUCACAUCGGCCAUUAGGCCUUAUCUCAUAUAUGCAUGUUCACAUCCAUCCCAUAGAAUCCUAAAUCAAAAUAUAGAUUUUCAUGUAUUCACAUCACAAUUAUCCAAAUAUACUUCACAUACCACAUAUACUUUCACGUAUACACACUGUCUUGGCUGAAUCUACAUCUAUCAUUUUCCAAUAUCACAAUUUCGAAUUCACGUAUGGGUUUAAUCAAUAGCUUAUGAGCAACUAAAACAAAUUUAUCAAGGUUUACAACACAAUCUCAAAUUCAGCACAAGCUGUUUUUCCUGAGCAAUAGUCACUAAAUUAUUUAUAACUGGAGCUACAAAACUCCAAAUCACUUUCCGUUAAUUUUUCCUGAAUAUAGACUCGUAUAUCUUCCAUCCAUAAAAUUUCCAGAAUUUUAGGUUUGGCCAAUCAAUACCAGAUUUUUCUUAAAGUUUCCCCUGUUUCACUGUUUGACUAAUCUGACCACUCUUCACUACGAAUCAAAUUUAUCAUUUUACAGAAUUCAAAAUGUGUUGUAUUUGAUUUAAUUCGAAACUAGACUCAUUAAGGAGUCUAAGCAUAUAAAUUUUAUCUUAUAACCAUUUUUGUACAAUUUAUAAUGAUUUUCUAAAAACAGAACAGAGGAUUACAGUGUCAUUCUGCGCUGUCUCACACAACUUUAAGUAUCUCAUUAUCGGAAAUUCCUUUGCUUACACGGUUUCUUUUAUAAGAAACUAGACUCAUUAAAAUUUAAUUUCAUUUCUCAUUCAGCCUCUAAUUCAAAUCCAUAAAUUUAUGGUGAUUUUCUAAAGUCACGUUACUGCUGCUGUCCUAAGCAGACUAUUUCAAAUUACCCUUAAAUUCCCAAGCUCAAACACUUAAGAACUUACCAUUUGAGCUUAGAACAUAUCAUGGCCACAUCAUAUCUUAUUAAAUCAACUCAUCAUGUCCUAUUAUAAUUGGAUUUACUCAAUGUUUAAUCACUUAAAACUUACAAAGGAAUCAAACUCAAAUACUUAAGAACUUACCUUGAAUUUGAUCGACUUAGUACAAAUCGGCUAUUCAACUACUUUCUCUUUCCCCCUACCCGAAGUUGGUGUCCUUUGUUCUUGAGCUAGAUUUAAACAAAUUCAAAUCAUUACUAAUCCAUAAUUCAUGCACCUUAUUUCGAGUAUAUCAAAACUCAUUCAAAACAAGAAGUAUAAUUAUUCACUUAUCAUUACAUUCGGAAUUCAUAUACUCUUUAAUAGAAAACCACAUCAAAUAUUAACAUCUUAUCAUAUUUCAUCUAAAUAAAAAAAAAUUCCGAUAAUUUUAUUCACAUAGUACAUACAGUACUUUCAUUUUUCGCUAUUCAAACACAUAUCAAAUUAAACAUAAAUUUUCUAAUGACUAUAUGCCACAUAGCUCUUAAAUAAAUUUAGCCGAAUGUCUCUAUAUUUACAAAGCACAUACAUAAGGCAUAUACAUAUAUAUAACUAUCAUAAGAACCUUAGUCUUAACUAAAUUAUUAGUUUCAUUUACUAAAAAAAAUCAUUCAACCAAGUAUUCAAAUAUAGCUUAACACCAAAUUCACAUUCGGCACUCUAUUAACGCAACAUAACCAUUUUCACCUUGUUAACACAUAAUCGGCAAGGUUAAAUCCCAUAUACACAACUUAAGUCUAUCCUUUAACAAUCAUAAUUCACUAUAAGGCCGAAAGCUACCUAAACAUCACUCUCAAGUCUCUUUUUACCAUUUAACAACCUUAAAGCUUACUUAAUAGUCAAUUUAAAAUUAAAAAAAAACAACAUCCAAAAUUUAACACAAUGCCACAUAGCCGAAUACCACUUUUAGUAAUGAAAUUCAUCUUUAACACAAAAUUACUAAGCCUCACUUAAUAAUUAACUAUUUAGAACUCUCAAAAAUCAAAUACUUCAAAUUUUAUGCAAUCCACACCAUAGCCGAAAUGCUUAAUAUAGGAAAUUGAGUUAAAUUUGAGCUAAAUUUAAGCUCCCAAUCAUAAACUAAACUUAUAACUUUACACACUCAAUAAUUUUAACAUUAUCAAGUCCAUCCAACACUUAUCCAGCAACUUUUAACUUUAAAAACAAAUCCCUAGCUCAAAAACACAUGAACCGAACUUAAUACGCCACUUAGACCAAAAUUAGCAAAUGGGUUUCGGCUAGAUAAAGAAGUGAAGCUCGUAUUCAUCAAAUUUUAACAAAAUUACAAUGAAAUUACCUUAGAAAUUGGCCUCCAAAAGAUCGAACAUUCCCAAAACACUUUCCCCUUUUUCUUUCUUUAGUUUCGGCUAGAACCCAAAAACAAUGAAGUCUCCCCUCCUUCCCUAGCUCACGGCACUUCAAGAAAAGAAAGAAGAUGAAGACUUUCUCUUUCUUUCUUAUUUUAUUCCCCUUUCUUUUUUUUUGUUGAUCUAUUUUAAUCAUUUACUAAUAAAAGCAUCAUUAAAAAUUCAACUUAAUGGAAGAACCAUCCUUGCUUGGCCGGCCACUACUUGAGGUUUGGGUGAUUUGACAUGCAAACCCAAGUUUCCUCACUUUGUUAUCAUUUGAUCCUUACAUAUUCCCCUAUCAUAUUUUCUUAGGUUCUCAACUAAGUCAAUCACAUGAAAUUCACCUUCAUAAGUCUAAAUUAAAACAUCAAAUUUUCACACAUGCACUAAUAUACAUAGAGGAUACGCAACCAAAUUUUAAAUAAAUUUUGGGACUCGGUUUUGUGGCCUCGAAACCACAUUCCGACUAGGGUCAAAUUAGGGGUGUCACAGAUGUCGAGACUUAAGUACAUUUUUUCCUCUUCGAGCUUCUCAAUCCUCUUUUCAAUCUCCAAAUUCUUUCUCUCAAACUUUUGCUUCAUAACCUCCAACUCUGAUGGAAUCACUCGUAAGCUCUCCUCUAAUGAUCGAGCCACUCCCAAAAUUGGCCUAGGGACAUUAUCGUUGACUCUCCUACUAAACCACCCUUUAUACUCAAGGAUUGACGUCGAGCCUUCGGUUAAGAUCUUCAUACAGAAAGGCUUCUUCCAAGCCUCAGAAAUCUCUCGCAUCUUCUUCUUAUAGUGAUCUCCUUUAUAAGAGAAAUCACUUUGGGCUAGACCUUGUGUAACCGGUAUGAACUGCCUCACUCUAUAUUGCCUUAGAACAAGUAAUGGUGCAUAUCCAACAACUCCCCAAAUUCCUGGCAAAAGGACCCAAUCAAAACUGCCACAGUGGUAAAGGACUUCACUAGAAACCAACCAAGGAGCCUUCCACAUAACAUCUUCCUCUCGAAGAUUCUGAAGAAUGUCUAUCCACCUCUCCUCUAAAAUGUCAUCUCUCCUUGGCAUAUCUAUUUCUUCUUUUAAGGGAGAAUAACCCUCAAAAGAAUACUCGACAAGGAACCUUAUCAAGCUUCCAAAAAUGACUGUGGAACCAAACCAACAGCAACUGUGCACAUCCAAUGAAUCUACCUUCGCCGGCUCUCCGACAUGCACUCAAAGAUCUAAAUGUCUCCGCUAGGAUUGCUGGUACCGAUGUAUUAUGCUUACCAACGCGAUCAAACAAAUCUGCAACUGCCUCAUCUAUGUGCCCCAACGCCUUUGGGAAAAUCACCAUGCCGUAAAUACUCAAAGCCAGGACGUCGACCCUUUUCUUUACGUCUGGAUGUGUCGAUAUCAAAUCCCUCAAAAUGGCCCAUGGAACGCACUUACUAUCACCCUUUUGCUGUAUACGAGCUACAACCCACUGCUCACUCAACCUAGUAAUCAUCACCAACUUCUUUGCAAAAGUUGGAAGACUAGCAGGCCUAACAUAAGCCUCGUGACCCUGAAUCCUCGAGCAAUGCAGUAAAGUCAUUUACUCCUCCAAAGUAGGUGCAAGAUCAACAUCACCAAAUGUAAAGCAACUGUAAGCAAGGUUCCAGAACUGUACCAUAGCUCGAAACAAGUGCCUAUCUACUUUGACGUCUAGCAAAUAAGGAAUGUCUCCAUAAUUCUGAUAGAAAAGCUGCUUAGCCUCGUCAUCCCAUUGGGCCCAAAUGUUUCUCAGUUCCUGAAACUUAUUCUGCGUCGAAUUAAUACGGGUGAAGUCCCAUAACUCUAGCGUAUAUCCCUCGGUGACACUAUCUCAUUUCUCUAACUGGGUUUUCUCUGACCAAGUACAGACAGAAGCAUUGUCCUCCACUCUAUCAAGGUAUUCAUUCCUCAUUACAAAACUUUUUAAUCUAGAAAUCUAGCCGUGAAUCGACACCUUUAAAUGCCAAAUGACAUGCAAUGACAGCAAAAUAAAAAUAGGUCAGUAUCAUAAAAAAAUGAUAAACAAGUACUUACAAGGGUAGCUUACUAAAGGCUAUCACUAUCUUUCCUAAACUCUUUAAAGUUCACUAUAUGAGUUUUAGCUCUAAAGCCAAGGUACCUGAACUAGCACAUUCCUUGGUCUUCACCCAUUAUAGGCUCAUAUAGACCAAGUUCAGUUCAGGGGGACACAUUUCCCUAUGGCCAUAUGGAGAUGAAAAUCUCACGAAGACAUAAGUACAGUAUCCCGGAAGCAAUCCACUAGCUCAUACGAAGGUGAAAACCUUACGAAAACGUAGCUUCUCACUCCCACUUAAGGGUGUGACCACAACAGUCAUGCAAAUGCAAUGUACAGCAAUAAGGUAACAAACAUAUGCAGCAAACACAUAUAAAAAGGAUCUAAUUCUAAAUUUUCCAAACUUCCAACUUUAAGACAGAAAAUACUCAAUUUCUUGGCUUGACUCUCUUAAGUCCCCAACGGAGUCGCCAAGCUGUCGAAACCAUUUUUUAAAGGGAUGUUUGAAAAAUGGGGAUCUACUUUUGAAAAAAGAAAAUAGGAGUUGCCACCAACCUUUUUAGGUGUGAUUGGAUCAUCUUAUAAAAUGUUUUGGUCUACGAAAAUUAAGAAAACAAGUUCGGGAGUUGGUUACGUACGAGGAAGGAUUAGCACCCUCGCAACGCCUAAAAUUGGUACCAAAUUGAAUAGUUUUUUGUCUUAAUGUCAAAAAUUUGAAAGGAUUUAAAAAUAGGAUCCCUUUUUUUAAAACCGGAAUUAUUUAAGUUGAAAAAUCAAGGUUCCUUAACUCCGAAAGAAUACAAACAUCACAUCUAGCAUGAUAGGACACGAUAUUCUUAAACUCUUGUAACUGAAAUCAUCUCGUGAUUUACAAAAUCUAUUUAGAAGGAUACUUUAGGCAUUUAGACAAACGGGAAAUUGCAACCCAGCAUGUUAGGGCUCUAUUUCCCGAAUUCCUAAAUACAAAAAAUAUUGCCUCAUUUUAGAAAAACUUUUGGAUAAAAUAUGACAAUUAAAUGAAAUAUAUUUUUUUUAAAAUAAUGAUUUGAGUAAAAUUUAAAAAAUAAUUUACUAAGAGUAAUAUUAAAAAAAAUUAUUAAAAAAUGAAAGAGUUUGAUAUGAUACUAAAAUUAUUAAAAAAUUAAAAUAUAAAAAAAAUCAAGGAAACAUGGAUUAAAUCAAAAUAAAAAGGGUUGAAAAACAAAUAUGAACAAAGAAUAAAAUAAGAACAAAACGUAGAAAAUAAGAACGUAAGAGGGAGAGAAAUUUGAGUGAAAGCUCUCAAAAAUUUUUAUUGUUUCCCAAAACUCCAGUGUCUUUAUAAUGAAGGGAGAGGCCUCUAUUUAUAGUUGAACCUCCUCAAAUCCAACGGUACAGAUCAAUUACAUCAACGGUUAAGAUUAAAAGAUAUCUACAAAUUAAAUCUCAAAGAUUACAAAAUCAUAUCUUCUAAGAUUGCAUAUCAUAUCUAAGAUUGCAAUCAUAUCUAAGAUUGUAUCAUAUCUAAGAUUGCAUAUCAUAUCUAAGAUUGCAUAUCAUUGAAGAUUAUAUUUCCAUAUGAGUCAAGCUUGUAGACAGACCUUAAAUCUUUUCUAGUAAUGGGCCAUUCCGAUCGGGCCAAAUUAUAUUUGUAAUUCUGGACUGAACUUGGACUUUUUUUUUGGGUUUAUUAUUUUUGUUUUUGGACUUAUUUCUAGGACCGAGCAAAAUUGAGUGUCUACAGUCUUCUUCAUGGAGACAAAGAUAAACAAAAUUCAAAUGGAACGAGUGCGAAGAAGCUGUGGCCUUACUUAUGUAUUGAUGUGGACACCGAUGGAUCUAGAAGAGGUUUGUGUUUGGCUUGGAGAGGUGAUGCUCCCAUCACACUUGAGAAUUUUUCAAAAAGGCACAUUGACAUGCUUAUUGAAGAUCUUGAUGAUGGAAAAAAUAGAGAUAUACAGGAUUUUAUGGUUCCCCUUAUGCACAAGAUAGGGAUGAAUCAUGGAAUCUAUUAAAAAACCUAUGUUGCAAUGAGGAACUCCCUUGGAUUAUUUGCGAAGAUUUUAAUGAAAUCAUGUACAGCUUUGAAAAGAAGGGAGGGUUGCCUAGAGACGCAAGAAGGAUGGAAGUAUUUUGAAGUGUUCUAGAAUAUUGUCAUCUGAUGGAUAUGGGCUAUUCUCGAAAUUGGUUUACUUGGGAGAAAGGAAAUUUACCAGAAACAAAUAUCCAAGAUCGUUUGGAUAGAGGUAUGGGUAACGAGAAUUGGAUGCCUAUGAUCCCUGAAGCUACCAUUCAACAUCUAGUGCACUUGAUCUCUAACCAUUAUCCUCUUCUAAUUACCACGAAAAGAGAAGACAAUAGAAGGAGUUGGAAAACAUUUAAAUUCGAGGCAUGGUGGGUCUUGGAGGAUUCAUUCGAUACUGAAGUUAAACUCAUUUGGGAAACGGCAUCAGGAGGUCUACUACAGAAGCUAGAUUGUCUAAAAAAGGGCUUGGAGAAAUGGGAUGUAUGCAUUUUUUAGUCUAGAAAACGAAAAAAAAUUUAUCCUCAAAGCUAUAUGAGUUGAUGGAAACCGAAAUGAGGGAUACUAAUCUAGCCGAGCUGAUUGAUACGAAACUGCAAUUGAAUUUUGAGAUUGAGAAGGAUGAAAUAUAUUGGGAGCAAAGAGCUCGAGUUAAUUGGUUGAAAUUUGGGGAUAGGAAUACGGCCUUUUUCUAUAGUCAAGCAGCACAAAGAUGAAGGAAAAAUUGUAUUUGGAAAUUGUAGAGUAUGACUGGAAAAGAAACGAUGGAUAUACAAGAAAUGGCAAAAAUUGCUAUAUCUUAUUUUCAAAAUUUAUUUGAGGCUAGGGUAAAGGGACAUUGUGAACAUCUCUUGUUAGUUAUUGAACGUUGUAUAUCCAAAGAGGAUAAUCAAAAACUCACGGCGCAAUAUGCAGAAGAAGAUGUUUGGGAGGCACUUACUAGAAUGGGGCCUACAAAAGCACCGGGUGAAGGUGGGUUUCUGACCUUAUUUUUUCAGAAAUACCGGCAUAUCAUUGAGGAAGAGGUCACACUUUUCUAUCUUCCACAUCUAAACUGUGGUAUGGAGGUUAGUCCAAUUAAUACUACUCAUAUUGUGCUUAUUCCUAAAAGAGCAAAUCCGACCAAUCUUACUCAUUUUCGUCCCAUUAGUUUAUGCAAUCUUAUUUAUAAAAUAAUGACAAAGGCUAUUGCUAAUCGAUUUAGAAAAGUCUUGGAAAAAUGCAUCGAUGGCACACAGAGUGCUUUUGUGCCAGGAAGGUUAAUAUCGGAUAAUGUAUUAUUGGCAUAUGAAUUUUACACACUCUAAAACGGAAAAAUUUGGAAAAAAAGGGUUGAUGGCGGUAAAACUCGACAUGAGUAAAGCGUACGAUAGAGUCAAAUGGAAUUUUGUAUAGGAGAUGAUAGUGAGAAUGGGUUUUGACCCUAGCUGGAUUGAUUCUAUUAUGAAGUGCGUAUCUAAUAUUUCUUAUUCAGUGGUACUUAAUGGUCAAGCUAGGCAAAAUUUUCAACCAACAAGAGGAUUACGUCACAGGAGGAAGAAAGAUGAUUAUUACUCGCAUACUUAGAGUACGAAGCUCAAAUGACCCAGAACGUUAUCUUGGAUUACCUAAUAUGAUGGGCAGAAGAAAGAAAUAGUCUUUUCAAAACUUAAAGGACAGAUUUAAGUGACAAACUGACAAGUAUUCGGCAUCUCUUUCAAGGUGGGAAAGAAGUUUUUAUUAAGGCCAUUCUUCAAGCUAUUCCGACGUAUACAAUGGUCUAUUUUUGACUACCUAAAUCUUUGUAUGUUGAUAUUGAGUAUUACAAAAUUCUGGUGGCAGAAGGAUCGUGGCAAAAGGCGUAUUCUUUGGUUUGUUUGGAAUGAUAUUUGUAAUGCAAAAGAAAAAAUAUGGUCUGGGGUUUCAAAAUCUUAGUUAAUUUAAUAUUGCUUUAUUAGCCAAGCAAGGUUGGUGCCUUAUUAAUUUUCCAAAUUCUUUUAUAGCAAAGGUCUUAAAAGCUAAAUACUACCCAAAUUCAGACUUUAUCAAUACAUAGUUAGGGAAUUUACCUUUGCUUACCUGGAAGAACGUGUGGGCAGCAAAAAGGUUACUGAAAGAUGGCUUAUAUUAGUGAGUCAGUAGGGGAGAUCAUAUAUCUGUUUGGAGCAAUCGGUCGGUACUGGGAGUUGAUAUAGAGAGAACUAAUGAUAAUUCCAACAAUGCAGAAGUAGAGUUAGUUUUGGAUUUAAUUGAUGCUUCAACAAUAAAAUAGAAGAUAGAUCUAAUAGUUAAUACCUUUCAAGAGGACACAACACAAAAGAUUUUGUAAAUUCCUCUGGCGGAAGAAGAACAUGAUGAUUUCCAAGUUUGGCGAGGAGAACAUUCUGGCGAAUUUUCGGUCAGAAGUGCCUACAAACUAUUAAAAAAGGCUAAUAUAGAUUCUAGUGGUUAUUUAAUACAAGCUGAAACAAAAAAUUUCUACAGAAAGCUAUGGAAUUUACAUCUCCCAUCAAAAAUUGCUAUCACUAUAUGACAUAUUUCCUGGAACUUUAUUCCUACUCUAACAAAUCUCAUAUUAAAAAGAGUGGUUAUAGAUAUUUCCUGUCCUCGGUGUCGAAAUACGGACGAAGAUAGCAACCAUGUUUUCAGAUAAUGCCCUACAACAAUAGAGACAUGGCAAAAUUUAAAUCUAUCAUGGGUCAUUAAUAGUAAUAUUCAAGAUUUGUGGGAAUGGCUUACUUGGGUCUUCACCAUGGGAAACAGUAAACAAUGUCGACUCUUUUGCUGUGCUGUUUGGACAACAUAGAGUUCAAGAAACUAGUUAGUUCAUGAGGGGAAAAUAACAACAGGAAGAGGUUUAUCGAACUGAAUCCAAAGUUAUAUUGCAGAGAUUGAUGGGUUAGAAGAAAAGCCACUUACCUCAAAUGAUGGUAGAAGACAGAGACAGGAAUAAAGAAAUGCUAGAGUAGCUAUUUAUUUUGAUACAGCUUUCAACGGUAAAUACUCCAGAUCGGCCUCGGGUCUGGUGGUGUGGGGGGAGAUGGGUGAGUUUUUAACCUCGAAGACAUUCCUCCAUUCCACAAUAUCGUCUCCGUUCAUGACAGAGGCACAUGGAGGGUUACAAGAAGUGAAGUUAGGGAUUUCAAUGGGUUUUCAAUCAGUAGAUAUAAUAAGAGAUUCAAAAAUGAUCAUAAAGAAAUGCAACUCAGCAGCGACAAACAAAUCAGUUAAAGGGGCGAUUAUCCGAGACAUUCAAAGUAAAAAACAACACUUCCAAGAAAUCAACUUCUAGUUUGUUCAAAGAUCAGGAAAUGGUUAUGCCCGCGAACUUGCAAAAGAAGCAUUAAGAAAAGGAGAAGAAAAGUACCUUAAGGGAGCAGAUUUCGUCCAUCUUUAACGUGAACAAGAGGAGAGAUGGCCGAGGCACCCAGAUUAAAGAGUCCCCAUAGAAAAUCUGAAGAGAUAAGGAUAGCAGAAAUGAAAGCUUUUUUGAAACUUGCUAUCAGUUGAAGUGCUAGUAUAGAGAUUCAAAAACACAGAUAAUUAAUGGGCACCAACUGCUGACAGUAACUCUAUUAGGUUUCCCAUUUCUUUAUUUUGUUUUACUUCAAUUGUUAUUUAUUUUUAUCUUAAGCCAUUUACUCUCUUUUGGCUUGUUUUCUCUUUUAUUCAUUUUUUCUACUUAGGUCUUAGUUUUAAAGUUUUAUAAGAACAUUUCCUCAUUAUGUUAUUUGUUUUCUGAUCAAUAAAAUCUAGUCGAACUAUUCAAAAAAAAGAAUAAAGAUUUUCAAUCAAAGGAUUUAGAAUGAAUCAAAGGUAAUUAUUAUUUUUAAACUUAUUUUUAUGAUGAUAGAAGCAUAUUUACAUGGUUUGAGUGAUAAUUACAUGAUUUUUUUUAUCAAUGUCAUCUUCUUCAAAAGCUUAAGGUGCUUUAAUGGUGGAUCUUGAGUUUUGUGAGGAAAUCCACAAAUCAAUGUGUGUUCCUACUUAAAAUGGAUCUAUUAGAAGGUUUAUGAUAUUACUUAUCAAGAUUAAACAUGUUUUGUAAGGUAAUUUAAAGAAAUUCAAGUUUCAUCAUAUUCAUGAAUCGAUUUUCUGAAUUUUUGUGAAAUUGAUUUAAAUGUGAAAUUUGUAACAGGCCGAUUUUAGCUAAAUCAGAAUAGUGGUUUUGAAACCAUAAAUUCGAGGUCAAAAAAUUAUUUUAAUAUUAUUUCUAGUAUUUACAAUAUGUUAUUUGAUAUGUGUGAAAAUUUUAGUGACCUAAUUUUAUCGUUUAAUUAGUCAAUUUGAGAAAAAGGACUAAAUCGCGUAAAAUGAAAAAGUUGCAUUCUAUUAGUUAAAGGUGUCAAUUGGCCUUAGCUUUUAAAUAUGAUGGCCUUAAAUGGAAAUUAGACCGUUUUAAAUAAUAGUGGACAUAUAUGGACAUUUAAUAAAUGUUUUAAAUGGUUUUUCAUUAAGGUUAUAAUGGUAAUUAGCGUAAUCAUAAUGUGUUAAAUAAAACAAAAAAAAAUUUGAGUUCAUCUUUCUCAUGUUGGCUGAAUAUUGAAGAAGAAAAAGAAGCCAUUUUGCUCAUUUAGGGUUCGGCACACACAUAGCUUGAUUAAGGUACGAUUUUAGCUCAGUUUUUAAUGAUUUUUACGUUUUUAAGAUCGUUGCUUUGUAAUCUAGCUAGCCCGUACCUUAGAUUUUGAAAUUGUUAAAGAUUUUGAGAGUUUCCAUUGUUGAAUACUUGAGUAAUUUAAUGAUUUAUGAUAGAUUAUGAAGAUUAAUUGAUAGAUUAAUAAUUUUUGUAAAGUGAUUUUUGACAAAAAUGUCAAAAAAGGGGUUAAAUUAUGAAUUAUGUAAAUUGAGGGGUUGAAAUGUGAAAUAAAUGAAAUUUUUGGGCUGCUAGGGACUUAUGUGUAAUUCGGAUAAGCUUUGGUUUAAAGAAAUUAUGUGAAUUUUGUGUAUUUGUAAAAUAAGGAUUAAAUUGAUAAAAUGUGAAAGUUUAGGGGCUAAUAUGAAAAUAUGCCCAAAUGUGUAUUUUUGGACUAAAUUGAAAGAAUAUGUAAUUGAAUAAGUCAAUUUUGAAUUUAUAUAGAUCAAGAAAGAAAGAAAUCGAAUUUAUAUCGUGGGAAAAGCAAAAUUAUCGAAUAGUCGACCCGAUACGUCAAUUCCCUAUACGAGGUAAGUUCGUAUGAUUGAACAUAAAUGUGUAUACAUUUAUUGAGUGGAUGAAAUUGAGAUAGUAUUUAUUCUGUUGGAUAAAUUUUGAGAUAUUACAUGAAAUGUAUGAGUUGAGUAAGGCAAGUUGCUGAAUAAGACCAUAGUCGGGCUAUAGCAAUUGAAUAAUAAGACUAUAAUCGGGUUAUGGCAUGUAAAUGAAAGACCAUGGCAGGGCCUUGGCAAUAUAUGUGGACCAUAGUUGGACUAUGGCAUCGGAAUAUCGAUGAAAUUGUAUCGUGAGCACUUAUAAACCGGAGAGGUUUGAUAAGAGUAUUAAUGAGAAAUUAAAAAAAAUAUCGGUACAGGUAUGUACAGAAAACUAUUUAAGUAUCGAGUUAGAUGAAGUUGAGAACUCAUGAAUAAUGACAUGAAUAAAUUUGAUGUUAGGUCAUGAAUUGAUACUUUAAAUGUUAAUGAUAUUAUCUAUUUUGAAUUGCUAAUGAAUGUUGUGAUUAUUUCAUGUUCACAUACGAACUUACUAAGCUUUAUAGCUUACUUUGUUUAAUUUUUGAUGUUUUAUAGUUCAACGAAGCUAGAUUGGAGCCGGGAAUCGUUAGACUUCAUAGCACUAUCGAUCAUCUAUCUGGUAUCUUUGAAACUAUGUAUAUAUGGUAUAUGGCAUGUAUAGGCUUGAGUCAUUUUGGUAUGUUUAAUGGAUAUGUAUUUUGGACAUUUGAUUUGGCAUAAGAUGAUGAACUUGAUGAUGCUUAUGAAUGUGCAAUAAGUUCUACCUUUAAUGUUGGUAAUAGACCUAUAAUGAAUGAAUAGGAUUGAAGUGAUCAUGCGUGUUUGGAUUGGUUUUGCUAAAUGAAUUAUAUGUGUGAAUUAUGCUUAGUAAAGGAAGUUAAAUUGUUUUGUAUUUGAAUAGGUAAAUGGUAUAGAUUUGAGUAUUGAAUUUAGUGGAAAUGGAUAUGGUAUUAUUAUGCAUUGGUUGGUGAACUUUGGUUGCUUAUUUGUGACUUAAAAUGAUACCAAUUGAGCUUGUGUAGGUAUGUGCAAAAAGGGUGGCAACUUGGCUUUGAAAAUGGCUUAUUUGUGUCCACACGGGCAGAGACACGGGUGUGUGUCUUAUCCGUGUGUGACAGACGGUUAGGUUACACGGCCGUGUGUACCCUAGUGUUGAAAUUGAAUUGAAGUCAGUAUGCUCUACACGGUCUCACACACGAGCGUGUGACUGGACGUGUGGUAUAAAUCAGUAUACUCUCCAGUUUUCACACGGCCUGGCACAUAGUUGUGUCCUUGGCCAUAUGAUGCAAGUCGUAUGUAUGCCCUGUUUCCAUACGACCUAAGAUACGGGCAUGUCUAUUAGACGUGUGAGGUACACAGCCUAUUCACAUGAGCGUGUGACCCUUGUAUGAUUGAAAAAUUUCUAAGUUUUUUAAAAUUUUUGUAUGUUAUCGGUUUAGUCUCGAACCGCUUCUAAAGCAUGUUUAAGGCCUUGUAGGCCCUUAUAAGGGACAAAGUGAUUGUAUUGAAUGAUGUAUAAGAAUGAAUCCUUUAUAAUAAUAAAUGUAAUCUAUAUGUUGUGUAUUGAUCAGUAAUACCUUGCAACCCUAUUCCGGUAGCGGAUACGGGUUAGGGGUAUUACAAAAUUGAUGCUUAGUAUAUGUUUAUUUGGUAUAGUAUUGAUGUUUGGAAGUGAUUAUGAGGGAUGGAGUGAUCAAUUUUGUGAGGAAUCAAGUUUUCAACUUGAUGAUACAAAUCCGAUAAGGUAACUUUGAGUGAGAAUUUUGUGUAGCCUAGUUGAUGAAAAUUUGUGUUUAUUAUAUCUUUUGAAAUGUGGUAAUAUCUAUUUUAUCUCUGUUGAAGCUCUGAAUCUUGAAGAGGAUCGAGCUGAUCAAAAUUGAAGCUUGGAUUUGCUUAGUUGAUCACUUGGUUGUGGUUGAAUUAGCUGUGUGGUGAGUGUUAUUAAAGGGUGAUUUGGUAAAUUGACCCUCACUUGUGCUUAAUUGGAUUAUUAUUACUAAUUUCAAAUAUUUAAUUAAGGUUUCAUUGGUUAAUUUUGCAAGAUUAUUGAUAUAUGUUAGUGAUGAAAUUUUUGUUAAGUGUUGGUAAAUGAGUAUCUAGUGAUUUUAUGUACUUGAUUUGAUUGAUCAUAAUGGUGAACUAAGCUAGCAUGCUAGAGUUUUUAGUUCAUGGUAUGUUGAUAUUUCAAUUGAUAAAUGAACAUUGAUAAUAGAUAAUUGUUGUGUUAGAUUUAAUUUGAUGUUAAAACGACUAUGUUACAUGAUUCACAUAUGGAUUUUGGCAUUUUAAAUUGAGCACAUUAUAGAUUGAAAUUAUCUUAUGAUUGAUUGAUUAUAUUGUCAUUAUAGCAUGGUGGAUCCAUUAGAUAUAGCUGGCAUGUAAUAGCCCAAAAUUGGGUCUAGUUAGAACAGAGGUUUUGGGACCACAAAAUCCGAGAUAGAAAUAAUUAUUUUAUGAUUAUUUUGAGGUCUAUGAUAUGAUUGCAUGAUUGUGUGAAAAUUUCGUGAAGAAAUUCUAUGCAUAAAGUGCUCAAUUUGAAGUUAGGGACUAAAUUGAAUAAGUUGCAAAACUUGCAUUCUAGAAGUUUCUAGUAUGAAAUUGCUUUGAAAUAUUAAUUAGGAGGUCUUAAAUAGAAAUUUUACCAAUCUCUAAGUGAUGGAAAAAAAUUGGACAUAGAUGGAAUUUUUGAAAGUUUAGUAAGGAAGGGCAUUUUGGUGAUUUGGUAAUUGAAAGAAAUAAAAAGGGAAAAUAAAGCCAAAAUUGACUCAUCUUUCUCAUGGAGGCCGAAAUUAGCAUGGGGGAAGCCAUGGCUAGGGUUUUCAAGCUUUCCAAGCUCAAUAGUAAGUCUGUUAUAACCUCGUUUUUCAAGUUCUUUAAGUUUUUGGAAUCCCGGUAAUUUGAUUAAGCUUAUUCUAGCAAUAAUUUAAACUAGGGUUCAUAUUUGGAAAAAUAUCCAUAGGUGAAAUGUGUUUAUUUUGCUGUUUUAUAAUAGAAUAUGAGGUUUUAAAUUAUGUUAGACAACUUGUGCUACUCGAUUUUGAGUGAAAACGAGUAAAAGGGCUUAAUCGGUAAAAAUACCUAAUAGUCGUAAGUAUAUGUUAGAGUGAGAAUUUGAUGUUGCCAUAGAAGGAAAAAGUGAUCAGAAUGUCAUAAAACAUAAGAAUAAGGGAUGAAGUUUAAUUCCCGAGCCUAGGGGCAAAAGUGUAAAUAUGUAAAAGUUUAGGGGCAAGAUUGUAAUUUUUCCAAAGUUUGAGUUAAGGACUGUUUUGAAUAUUACAUUAAUUAAAUAAGUAAAAUAUGAUGUUUUAGAUCUCGGAAAACGAGAUUUGAACCUAGAAUGAGAGAAAAAUCAAAAAUUGGGAAAGUCGGUAAAAUGGCCGUUUUAGUAUCGAGGUAAGUUCAUAUGUAUAUUAAUUUAUGCAUGUUUCAAUGUAAAAUUGAUAUAUUCAUUAUGAUUUCCGAGGUGUUGAAAGUAUGUAAGUUGGUAUGAUAAUAAUACAGCAAUAAUGCUGUAAUUUAUAUUUGAAAGUUAAAUUUAGUGAAUUAAUUGAAUUAUAUUAAAUUAAAUGAUUAUGGUGCCAAGUUUAUGAAUUGAUUUUAAAAUAUGCCUAUGGUACAUGAAGUGCAUUGAAUUAUCAUACAUAAAUGUGAUUUCUAUGAUUAUGGAUAUUAUGGGAAAUUGUAAGUUCAUAUGAUUUUUAAUAAGGCAAUGUGUAAUUUAAUGUUAUUGCCUUGAUAUUAAAUGAGAUGUAAGUUUAUAUGUAAGUAAUACAUCAAUAUUACUUGUAUUAUGAUAUUUUAUAUUAAUAUUGGAAAUAUGUUUGUGGAUAAUUACUUGAUUGGUGAAAUUGUUGGAAAAGAGAGAAAAAUCCCGAUUGAACCUUCGGAAAAAUUGGAUGAUACAGAUAGUAUGUAGCUAGGUCACAUGUAUGGUGCUGAGUGCACAUCAUGUGUACAAGAGAGCUACAAGGCAUUACGAUGUAGGUAGGUCACAUGGGUGAUACUAUGUGCACACCAUGUAGACAAGAGAGCUACGGGAUAUAUGUAGCUAGGUCGCAUGCGUGGUUCCAGGUGAAGGACACCAUGUAGACAAGAGAGCUACGAGAUAAAUUGGUUAGGUCACAUGGGUGGUACUAAGUGUUCACCAUGUGUACAAGAGAGCCGAAUUAUAUGAUGGGUGGAGCUUUGUGCUGAAACAACCAAGUAUCGAGGAUUGAUCCGAAGUGUUCAACGGGAGACUCUCUAUGUAUUGCUUUUUGAGUUUUGUGAUGAAUAAGUGCAGGAACUUGAUUAUGUGAAUGAUGUGUUCAUUAAGUGACCAGGAUGUGGUGAGGUUAUAAACAAGUAAGUUAUACAUGAGGAUGAUUUUAUGGUGACCUUGUGAUCAUGGGCCUAUACUUGUGAUGUAUGAAAUAUGGUGAAAAUGAUUUGUGAUAUGUAUGUUAAAAUGAGGUUAAUACAAAGAAAGUUUGAAAGAGUGAAUUAGCAAUAAAACUGUUUUGGACAGUAGCAGUGACAUGAUUUUGAAAAAUCACCAAAAAUAGUAGAAAUGAAUCAGAGACUGAAUGAGAUAUAAAAUUAAAUCUUAAUUAGUCUAUUUUCAUAUAAAAGAAACAGAGCAAGAAAAGGAGUUCUAUAUUUUGAGAUAUUUAUGUUUUUGUGAGACUGGUUCAGAAUGAUUACGUGAUCCCCUAUUCUGACUUUGGAAAAUCACAAAAUUUUGGGUAAAAAUAAUUAGAGGCUUAAACUUAUAUUUUUAAAAUCCCUAAUGAGUCUAUUUUCAAGAUAAAUCAACAAGAACAUUAUCCGAGUUCUGUACUGUGAGAUAAUUAAUUUUUAGUGAAGAGAGGUCAGAACUGUCAAAAAGUGAAACAGGGGAAAUUUUAAUGAAUAAACUGUACUAAUUGGCUAAACUAAAAACUAUGAAAAUUUUAUGGUGGAAAGAUAUGUGAGUCUAGUUUUAUAUGAAAUUUACGGAUCUUAAUUUGAAGCUCUGUAGUUCGAAUUAUAAAUAAGUAAGUGACUAUGACUCGUGUGGAUAGUUUGAUGUGAGCAUUUAUUAGUAAAUUGUGAAAUCGUAGUUACAAGAAUGCUAUAUACAUUAAGGAUGUGGAAUGGAGAGGAGGAGGAGGAAAAUAAAUAUAUGAGGAAUACAUGGAAACUAUGGUAUAUGAAAUAUUGAUAUAAUGAAAUAAAUUAUAUGUGUUUAUAAGAAAACAGAAAGAGAAUGAUAUGUAUCAUGACAUGUAUAUAUAUAUAUGACUAGUCUCAAUGUAAUGCUUGUUGGGUAUGGAGUUGAACUGAAAUGUUUCAGGAAAACAUGUUAUUUUGCGUAUCUGAAUUGUGGUAUUUUAUAAAGAUAUGAUCUAGUUUUAAAUAUGAAUGCUUGAUGAUUAAGCUGAAGAUAUUUUGUAAGAUGAUAAUCUUGGUAUAAAUGUAUAAGUGGUACUAUAAUAAACAAGGUAAAAUGAGUAUGAGAGACACGUGUAUGAUGACAUACAAAUGCUAUGUUUGUGGUUUAAUUGAGAAUAUUUAAUCAUUAAAUGAAUACUAUGUUAUAUGCUUUUGAUUUUGUAUAAGUGUGUAAGAGAUUAAGGUUAACCAAAGCUUGGAAAAUAGCCUAGGUAUAUUCCACACAGGCAGAGACACGACCAUGUGUCUCAGCCGUGUAUGGAACACGACUUUGGGACACGGACGUGUGGAGCCUUAAAGCAUGAAAUUUCCAAGAUUUUCGUAAGUUCUCGAUUUAGUCCCGAACCCUUUCUAAAGUAUGUUUUGGGCUUCGUAGAUUCAAAUAAGGGACUAUGUGUAAGUGAAUAAACGUUUUGAAAUAUGAAUGAAAUUUUAUGGCUCGUAUUUUAGUUUAAUGUUUGUAUGUUUGUCCGGUAACGCCUCGUACCUUAUUUCGGCCUCAGGUAAGGGUAAGGGGUGUUACAUGGCAUGCCAUAGGAUUUGUGAGUACUCACAAUAUUAAUAUGUUAUUUGUAAGCAAUGAGGCUCUAGGUGGACUGAUUUGGAGUAGACAAGGGAGUUUUGAGCUUGUGUCUCCACUCGACGGGAUUGAUGGAGGCGAUAUAAGGGAGUGUGUGGCCUCAGCCCGCUCAAUCUUGGAUUGGUUCUGAUGCUGAUUGGGAGUAAGGAGAUUCAUUUAUCCGGUGUAUGAUCACCUGAUUAAGCCAUGAUCGUAUAUGCCAAUAUAAAUGUAUGAAAUGUUAUAUGCAAAAUUGAUGAUUAUAUGCCAUGAUUAAUAUGGUUUAUUAUACAUGGUUGAGCAUAUGACAUUGAACUAUUAUGGAUUGAUAUUUUGAUUGAAAAUUUGUAUUUGAUUGGUUUCAAUUUAAGCAUGAUUUGGGUGCUAAUUUACUCUUCAUUUUAUUAACAUUCACUAAGCUUUUCAAGCUCAUACCCUUACAUUCAUGAAGUUAACCGACGAGAUUGAGGAGUUGAGGAGUCGAGCAAGAGAAUUCCAAAAGAUCAAGGAUUGAUAGAGAUUUAGUUACACGUUUUAGAGAUGUUAAUUAGGUAUUGUGGAACUUCCGGGACUUAGUUUAGUUUUGGUUGUAAUUGAACUUGGACAUUGGACAUUUUUCAUUUUGGAUGGUUUUAUAAAAUCAUAUAUGCAUGUUUGAGUUUGAUUAUUGAAUAAUUUACGGUGUAUUGAUGCUUGAUAACACGAUAAUUGAUAACACGGUGUGUGAGGAAUGAUGUUUAUACUAACCAUUGUUUAAAUGAAGUUUCCAUAGAGUGGUUUACUAGUGACUAAGGUACGUCACUUGUUUGAAUUAAUUGGUGGGUGAUAUGCAUAAAAUUGAAUGUUUAAUUCUAUUUAAUUGAUGCUUGAUUGGUGUAAAUAAAUUCAACUGAAUGUGUAUAAAUAUGUAUGAUAUUUAAUUGUAGCUAAAUCAGGUUUAAUUGGCCAUUAAAAUACUCAAAAUCAGGUUUAAAGUCAAAUUUUUCGCACAAAAAAAUUGCGGUGGACUGUUGGGGGUUUGAAUUCUGUUCUUUUUAAAUUGGUUCUCUAGUUCGUUUAAAUUACAAAUUGGUCUUGUAACUUGAUAACUCUAAUUAAAGCCUUAAAUGAUAAGGAAACUUGAUAAAAUUUUAGGAUUAGACUUUUAAUUGAUAAAAUUUGUUCGAAACACACAAAAUUUAAUAUUCAUGGUAUAGUAUUGAUAGUUUGAAAUUCUUACGAUUUAGUCCUUAAUGAUAAAACUUGAAUUAGACAUAGAAUGUAACAUCCCGAUUUUGGGCCUAGUCGGAAUAGUGGUUUCGGAACCACAAAUUCAAGGUCAGAGAAAUUAUUUUUGAUAUUAUUUUAUGUGUUAUAACAUGAUUUUAUAGAUAUUUGAAAGGUUCAGUGCAUUAAUUUUAGCAGUUGCAUGCUUCAUUUUGAAAAAGGGAUUAAAUUGCAUAAAGAGUGAAAAUUAUGUUCUACUAGUCAAAAGUGUUAUGUAACUAAAGAAAAUAGAUGUGGAGGUCCUUAUUGAGUAAAUAGACUACUAAUAAUGAGUGGUGGAUGUACAUGGAGACAAAAAAAUUAAAAUGAUCAAAUUUGGUGGCUUUAGGUGACUUAAUAGGUAGAAUAAUAGUAAAAUAAAAAGAAAAGCUAUCAUCUUUUUACUUCUCUUUCUUCUCCACCAAUUCUUACCCAAGGAAAUGGCCAUGAAAGCUUGAAAAUUUCAGCAACUUCUAACCCUCACAAGUAAGUGAUUUUGAUGGUCAUUUUUAAUGACUUUUGUAUUUUUGGAACCCUUGUAGCUUAAUUUAGCUAAUGGGGGACUAUUUUGCAAAAUGACUGAAAGUAUAGGGUUUUUCCAUGAGAUUAUUCAUGUUGUUUGCUUCAUUUUUAUGGAAGAAAAUGAAUAUUGGUUGUUAAAUAAACAACUGUUGUUAAAUGAUUUUCAUGAAAACACCUAAAAUGGGCCAUUUGGUAAAAGUUGUAAAAUAGGUGGUAAAUGUGUGUAAUAAUGGAAAAUGUGGGCUGCCCUAAGAAUGAAAAAGGUUCGGCUAUGCAUGGGUAGUAAAGAAAUUGAACACAUUUCAUUUUACGAGCCUAAGGGCAAAAGUGAAAAUAUGAUAAAGUAUAGGCGUAAAAAUGUAAUUUUACCAAAAAUGUGAAAUUGGGUUAAUUUGAGUAGCAUGAUGAAUAAAUAAAUUAAAUGUGUUGUUAUAGAUCAAGGAAGAUGAAAUUCAGAAUUAGUUCAGGGGAAAAGAAAAAUAAUCCAGUAAUUGACUUAUUUCGUCAUUUCAUACUAAGGUAAGUUCGUAUGUUAAUAAGCAUUAAAUUUGAUAUGUUUAGAUGCUUAAUCGAUAUCUAUUAUUAUUUCGUAUGUUAUUAUUGGAUCAUGAAUAAUAUAAAAAUAUGAGGUCAUAUUGAAAGAUCAAAUUAAAAUAAAUGCAAGGUUGAGCAUGAUCGAAUUACGGCAUGUUAUGAAUUGACGGUAAAGACCAUGGUUGGACCAUGGCAAUAUGUGUAACCAUGUAAGACCAUAUCUGGAUAUGGCAUCGGCAUGUGAUCCCGUAUAAGACCAUGUAUGGGACAUGGCAUCGGCAUUGUUAUGUGAACCAGUGUAAGACCAUGUCUGGGACAUGGCAUCGGCAUUGUUAUGUAAGCCAGUGUAAGACCAUGUCUAGGACAUAGCAUCGGCAUCGUUAUGUGAGCCAGUGUAAGACCAUGUCUGGGACAUGGCAUCGGCAUCAUUAUUUGAGCCAGUGUAAGACCAUGUUUGGGACAUGGAAUCGACAUGAGGCAUCGUGUAAGACCAUAGCUGGGCUACUGGCAUCGAUAUGAGAUUUCCAUGUAAGACCAUGUCUGGGACAUGGCAUUGGUACAAUACAUCAUGUAUGAGUUUUCCUGAGUAUCCUUGGUAUCCCAAGAGGUUCAACAAGUAAAUCCAAAGAUUUUGUCAAAGAAAUGACAAUGUAUGAUCAUGUUAAAAGGGUAUAGGUAUGUACGCAAAAUUCAUGAGUAAUGAAUUCGGUGUAUACGGUACAUUUGGUAAGAAUGUAAAUGAGUAAGUCCUACCUAUGAAAAUGAUCUUGUGAUGACCUUGUGAUUAUAAGUCUAUACUUAUGAUUUAUAAAUAGGUGGUAAAUUUGAUUAAUGAUCAUGUGUGAGGCUUUUAGGCCAAAUUAAAUUGAGACAUGAUAAGUUUAAGUUUUGUUGUUAAUGUAUAGGUUAAAUUGGCCAAUGAAUGGCAUGUAAAUAUUUGAUAAUGACUAGCUAUUGGAAUGACUAGUUAAGGAUAUGCUUUGGUGUUAUGUAUGACUAAGAUGUUAAUACAGAGAAAUCAUGAAAGAGUAAAGUUAGCAGUAAAACAGUUUUGGACAGGAACAAUUGUAUAACUUUGAAAAAUCACCAAAAAUUGCGAAAAUUGAAUUAUAGUUUGAAUAAGAGAUAAAAUUAAAUCUUAUUGAGUCUAGUUUCACAUAGAAGAAACAGAAUAAGCAAAAGACUUUCAUAUCAUGAGAUGUUUGAAUUUUUUUGGGCCAGGGUCAGGAUGAAUCUGGAAUCCCCUGUUCUGACUUUGGAAAAUCAUUAAGAAUAGUAUAAAAAUAAUUACAAGUUAUAAUUUAUAUUUUUUAAAUUAUUAAUGAAUAUAUUUUCAAAAGAAUGAAAUGAGAACAUCAUCCAAGUCCUGUAUAAGGAGAUACUUAAUUUUUAGUGAAGAAGGGUCGAAACUGUCAGACAGCAGAACAGAGACAACUUUAAAGAAUAAACUGUACUUAUUGGCUAAACCAAAAAUUAUAGAAAUUUUAUGGUAAGGAUAUAUGUAAGUCUAGUUUUAGGUAAAAUUAUAAAAAAUUAAUUUGGAGUUCUGUAGCUCAAGAUAUAAAUAAUUUAGUGACUAUAACUCGCGUAGACAGCUUGAUAUAAACAUAGUGAAUAGUGGAACUUUGUGCAAUUAUGAUUGCAUUAGCUUGAGAACAUAUUAUGAGGAUUGUUAAAAGCAUGUUAAUAAUUUUUUUAUUAUUUACAUACCUACUUAAUAAGCGAUAUGCUUACUCUCUCUUCCUUUCCUUUUUCCUAUAGUGUCAUAGAUGCUAGCUCGAGUUGGAGGUCGUCGAAGAUCUUAUCACACUAACAAGCUAUUGAUAGGUAUCAAUGAUUUUCUAUCAUUUUAAGUUUAUGGCAUGUAUAGGGAUUUGGUUAUUUUGUACAUGAUAUUAUGAGUUGGCCUAUGCUAAUUGAAGUUCAUUGUUGUAUAAGGCCAUUUAGUGUGACCAAUAUUUGCUAUGUUAUAAGUCUAUGAUGAAGUAUUACAUGGAUGUGCAUGCUUGUUUGGGUUGGAUGAGUGAAUGUGUGAUAAUUAGGUGUGGCAAAUACUAAAUGUGAAUGGUUGAGCAAGUUACAUGUUAUAAUUAGUUAAGUGUGUGUGGUUGUGCAUGUUGAAUGUGAUUUAUAAAUAGUGUGUGAAUGCCACGAUGUGGUUAUUGGGAUGCCUAAAAAUGCCAUGUUGUGUGUUGAUAAACUUAGUAUGGGUGUGCAAGUGUUUUUGGAUGGAAAAAGGCUUGGUAAAUAGCCUAACUAUCAUCCACACGGAUGGCCAGACGGCCUAGCACACGGGCGUGUAACAUGGCUGUGUGACCCUAAAUGGGUGAUGACGUCAUAAACAGAGAGUUACAUGGGUGGAGGACACAGGAGUGUCCUGAGCCACAUGGGUGUGUGUGGCCACACGGCCUGCCCACACGGGCGUGCGACUCUCCAAAAUAUGAAUUCAAAAGUUCUUGGUUUAGUCCCUAACCACUUCCAAUGUAUGUUUUGGGUCUCGUAGCCCAUAUAAGGGACUUUAAGAUAGAAAUUGAAAAUUUUUAAAUUUGAACGAAAUUUUAUGACCUGGAAAUGUUUGUAUGCAUGCGUUUGAGUCUGGUAAUGCCCCGUACCCUAUUCCAGCGACGGACGUGGGUAAAGCGUGUUACAUAGAAAAUUAUCUCGGAUUAAGCUAAAAUUUUUAGGGCUUACAUAAGUUAACUAAAGAGGGUUGAUAAAUGUAUAGAUCUAAAUUUAGGUUAGUUUAGCCGUAAGUGGUAAAAAUGACAAAAAUGCCUUUAGUUUAAAUUAUUUAUAAAAUGUUUAAAAAUUGGUUCACGAAUUGCUUCCACAUUAAUAAAUAACUAAUAAAUGGAUAAGAUUGAGGUGUUAUAAGGUCGGGGUGUGUCUUGGGAGGUCAUUAGCCGGAGAGUCACUUAGGUGACUAAUGUAACAUUUCGAAUUUGGGCCAGUUCGUCCUAGUUGGGUUUUGGGUGUAACACUUCUCAUAGUAAUCGGAUAACCUAAAGUCGUGAAUAGAAGAAUACAACACAUGUAUUUUCCCAUUACGACUCUUUUUAUUUUUUAAUCAAUCAACUGUGGAUCAUCUCAUAUAUAUAUCACAAGUAUAACAUUACAUGAUAUAAAUAUUAUAAACAAUUAUAAAACAAAUAUAUAAAGAGAUAGGUAAUUAAAAUAAAGUUUUCAGCCAAGGUUUCCAUGGUUCUAUUUCUAGAAAAUAAAUUAAAAAAUAAUUUCAUUGUUUUCCGCCACAAGGUAGCUCUUGAGUCUUCAACCGCCAUCGCUCCAUCUUCUCCUUGUCAUGGACUCCUUUUAAAAAAGUCACAUUUAAGCCUUAUGUCUAUUUCUAGCUCAUAAGAAUUCUACGAAUUAAAAAAAAAUAUCUUAUGGGGAGAUGAUAGUCCACGACCUAUUUCCUAAGAACCACAACAUUUGCAAAAAAAAUAAAAUUAUAUAACAAAUAUUUAAUAUCGCAUCCAUUCUUAUAUAUAACUCAAAACAUGCAUAAGAUCUAAAGAAUGUCACUUUCUAUAUAAUCAAAUCAUUUAAGAAGAAAAGAAAUUUAUUUUGAUUAUUUGUUUAUACUGGUAGAUAGAGCACAACUUGAAUCUUAUACCAAUUGUUGGAAAAUCAAGUUUGAAAAAUGCAGUAGAAAAUAAAUUUAAGGAAAAAAAGAGUUUUAAAAAUUUUCCAAAACUAGAACUUAGUUAUAAGAUCUAAGGAAAUAAACACUUAAUCAAAAUUGUAUCUUUUUUUAUUCGUCUAGGAUGAACGUUUCGACCGAGUAGUCUUCUUUGUUAUCCUGAAGCUCACUUCUAUCGAGUGUGGACUUAAUUCGAAUUAGAAAAUUUUUCACAAAAAUUACCAGUGGAGUAUGUAAUGGCCCAAUUUGUCUGGAGCAGACAAAACAAAAAAUACUGACAAAAAAAAAAGUCAAUUAAAUAACAAUCCAGUUACAAAGAAAUACCCAAAUAUACAAGCCCAAUAACCUUAGACCCAAUCUGCUAAACCAAAACCCUAAAGCCCAAUAACUCGAAGCCCAAAGCCCACUAUCCUAAACACAUCAGGGAAACCCUAAUUUCUCCUUUGCCCUUCAGCGCCGCUGCCUUCGCCAUGUUAGUAGACACGUCGUCUAAGGGCCUAAUGCCUCCUCUGCCACCAUUGCACCGAAAUGGCAAGGGGCACAGUUCCUACCGUUGUUGAUUGAAGGCCUUUUGCCACCAUCGCAAAAGUUACCUACAAAAAGGAAAAACAGAGAAGCAGGGAAAAGAAAACUAAAAACAACAAUAAUAUAUCUGGUAAUAUAUUUGACUGUAAAAGACAAAACAAUCUUAUAACACAUUUAUCAGAAAUUGAAUAGAGAACAAAAAAAAAUAACAACAAAAAUAUUAAAAGGUAUAAUUCUUUUUGUUUAUAUUUUUAUUUUUUAGAAAACAGAAUAGACAGAUAGGGUUUUUACCCAACUGACGUUUCAUCUUCCGUCUUCGUGGGUGGGUGAAUACCCCAUCUCUAAGGAAAGAUGACCUUCUCUAACACGAAAGACCUCCGAAUCCAUCAGGAUUUUUUGGAGGCCUCGUCGAAGAGAAGGAAACAGAAAGGUUUAUUUCCACUUUUCUAGAGUUUCGAUUAGGUUUGUAGGGGUUUCGACUCCAAAUCAGUGUUUUUUAGGUUAAAAGGCUCGAAGGGAAGAGUUCUUGGGAACUCCGACCACCGGUGGCAACGGUCCCUAUCGCCAAUGACCAGUGGCCACGGCGGAGAUUCGUCGUCCCUAUGGCCAGCUUGAGGGAGGGUUUAAGAGAAAAACAUAAAGGGGAAAUGAGUUUUUUUUUAAAAAAAAUUGUUAAAAUGAUUUUUUUUCAAAUUUUUUAACUUUUAUAUGGAACUGGUACAAUGCCAUUUUGGCCUGGCUUCAAAAGACCCCAAAAUGACGUCGUUUUGAGCUUGACUUGAUGAUUCGACCCGAACCCCUCCAAGAUCUGCCUGUUUUUGAAAGGUUGGGAAAAUUGCUGCCUAGGCCCUUCCGUUUUUUUCCUUUUUUUUAACUUCGUCCAGUAUCAUUUUAUUUAUUUAUUUUAUUUUUACCCUUUUAAUUUUAUUUUUCUACAAAUCAGUCCCUUGACCCACUGUUGACCUACUAAGGGGAUGAAAAUAACCCUCUAAGUCCCUGUACUUUUCUAUCUUGUUUCAUUUUCUUGUAAUUUAUGCUUUAAAUUUUGUUAUAUUUUCAAUUUAGCCCUUUUAUUUAAUUCCAUUCCUUUACUUUAUGUUUUAAUUUUUAGUUCUUUUAAUCUUAUUAUUUACGCUUUAAUCCUAUUUAAAUUAUGCAAUAUUCAAUUUCAUCUUCGAAUUAUUAUUUUAUUUAUUUAUUUAUUCAUUUAUUUAUAUUAUUAUGGUAUUAAUCCUGUCAUAAUUAUUGAUAUUGUCAUUGGUUGAUGUCAUUUUUACUAUUAUAGUUGUAUUAUUGUUAUUUACUAGCAUGAUUACUAUUAUUUUACUAUAUUAUCAUUUUGUUCUUUUUACCCUCAUGGUUAUUUUGUUUUAUUUCUACCAUCACCAAAUUAUAUCUCAUGCUUAAAUAUAUUUGUUCAUUUUUGCACCAUAUUCAAAUAAAUUAACCGCGUAUCGUAUUAUAUGUUGUAGCCAUUCUCAUGUAACACGUAAUAAGUAAUUAGACCCUAGGCGAUGUUUGUUAUUUUGGAGAUUCGAGGAGUCAUGCCUCUAACUUACAGAGUAUGACUUCCUUCUAGAACCAAAAUAACUAAAUAUCCUUUAAAAUUAAAAACACAUAUGAUUUAGGUAAUAAUUAAACGAUGAGUAUGUUUAUUUUCGAGGAUUUGGGAUAUUGUGCGCUAACUUAUGGGACACGACCUUUCUUUCUCGAUUGACCCAAAGUAAGAGAAUCUUCUUCAUAAGAUCCAAUUUAGAUAGUAAUAUUUUAGAAACGUCACCAAAUAAAACCAUUUACAUGCAUAAAAGGGUCAUUUUUUUAUCCUUAUCAAAUUCUCAAUUUUGACACUAAGACAUCAAGUAAUCAACUAGGUACCUAUUUUGGGUGUUAUGAGGGUGUUAAUCAUUCCUCAUACGUAACUAACUCUUGAACCACAUCCUGGAUUUUGUAAACUGCAAAUUAUCAUUAUCAGUAAUUUUGACCUUUUAUUAAAAUGAUUAAACUUCAACGUGAUCUAAUCACACCUAAUAAAAAGGAUUGGUGAUGACUCCGUCUUCAUUUUAAAAUAGAAAGUCGAGUUCCAAAAAGGUUUCAAUAGGGUAAUUUUGCAAUCUCUCUAAGCUCAGAGACACAUCGUAAUGCCGAUAACUUCUCUGUGAAUAAACUGGAUCGUUUCGUCAACAACCUGAGUGUGAACAAUUUCAUUUUCUUCAAUGAUGAUGAAAUACCUCCAGGGGGUAUGGGAUCAACAAAAGCUCUCCACAUCACUACUUAUUGCAAGGGGUAUACAUUGCCUGAAGAUUCAUUGACAAUGGGUCUACCCUGAAUGUUUUACCUUUGUCCAUACUAAAUAGGCUACCAGUUGAUAGCUCUCACAUGAAGACAUUACAUAACAUAGUAAGGGCAUUUGAUGGCAUAGAAAGGAAAGUGAUGGGGAGGAUUGAAAUACCGCUCCUAAUAGGUCCAAAUACAUAUGAGGUGGAUUUUCUAGUAAUGGACAUGAAGCCAACCUAUAAUAGUUUAUUGGGAAGCCUUUGGAUUCAUUCAGUAGGAGCAGUGUCGUCAUCGUUGCAUCAAAAGUUGAAGUUGGUGAUAGAGGGUCAGUUGGUCACAAUAAAUGCCAAAGAGGACAUCAUUGCAUCAGUGACUAGUGACUUACCCUACAUAGAGGCAAAUGAAGAAGUUGUAGAAUGCUCCUUCUAAUCAUUGGAAUUCGUAAAUAUAACUUUUAUUGCUAAAGGAAGCAAGAUCCCCAUGCCAAAAGUAUCCAAAACCAUAAUGAUGGGUCUACAAUUGAUGGUCGAGAAGGGAGCUUUUCCAGAAAGAGGACUUGGAAAAUAUCUCUAAGGAAGGUUAAUGCACCAAUGCUGAUGGGUAAACAAGAUCGUUUUGGCUUAGGGUAUAAGCCAGAUACAAGAUAAAAGAUGAAGGAAUUGGAAAAGAAGCAGGAGAGGAGGAAGGCGCGACUGAGUGGGGAAGAUAUCAAGUGGGAAUUGAUUAUUUUUCCCCAUAUAUCUGAAACAUUUGUGUCAGGAGAGGUCAUCUACCCUUAACGAAGAAUGAUAGAGAAAGAGAGUUUGAUAAUUAAGAUUGUGGGAGGAAUCUUGGGAAUUUUAAACAUCAACGCCAUAUCUAAAAAAAGAAAUGAGGAAGCGAAUCUAUCAAGAAUUCGUCCCUAUACCCUCGAAAGUGCUCUGAACAACUGGACUGUAGAGGAGAUCCUUGUAGUUUUUAGGACUAUUUUAGAUUAAUGUUUAGAACAUACCUAUUGCUCUAAAGCUUGGGAGCAAUAAGGAUCCUUUUGUGAAAAGGCGCAUGUCCACUAUUUUUAUUUCUAUGGAAAAAAUGCAUAUUUAUGUACCACUUGACAAAUAUUCUACUAUUUUUUUCCCAUUUCAUCCAUACUCAUACCACACAAUUAAUCAUUCUUAAAUUUAUUUCUUUAUUGGGUCUCUUAUUAUUCUUAUAAUAGGUCUUCAAAUAUUAAUGAUAUGAACGAUGUUGCUGCUGACUCAGAGCCUCCUUUUGAGUUGGAUAUGUGCCAAGAAGAACCUCAGGACUUUGGAUAUGAUCAAGAUUGUAACUUGUCUCAUGAUCUACUAAGGAUGGUAGAGUAAGCUAGGAAAUAGAUAUUACCUUACAAAGAGUCAGUGGAAAUUUUAAGCUUAGAGGAUGAACAAGAAAAGAAAGAGGUGGAAAUCAAAACUUGCAUCACUGCAAAAACAAGGCGAAACUUCGUUGAGUUACUCCAAUAAUUCAAAGAUGUCUUCGCAUGGUCGUAUCAAGACAUGCCUAGUCUAAGUACUAAUGUCUUGGUACAUAGGCUUCCCAUAAUGGAAGAAUGCAAGCUGAUUCAGUAGAAACUUCAAAGGAUGAGUCCUGACGUACUGUUGAAAAUAAAAGAGGAAGUCAAGAAAUAGUUCGACGCUAGUUCUCUACAGGUUGUAAUUAUUAGGAAUGGAUAGCCAAUAUAGUCCUCAUCCCUAAGAAAGAUGGGAAAGUGCGAAUGUAUGUAGAAUAUAGGGAUUUCAACAAAGCCAGCUUGAAAGACAAUUUCUCAUUACCCCACAUUGAUACCCUAGUAGAUAACACAGUAAGACAUUCACUAUUCUCCUUCAUGGAUGGUUUCUUCAAAUAUAACCAGAUAAAGACGCAUCCUAAAGAUAUAGAGAAAACCAUAUUUGUAACAAUGUGGGGAACGUUUUGUUAUAAAGUGAUGUCUUUUGGACUGAAAAAUGCAGGAGCAACAUAUUAAAGAGCUAUGGUGACUUUGUUUCAUGAUAUGAUGCACAAAGAAUUGAGAUUUAUGUCGAUGAUAUGAUCAAAAAAUCCUAAAUAGAGAGAGUAUGUGUGAAAUUCUUGAGGGAACUGUUCCUGAUGUUGAGGAAAUUCUGGUUAAAGCUGAACCUAACAAAAUGCACUUUUGGGGCCACAUCGGGCAAAUUGCUGAGAUUUGUAGUCAGCGAGAAGGGAAUUGAGAUUGAUCCAGAUAAAUUCAAUGUCAUAUAGGAGUUACCACCAUCGUGUUCCCAAAAAGAAGUUUAGGGUUUCUUACGGAGGUUAAAUUACAUUGCUCGGUUCAUUUCACAACUGAUCGAGAAAUGCAACCCCAUAUUUCAUUUCCUUAAGAAGCAUAAUCCAGGUCUAUAGGAUGAUGAAUGCCACAAGACCUUCGACAAGGUAAAACAUUAUGUUCAACACCCCAGUGCUGAUGCCAUUUAGCAAAGAAAAACCAUUAAUACUAUACUUGGCAGUAUUUGGAAAUUUUAUGGUAUGCAUAUUAGGCCAACAUAAUGAGCUAGAGAGGAGAGAAAGAGCAAUCAAUUAACUCAGUAAUAAUUUUACUGAAUGUAAGAUAAGAUAUUCUUCAAUCGAGAAGCUAUGUUACACCUUAAUCUGGACCACCAUGACAUUAAGACAAUACAUGUUGUACAAUAUGACUUGGCUCAUCCAAAAAAUGGACCCUCUGAAUAUAUGAUAGAUUCAACCGCGUUGAAUGGAAGAAUGGCUCGAUGGCAAAUUCUGCUCUUUGAGUUCAACAUAAUUUAUGUAAACUAGAAGGCAAUAAAGGGAAGUGUGAUAGUGAAUUUCUUGGUUGGUAGAGCUUUAGAUGAUUACAAGCCUUUAAAUUUUGAUUUCCCAAAUGAAAAUCUUAUGUAUGUUGUAGCCACUAAAGAAUGUGCUACAAGAGAAUCUCUCUGGAAACUAAAUUUUGACGACACCUCAAACGCCAUGGGUAAUAGAGUUGAGGCAGUUUUGGUAUCUCCUCUCACCAGUAAAUUGGAUUUCGAUUGUACAAAUAACAUGGCAGAAUACGAAGCAUACAUCAUGGGUAGUAGUGCGGCUAUAGAAGGUAAGAUCGAAGUGUUGGAAGUAUAUGGAGAUUAUGCACUAGUAAUCUAUCAACUCAGAGGUGAAUAGGAGACAAGAGAUUCCAAGCUGAUUGAUUAUCGGAGGCUAGUUCUCAAUUAAUUAAAGAGUUUGAUGAUAUCACAUUUUAUUACCUCCCGUGAGAUGAAAACUAGAUAGCCGAUGCCUUGACUACCUUAGUCUCCAUGAUCAAAGUGAAUAAACAAUAUGACUUAAAACCUAUCUAGAUGAGCAUCUAUGAGCCCGACCUAUUUUUACAACAUCAAGGAAGAAGAAAGGGAUAAUCACCUUUGAGACCAUGAAACAUUGCAAUAUGUAAAGAACCGUAAGUACCCUGAGGAAGCAACCAAGAAUGGUAAAAGGACGUUAAGAAGGCUGUCUAAUAAGUAUGUCUUAGAUGAAUAGAUCCUAUACAAAAGAAGAAAAGAUCAGGUGUUACUAAGAUGUGUGGACACUAUUGAGGCCAAAAACAAUCCUAGAGGAAGUCCAUGAGGGCAUUUGCUGAACACACACCAAUAGUUUUACAAUGGCCAGACAAAUAAUGAGAUUCGAAUAUUAUUGGUCCUCCAUGGAAGGAGAUUGUAUCAAUUAUGCCAAAAAGGUGUCAUAAAUGCCAAAUUUAUGGGGACAAAAUUCAUAUGCCUCCUUUACCUCUUCAUGUUAUGACUUCUCCAUUGGCCUUUCUCUGUGUGGGGCAUGGAUGUCAUUAGGCAAAUCUUGUCAAAGGCUUCCAAUGGGCAUCUAUUCAUCUUUGUGGUCAUUGAUUACUUCACAAAAUGGGUAGAAGUUGCUUCUUAUGCUAAUGUCAUAAAAUCAAAAAUUAGAAAAUUCUUGAAAAAAAAGAUUAUAUGUUAGUAUGAAAUGCCAAAAAAGAUCAUAUCUGAAAAUGUAUUGAAUUUGAACAACAACAAGAUAGUAAAGGCCUAUAGUCAAUUCAAGAUCAAAAAUCACAACUCGACACCAUAUCGCCCAAAAAUGAAUGGUGCAGUGAAGGCAUCCAAUAAGAACAUGAAGAUGAUUGUGGGGAAAAGGAUAGAGACUUAUAAAUAUUGGCAUAAGAAAUUACCAUUUGCCCUCUAUGCUUAUCGAACGUUUGUUAGAACCUGCACUUGGGCAACACUUUUUUCUUUGGUUUUGGAAUGGAGACAAUUUUACCUAUUGAAGUCAAGAUUUCUUCACUCUAAAUUUUAUCAUAAUUGAAGUUAGAUGAAUCAAAAUGAAUCCAGUCUAGAUAUGAUCAGUUAAACAUGAUUGAAGAAAAGAGGAUGAGAGCUAUCCGCUAUGGUUAGAUGUACAAAAAACAAAUGAUGCGGGCUUAUGAUAAAAAGGUCUGCCCUAGAGAAUUCUGUGAGGGCAAUCUAGUUUUGAAAAGGAUACAAUAAGACUUUAGAGGAAAAUGGAUGCCGAAUUGGGAGUGGUAAAGAAAUCCUCUAGAAGAGCGUUACUUCUGCUGGAGAUGGAUGGCAAAGAUCUGCUCAAUCCCAUGAAUUUAGAUUUGGUCAAGAAAUAUUUCACCUAAAAAAAGGGAGAGGUCAAGGCGACAACCCACAGAACCUAAGGAGUUUUGAGUUUAAAAUGCAAAAAGUGCGGCUCAAUUUUAAGCCUAAGAAUGGGCAUGUAAUAGUCGUCUCUUCUCCAAUGUAACGAGAAAGAUGAACUUUACAUCUUGAGACAUCGACAAAGUACUCUAGAUCUCCUAAACACAUAUCAGGCUCAGAUUGAUCCUCAGCAAGUUUGUUUAGACAAAGUACAGUUAAUGGACUAACAAUGUUAUAAAUUAAAAUGAUUUUUGCAUAUCGCUCUGAAAAAUUUCUAAAUAGUACUGGGACCUGAAACAUGACCAUUAGUUAGAAAUAACCAAAUUUGAAAGUUGGAAAGGUCUUGGCAUGAAUAGUUCAGAUUGUGAUUACCUCUUUGGGUUUCCUGUUAAAGAUACCAGACCUAAACAAAAGGCAUGGUAACACAUCAGUGAUAGAACCUGGACGAACAACAAGCAAUGUCAACCUAAACACUAAAAAGGGGGACCAUUGUCAAAUGACAUUUUGCUUUCAGACAAAUAUCAUUCAUAAACAUCCAAUUAGAAACAUUUGAUUCAUUCCGAUCAUAAAAUUCUAAUAGUUUGGAAAAAAAAAUAUAGGCCUUUAAAAUAGAUUCUACAAGUUCUGUUCCCCAAAGGGCAACGUAAUGGAUCAGUGAAACGAAAAAUUCCAUAUCUUUGAAGUUGUAGCAAACUGAAUUGAAACUAUAGUAGCAAAUCUCAUCUCCACGAAGAUGAAAUGGGGCAAGAUGAAGCUACAAUCUCAAAUCUCGUAUCCCUGAAGAUACAGUGGAUUGGAUUCAAUUACAAUAGCAAAUCUUAUCUCCCUGAAGAUGCAGUGGAGCAAGAUAAGGCAACAACAUUGAAUCCUGUCUUCCUGAAGUUGCAGUGAAACAAAUAAAACAACAAUUCCAGCCCCUCUGAAGUUGCAGCAAGUUGGAAUGAAAUUACAACAACAAACCUUAUCUCUUUAAAGUUGCAAUGGAGCAGGAUAAAGCUGUGACACUAAAUCCUACCUUCCUAAAGUUGUAACGAAGUAGGUAUAGUGGAGUAGAGUAAUUAAUUAAUUGAAAGAGACAGUUACUUGAAAAAAAAAGCACCAGAGAAAUCGAGAUUCAGCGGGACCGGACAGAAUUGGUCCUCCUUUCAAGUCUUUUCUCCCUUUCCAUUACACGACAAUGAGCAAAGAGUGGCAGCUACAAUUGCCUAAUUAUGUCUGCUCCAGACAACAAAAAAUAGAAAAAGGCCAUUAAAUAACAGUCCAGUUACAAAGAAAUACCCAAAUAUAUAACCCUAGACCCAAUCUGCUAACCCAAAACCUUAAAACCCAAUAACCUGAAGCCCGAUAACCCUAGACCCAAUCUGCUAACACAAAACCUUAAAACCCAAUAACCUGAAGCCUAAAGGCCACUAUCCUAAACACAUUAGGGAAACCUUAAUUUCCCUAUUUUCCAUGUUAACAGGCAUACCGUCCAAGGGCCUGACGCCUUCUCUGCCACUAUUGCACCAAAAUGGGAAGGGGCACGACUCCCACCACCGUUGACCAAGGCCCCUUGCGACCAUCAUGAAAGUAUUAUAUCAUUAUUUUACUAUAUUAUCAUUUUGUUUUUUUUACCCUCAUAGUUAUUUUAUUUUAUUUCUGCCAUCACCACAUUAUAUCUCAUGCUUAAAUAUAUAUUUUCAUUUUCGCACCAUAUUCAAAUAAAUUAAUCGCAUAUCGUAUUAUAUGUUGUAUUCAUUCUCACGUAACACUUAAGAAGUAAUUAGACCCGAGGCGAUGUUCAUUAUUUUGGAGAUUCGAGGAGUCAUGCUCUAACUUACAGAGUAUGGCUUCCUUCUAAAACCAAAAUGACUAAAUAUCUUUUAAAAUUAAAAACACAUAUGAUUUAGGUAAUAAUUAAACGAUGAGUAUCUUUAAUUUUAGGGAUUUGGGAUGUCGUGCCCUAACUUACGAGACACAACCUUUCUUUCUUGAUUGACCCAAAAUAAGAGAGUCUUCUCCAUAAGAUCCAAUUUAGAUAGUAAUAUUUUAGUAACGUCACUAAAUAAAACCAUUUACAUGCAUAAAAUGGUUUUUUUUUAUCCUUUUCAAAUUCUCAAUUUCCAAUACUAAGACAUCAAGUAAUCAACUAGGUAUCAAUUUUGGGUGUUUUGAGGGAGUUAAUCCUUCCUCAUACGUAACCAACUCCCGAACCCACUUUCUGGAUUUUAUAAACUGAAAAUUUUCAUUUUUAGUAAUUUUAACCUUUUAUUAAAAUCAUUAAACUUUGAUAUGAUCCAAUCAUACCUAAUAAAAAAGAUUGGAGGCGACUCCGUCUUCAUUUUAAAAUAAAAGUCGAGUUCCAAAAGGUUUUGACAGGGUAAUUUUGUAAUUUCUCUAAACUUUUUUACCAAGUUCUAAAUAAAAAAAAUAUCUCUAGAAUUUUUUUAAAAUAAUUUUUUCAGAGAAUUUCUUUCUACAAUUUUCUUUUGAAUUCAAGUGUGUUUAAAAUAAUGACCUAAGGUUCUCUUUAUAUAAGGAGAGUUUAGAAAAUUCAACUAUGAUUAAACUUAAUCACUUUAAUAUUAAAUUAAUAUAAUACUUAUCAAGAUAAAUACUAGAUUAAAUUAAUAUUAAAUCUUAUUAAAUUAAUAGAACAUUUAUCUAUAAGAUAAACAUUAAAAUAAAGUUAAUAUUAAUAUACUCACUUUAAUAUUAAAUUAAUAAAAUACUAAUAAUAUAAGUACUAAAUUAAAUUUAAUAUAAAACAUAUUAAAAUAAUAUUAUUUUUGGAAUAGCUUAAUUUUUCCAUUGCUUAACCACUGAAGACCCACUGCUGCCGACCAUUUUCCGGCUACCGGAAUACCACCGCCGUAGUUGCCGACACCCUUAUAUGAUAUCUCUAAUUUGUUUUAGUUAAACUCGUCCACUCAAUACAAUCCUAUUUUAUCUCAUUUUCACCAUUGUGUCUUCUUAGUGAUUAAAAUGAUCAUUGUCAACAAAUGGUUGUGAUAAAUUGCGCGUUUGAGAACAAGUAACCCAUGACCACAUUCCAUAUUUAUCAAUCCACACAAUGGCAAUGAGAGGUUAUUGUUAACUCUUUUAUUGAGCUAUGAAUUCCACUAUUGCUAGUAAUGCCAUGUUAUACACUAGUCAUGUACCCAAAAUAUCAGCUAUCGACUUGAUCGUCUUUAGAGCAUAAACCUCUGCUUAUAUCAAAGCACAUGAGUUACAUAAGCAUAGUUAGUGACUAACUCAGAAUUUAGGUCAAUCACUCCAUUAAUGUGACAAGUGAAUUAAUUCACAAAUGAAUUCAAAUUUAACUCAUCUUGGGUCCAGUGCAAUACAUCAUUGUGCCAAUGAAUACAUUUAUAUCUUUACUCGUAGAUUUAACAGCUCCGGUAGCCAAGACUAGUUAUCUUCUCAAUUGGAAUUGUAGACGACAUAAUAAUCAUUCUCAGUAUUUUUAUCAAAUGAUUGCUUUGAUUCUUUUACGAGAUUAUGGACUCUUUUAGAUUAUCUACUGAACUAAGUUGUCUUUCUCACAAUGUAAACAUUCUUACAGUGCUGCUGAUCAUCAGUUUGAACUUAGACAAUAAAUGAGUUAAUAUUUUCUUGUCACAAUUUCGCUAUGCAUGCAAAAUAUUAAUGACAAAAAUACAAAAGGAAUAACAUUGAAAUGUGAAAUUCAUUUAUUCAUCUUUCAAAUAAAUAGAAAACAAUUACAAAAAUACAUCAGUCUACCCAUUGACGCCUCACAUAGACCCAAUCAUCGACUGUGAAUUUCAAGUUGAAAGAAAAUUCCAGCACAAAGGGUAUGGCUGCGGGUGUCGUAAAUAAGACAAGAAACUGAUUCCACCGUAGGAAACAAAUAAGGUCCUAAAUUUCGUGGCAAUCCUCAAAGGCUAAGUCAAAACCACAUUAAAAAAUGAACAAUCGACUUUGAAUAGAUUGAAAAUAUUCUUAAGCCUCUUCGAAAAUAGAUUUAUCGCUAUUGUAUCCUGACAAAGGGAUAAGCUCGAUUUGGGUACAAGUUUGUUUGGUGAUUGUUGGUGGCAUUUUAACAAAAAUCAUCUCUUUCUAUCACAACAACACAACACUAUAAUUCUAGUGUAACACCCCUUACUUGAGUUCAACGUUGAUACCCGGUACGAGGCAUUACCGUUCACAAAUCACAUACACAUGUACUAAGUCAGAUCAUACAAGCCCGUAAAAACUUAAAACAUUUUCAAACUUGUUUAAACUCCUCAAUAUGGGCCUAUGAGGCCUCAAACAUCUAUUGGAAGCCAUUCAGAACCAACUCGGGUCCUUAAACCGACUUUAUAAAAAUGACCAUUGAAACAGGGCACACGUCCGUGUAGAAGGGCAACACGCCCAUGUGGCCACUAUGACAUGGCCGUGCUGAUGGCCCGUGUGGUUCACACAGCCUAAGCACAAGAGGACACACCCAUGCCCCGAGCCCAUGCAAAUUAAAUUCUAAAUUUGAACCUACAGGGGUUUUAACAUGGCCUGACACAUGCCCUAGUCUAAGGCCCGUGUCCCUCACACGGCCAUGACACGCCCGUGUUCUAGCCCAUGUCUAAAAACCUUGACAGUUUGUUUCUAACAUCAGCAACUCUUUAAGGGUCACACGGCCAAGGCACACACCCGUGUGCUACACGCCCGUGUCUAUGGCCCGUGUCUCUCUCACGACCAUGACAUGCCCGUGUCUAAAAACCUUGACAUUCUGUUUCUGAUGUCAGCAACCCCUUAAGGGUCAUACGGGUAGACACAUGGGCGUGUGCUAGGCGGUGUCCUUCACACGGCUGAAAAACACGGCCAUGUCUCUGCCAAUGUGUUUACUACCAUGCAUACUAACUUAUCAAUUUAACAUGCAGGGGACACACGGCUGGAUAACACGCCCAUGGGGAUAACUAUGUGUCACACACGGCCUGGACACACGCUCGUAUGUUUCUGAUGUCAGCAACCCCUUAAGGGUCAUAAGGUUAUUUACCAAGCCUUUUUACCACCCUUACUUGCACUAACCUACAUAUCAUCUAACAUGACAAAUCCACACAACAAUACAAGAUCUAAUCAGCCAUUAUCCAAGGCUUUAUACAAAAUGAAGCGAUUCAUCCCAAGCCAACACAUUUGGCCAAUUAAACAUUGACACAAAACUCAAAAGUAUAAGCCCUAUACAUGCCAUAUUCAAAAUAAUAAAACUAACUAUACCAAGUGCUUCAGUUGAUAGUGUGAUCGAUGCCUCCAACGUCUAAUGAUCCUCGAGCUAAUUAGGUGGCACUAUAAGAAAAUGGAAAGGAGAGGGAGUAAGCAAAAAGCUUAGUAAAUUGUAUGCAAAAAAAUAUAUCAACAACUUUACCAUUCAUCAUCAUGCUCAUAAUACAAAAGUAGGCAUAAGCACAACUUACUCAUCACUAUCCAAUACAAUUCACAUAGCAUAUAUUGAGCUCACAUCUCAUAUAUUUCAAAUAGGUACCUGUACCACUCACAACAUGGUUAUGCUUUUCUCGUUUAACUUAAACUGUAACUCUUACCGUUGAACCAUUCUGAAUGCUAUUGGAUACUCACUAAGCCUCAAACAUAGGGUAUAACGCUGAUGCCAUGUCCAAAACAUGGUCUUACACUGGCUCAUCCGUCAAUUUGAUGCCAUGUCCCAGACAUGGUCUUACACUGCUAUUGAAAUCGAGGCUGAAGCCAUGCCUAGACAUGGUCAUACACUAGCUCUCACAUACCCGUGCCGAUGCCAUGUCCCAGACAUGGCCUUACACUGACACCUCUAUACGUGUCGACGCCAUGUCCCAGACAUGGUCUUACACUGACACAUCUCGUAGCCGAUGCGUGUCUCAGACAUGUCUUACAAUGGCUUACAAAUAACCCGAAUGUCAUGGCAUAAAUAUCUGAUUUAUUUCCUAAGGUUCAAACGGGAGUUCUACAUCUCAAUAUACAUCAUACGUAAUCAUUUCCACAAAAAAAAAAUUUAUGCUAUAUCAGUUCAAACACAUAUAAUAACAAUGUAGUUAUAUUAUUUACAUACAACUUACCUCGGUACUUAAAAUGUGGCGACUAGUCGAUUUAAUCUACUUGCUUGGCUUUUUUCGGUCCAGGUUCGAAUUUUGUAGUUCUUAAUCUAAAAUGAUUGAAAUUCAUUCAUUUCAUCAGCAUAUUAAUCUAGACACUUGAAAAUUCAUAAUUGGGCAAAAUAACCAUUUUGCCCCUAGACUUUUACAAAAAUGACCAUUUUACCCCUAGGUCUGAAAAUCGAUUUUUAUCAUAUUUUCUCAUUAAUCAAGCCUAGCCAAAUACUUUCUAUACUAGGAGCAUCCCACAAUUCUUAUUAUUUCACACAUUUAGCAACUAUUUUACAACUUAUGCAAAAUGGUCCUUAGUUAGGGUUUCCAUGAAAACUACUUCACAAAAGUUGUUUAUUUCACAACUAUGAUUCAUUUUCUUCCAUAAAAUUUCAAAAAACAACAUGAUCACUCUCAUGGGAAAACCCUAUACUUUCAAUCAUUUUUCAAAAUAGUCCCUUUAUUAGAAAGCUCAUGCGACAAGUAUUUUAAAAAUGUAAAAAUUUUCAAGAAAAGCCAUUAAAGUCACUUACUUGCAAGAGUAGAGAGUGGCUGAAAUUUUUGAAGCUCAAAAACCCUAACAAUGGCUGAGUUUUUGGUGGAGAAGGAGAUCGGGAAAAAGAUGAUAUCUUUUCUCUUUAUUUUAUUUCAUUUUGGUCAAAUAAAUUACCAAAUUUUCACCUAAUUUUGACUUUCUCUAUCUUUUGUCUCCUAUGGCCGGCCAUCACUUAUCCAAGGGUCUAUUUUCCUUUUAAAGACCCCCAAUUUUGGUUCUCUAGCUAUUUAACACCCUAGCUAUCAAAAUAGGACUUUUGCACUUUAUGCGAUUUAUUCCUUUUUCACACUUGGGCUCACAAUCACUAAAAUUAAUUCACCAAAAUUUUCAUACACUCAUAUAAUCAUGCCACAACACAUAAAAUAAUAUUAAAAAUAAUUUCUUCGAACUCGGAUUAGUGGUCCCAAAACCACAAUUUCGACUAGGCCCAAAAUCAGGCCGUUACAAUUCUCCCCCUUUAGGGGUUUUCGUCCCCGAAAAUCUUACCGAUGAAUAGAUUCGGGUAUUGGUCUCUCAUGGUCUCCUCAGGUUCCCAUGUGACUUCUUUGACUCCAUGUCUAUGCCAUAAUACUUUAACAAGUGCAAUACUCUUAUUCCUCAAUUAUUUUUCUCCCCGAGCCAAAAUCUUAACCGGCUCUUCGCUAUAAGUCAUGUCCGAGCUAAUCUCAACCUCUGUUGGUGAGAUCACAUGCGAGGGAUCUGAACGGUAGCGAUGUAACAUAGACACAUGGAAUACAUUGUGUAGCUUUUCUAACUCUGAUGGCAACGCUAAUCGGUAUGCUACCGGUCCAAUUCUCUCAAUCACCUCAUAAGCUAAUAAACCGUGGACUUAAUUUGCCUUUCCUUCCGAAUCGGAUAACCUUCUUCCACGGAGAUACUUUCAAAAACACUUUAUCCCCGACUUGAAACUCGAACUCUUUUCAUUUCAAAUCUGCGUAGGAUUUCUAUCUAUCUGAAGCGGCCUUCAAACUGUCGCGAAUCACUUUAACUUUCUCUUUGGUCUAUCUAACUAAGUCAACCCAGUGUAUUUGAUUCUCUCUAAGUUCGGUCCAAUACAAUGAUGUUCGACACCUACGCCUAUACAAAGCCUCAUAAGGCACCAUUUUUAGACUUGACUGAUAACUGUUGUUGCAGGCGAAUUCGACCAGCGGUAAAUUCUUUUCCCAACUGCCUUAGAACUCGAGAACACAACACCGCAACAUGUCUUCUAAUAUCUAAAUCACUCUUUUUGACUGACCGUCAGUUUGCGGGUGAAAAGCCGUGCUAAAAUUUAGUUUCGUUCCCAAUGCCUCUUGCAACUUUCUCCAAAACUACGAGGUAAUCCUCGGAUCUCUAUCCAAAAUAAACCUCGGAUCUCUAUAAAAAAUAAUCGAUAAGGGAACUCCAUGAAGUCUCACGAUCUCAGAAACAUAUAGAUCGGCCAAUUUCUCAAGGGAAUAGUCAGUACGCACUGGUAUAAAAUGUACCGACUUAGUAAGUCUAUCAACAACUACCCAAACUGAAUUCUUUUUCCUUGGUGUCAAAGGUAACCCUGACACAAAAUCCAUGGUUACUCAGUCCCAUUUCCACUCGGGAACCAUCACUGACUAGAGUAAACCUGAGGGUACUUGGUAUUUGACCUUCACUUGUUGACAAACUAAACACUUAGAAACAAAAUCAGAAAUGUCUCUUUUCAUCCCCAACCACCAGUACAUUUUCUUCAAGUCGUUAUACAUUUUUACACUACUCGCAUGGAUAGAUAAGUAACUAUUAUUUGCCUUUCGUAAAAUCCUCUGAAUAAGCUCAUUAUCCUUGGGUACACAAACUCUAUCUUGGAACAUCAAGCAUCUGUCGGUACUAAUCUGAAAUUGUAUUUCAACACCUGACUCACACUAAGUUCUCUUGGCUUGCAAUUCACCGUCGUUAUUCUGAGCUUCACAAAUUUCUUGGAGAAACGUCGGUCUAGCCUUUAACUCUUCUAGAACUAGCCAUCCUCUGACAAGGCCAAUUGGGCAUUCAUUGCUCUUAAAGCAAAUAAGGAUUUUCUACUCAAUGCAUUGGAGACCAUGUUCGCCUUUCCCGGCUAGUAGUCGAUAAUCAACUCAUAAUCCUUUAUUAACUCUAACUACCGCCGUUGCUGUAAAUUCAGCUCCUUUUGAGUCAUCAAAUACUUUAGACUCUUAUGUUCAGUAAAUACUCGGCAUCUCUCACCAUACAAAUGGUGCAUCCAAAUUUUCAAUGAAACACAAAGGUGGCCAACUCUAAAUCGUGUGUCGCAUAGUUUUUCUCGUGUGGUUUUAAUUGUCUCGAGUCUCAGGCUAUCACCUUUCCUUCUUGCAUGAGCACGCACCCUAACCCAUUCAAUGAUGCAUCACUAUUGUAAUAGCCCAAAAUUGGGUCUAGUUGGAACAGAGGUUUUGAGACCACAAAAUCUGAGAUAGAAAUAAUUAUUUUAUGAUUAUUUUGAGGUCUAUGAUAUGAUUUCAUGAUUGUGUGAAAAUUUCGUGAAGAAAUUCUAUGCAUAAAGUACUUAAUUUGAAGUUAGGGACUAAAUUGAAUAAGUUGCAAAACAUGCAUUCUAGAAGUUUCUAGUAUGAAAUUGCUUUGAAAUAUUAAUUAGGAGAUCUUAAAUAUAAAUUUGACCAAUUUCUAAGUGAUAGACAAAAAUUGGACAUGGAUGGAAUUUUUGAAAGUCUAGUAAGGAAGGGCAUUUUGGUCAUUUGGUAAUUAAAAGAAAUAAAAAGGGAAAAACAAAGUUUACAAGGAAUAGGCUCGAUUGCUAAUAUUUUGUAUCAAGGUAAGUUCGUAUGAUAAUAAUAAUGCAAUGUUAUGUUUGAAUUAUAUUUCUUACUAUUAUUGCAUAUAUUGUAUGAUUUAAUAUAUUGGAAAAGUUGAUGGAAUGGUGUUUAUGAUGUGGAAAUAUGACAUGAAAGAAUGUUACAUGAAAUGUAAGAAAAUGAUGAUACAUGACAAGUGAUAUAUGAAAUAUGUGAUUUAUGUUAUGUAAAUUCUUAAAAGCUGAUUUGCUAUUUGAGUUGUGUCUUAUUAUACUAUGAAUGGACAAUUGGUACUAUAGAUAGUGAGAUCGACACUUCGAGUAAGUUUGUAUAUAAAUAAUCUAUCGAUUCUUUUUAUGUUAAUAUAUUUUGAUAUCAUAUGAAAUGUGGCUGCCUAUCAAAUGGUUAUUUGAUGUAAAUUAUGAAUUUAAAUUGAUUACGGAUAAUUUAAUAAAAUGUUGAAAAGUGAGGAAUUUCCCGUUUGAACCUUCGGAAUAGAAACGAUACAAAUGAGCUAUUGCAAGGUCACGUGUGUAGUACUAACUGCAGGCUACUACGUGUACCAGAUUGUUGGUCGCAUGUGUAGUACUAAGUGCAGGCUACUAUGCGUACCUGAUAACUUCGAUCACGUGUGUAGUACUAAGUGCAGGCUACUACGUGUAUCAGAUGGUUAGGUCACGUGUGUAGCACUAAGUGCAGGCUACUACAUGUACCGGAUAAUUGGUCGCAUGUGUAGUACUAAGUGCAGGCUACUAUGCGUACCAGAUAGCUUCCGCUACAAGUGUGGAAAUGAGAAAAUGUGCAGGCAAUUGUGUAUCUGUUAUUAUUCCGAUGAGUUCAACGGGAAAUCGAUUAAAUGAAAAUACAUGUGAAAGUGAUUAUGUGAUGAACAAGUGCAAGUAUAUGUUUAUUUGAAUUUAUGAGCAAUAUGCUCGAUAUUUGAGUGAACCUCGGUAAAAUGGAAUGGAUUAAGUGAAUUGUGUAAAAGUGAACUUUAGUAGUAAAACAGUGUUGGACAUAAGUUGCGUGAUUUUAAAAGUUUCCCACAAAUCAUAGAAGUUGAAUAAAAAUGUGAAUGAUAUAUGAAAAUAAAGCUUAAUGAGUCUAUUUUCACAUAAAAGAAAUAGGGGAAGCAAAAGAAUUCUAUAUUGUGUGAUAUUUGAAUUCUUGUGAAACAGAGUCUCAAUGAAUUUGAGAUCCCCUGUUCUAACUUUAUAAAUUCACUAUAAAUUUUACAAAAAUUAUUAAGAGUCAUACCUUACAUUCAUGGAUCCCUUAUUGAGUCUAUUUUUAAGGGAAACAAACGGAAUGGUCGUUGGAAUUCUGUACAGGGAGAAAUUUAGUUCGUAGUGCACAGGGGUCAGAUUAGUCAUACCCUGAAACAGGGGAGACUUUAACUAAUAAACUGUACUAAAUGGCCCAACCAAUAAUUCUAGAAAACAAUUAGUAAGUAGAAAUAUGAGUCUAGCUUCAGGAAAAAUUUACGGAAUUGGAUUUUGAUUUUUUUACCUCGAGAUAUGAUUUUUUAUACACUGGGACUCCAGAAAACAGCCUGUCCUGAACAUGUGUAAUUGUACAAUUAUAGUGUUUUAUCUUGAAAAGCAUGGUAGUAAUUGCUUAUUAUUUUCAUAUGAACUUACUAAGCGUAAAGCUUACCCAUCCUCUCCAUUUCUUUAGUAUUGGCAGGUCGGCUCGGGGUUGGAGAUCGUCGGAGGCAAAAUCACACUAUCAAACUAUCAUUUUUGGGAAAAUUAAUUUAAAUAUUAGAAAUAUCAAGUGAGUGGCAUGUAUGAGAAGUUGGUUUGUGAUGUGUAAUUUUCAUUAUGAUUUUGACCAUACGUAUCAGUCUGCAUUGAGUUAUCGUAUAUGAUCAUGAGAUGUAGUUCUUAUCUAUUAUGGUUUAUAAGUUUAAUUAAUCAUGCCAUGUCCUAUGUUUUGAUGUGAUGAUAUAGUUAGCUUUGUUUGUUAUGCAUGUGUUCAAAAAGUUUUGAAUUAAAUGAAAUUUUAUGACCCGAUUUUCGUCUAUGUGUAUUGUUAAGUCUGGUAAUGCCUCGUACUCUGUUCUGGCCUUGGAUACGGGUAAGGGGUGUUACAUUUAGUGGUAUCAGAGCACGUUUAGUCGAUUCUCAGACUAACAUAGCAAGUGUGAGAGUUUAGUUAUACAUGCCACGAAUAUGUGAUAGUGUGAUGUCUCCCGACACUAAUGAGGACCAUUUUGUUUAAAAUGAAGUAUUCUUCAACCGAGCUACAUUUGACCAUUUAAUAGUAAUAUUGAAGUAUUUGAAUAAAGUGUAGCUAUGAUGUGUUAAACUCGGGAAGGUAUGAAUAAGAAUUCGUGAUAUAUGUAUAUGUGAUAAUAUGUGAGAUGAAAGUUUAUAUAGUGAUAUAUUUAUCCAUAUUUGUUUGGCCUACAUAUGUUGUUGCGUGCUUGACUAAAUUAAUUAGUAAAUGUGAUGACUAAAGUUAUUCAAAAUUCAUAGAAUGCACUUGUUUGAAAUGAGAUAAUUGGAAAUUUUAUGUAAGACAGAUAUGAAUAAUAAAUUGUUUGAAGUGGAUAGUAUGAUUAUAAUGACAUAUGUGGAUAAUGAAAAAAAUGGGUCAUAUAGAUAUAUGUCAGAAUCGAGUUAGAGACUGUACGACCUCACCCCCUUACCGAUGAGGUGUAUAUAACAAAAAUUCAUGAGAAUUAUGUUGACUAAGUUCCUAAGUGUGGAAUCAAAGAGUUCAGUGAUAAAAUAAUUAUAGAUAUGACCAGAGACUGAGAAUGGUUGACAAAUGAAGGACAAAGUUAGAGAAAUAUCAGAGUUGACUGAGUUAUCUUGGGAUUCAAAUUGAUGACAGAGUGUUUCUGAAAGUACUGUCUUGAAAACAAUUAGUUAGUAAUGCUAGAAAUUAUGAGAAAGAUACUAAACUUCACUCCGGUAAGAUUUUCGAGGACGAAAAUCUCUAAAGGGGGGAGAGUUGUAAUAGCCCAAAAUUGGGUCUAGUUGGAACAGAGGUUUUGGGACCACAAAAUCCGAGAUAGAAAUAAUUAUUUUAAGAUUAUUUUGAGGUCUAUGGUAUGAUUGCAUGAUAGUGUGAAAAUUUCGUGAAGAAAUUCUAUGCAUAAAGUGCUUAAUUUGAAGUUAGGGACUAAAUUGAAUAAGUUGCAAAACUUGCAUUCUAGAAGUUUGUAGUAUAAAAUUGCUUUGAAAUAUUAAUUAGGAGGUCUUAAAUAUAAAUUUGACCAAUUUCUAAGUGAUGGACAAAAAUUGGACAUGGAUGGAAUUUUUGAAAGUUUAGUAAGGAAGGGCAUUUUGGUCAUUUGGUAAUUAAAAGAAAUAAAAAGGGAAAAACAAAGUUUACAAGGAAUAGGCUCGAUUGCUAAUAUUUUGUAUCGAGGUAAGUUCGUAUGAUAAUAAUAAUGCAAUGUUAUGUUUGAAUUAUUUUUCUUACUAUUAUUGCAUAUAUUGUAUGAUUUAAUAUAUUGGAAAAGUUGAUGGAAUGGUGUUUAUGAUGUGGAAAUAUGACAUGAAAGAAUGUUACAUGAAAUGCAAGAAAAUGAUGAUACAUGACAAGUGAUAUAUGAAAUAUGUGAUUUAUGUUAUGUAAAUUCUUAAAAGCUGAUUUGCUAUUUGAGUUGUGUCUUAUUAUACUAUAAAUGGACAAUUGGUACUAUGGAUAGUGAGAUCGACACCUCGAGUAAGUUUGUAUAUACAUAAUCUAUCGAUUCUUUUUAUGUUAAUAUAUUUUGAUAUCAUAUGAAAUGUGGCUGCCUAUCAAAUGGUUAUUUGAUGUAAAUUAUGAAUUUAAAUUGAUUACGGACAAUUUAAUAAAAUGUUGAAAAGUGAGGAAUUUCCCGGUUGAACCUUUGGAAUAGAAACGAUACAAAUGAGCUAUUAUGAGGUCACGUGUGUAGUACUAAGUGCAGGCUACUACGUGUACCAGAUUGUUGGUCGCAUGUGUAGUACUAAGUGCAGGCUACUAUGCGUACCUGAUAACUUCGAUCACGUGUGUAGUACUAAGUGCAGGCUACUACGUGUAUCAGAUGGUUAGGUCACGUGUGUAGCACUAAGUGCAGGCUACUACAUGUACCGGAUAAUUGGUCGCAUGUGUAGUACUAAGUGCAGGCUACUAUGCGUACCAGAUAGCUUCCGCUACAAGUGUGGAAAUGAGAAAAUGUGCAGGCAAUUGUGUAUCUGUUAUUAUUCCGAUGAGUUCAACGGGUAAUCGAUUAAAUGAAAAUACAUGUGAAAGUGAUUAUGUAAUGAACAAGUGCAAGUAUAUGUUUAUUUGAAUUUAUGAGCAAUAUGCUCGAUAUUUGAGUGAACCUCGGUAAAAUGGAAUGGAUUAAGUGAAUUGUGUAAAAGUGAACUUUAGUAGUAAAACAGUGUAGGACAGCAGCAGUUGCGUGAUUUUAAAAAUUUACCAAAAAUCGUGGAAGUUGAAUAAAAAUUUGAAUGAUAUAUGAAAAUAAAGCUUAAUGAGUCUAUUUUCACAUAAAAGAAACAGGGGAAGCAAAAUAAUUGUAUAUUGUGUGAUAGUUGAAUUCUUGUGAAAUAGAGUCUGAAUGAAUUCGAGAUCCCCUAUUCUGAAUUUAGAAAUUCAACAUAAAUUUUACAAAAAUUAUUAAGAGUCAUACCUUACAUUCAUGGUUUCCUUAUUGAGUCUAUUUUUAAGGGAAACAAACGGCAUGGUCGUUGGAAUUUUGUACAGGGAGAGAUUUGGUUCGUAGUGCACAGGGGUCAAAUUAGUCAUACCCUGAAACAGGGGAGACUUUAACUAAUAAACUGUACUAAAUGGCCCAACCAAUAAUUCUAGAAAAACAUUAGUAAGUAUAAAUAUGAGUCUAGUUUCAGGAAAAAUUUACAUAAUUGAAUUUCGAGUUUUUUACCUCGAGAUAUGAUUUUUUAUACACUGGGACUCCAGAAAACAGCCUGUCCUGAACAUGUGUAAUUGUACAAUUAUAGUCUUUUAUCUUGAAAAGUAUGGUAGUAAUUGCUUAUUAUUUUCAUAUGAACUUACUAAGCGUAAAGCUUACCCAUCCUCUUCAUUUCUUUAGUAUUGGCAGGUUGGCUCGAGGUUGGAGAUCAUCGGAGGCAAAAUCACACUAUCAAACUAUCAUUUUUGGGAGAAUUAAUUUAAAUAUUAGAAAUAUCAAGUGAGUGGCAUGUAUAGGAAGUUGGUUUGUGAUGUGUAAUUUUCAUUAUGAUUUUGACCAUACGUAUCAGUCUGCAUUGAGUUAUCGUAUAUGAUCAUGAGAUGUAGUCCUUAUCUAUUAUGGUUUAUAAGUUUAAUUAAUCGUGCCAUGUCCUAUGUUUUGAUGUGAUGAUAUAGUUAGCUUUGUUUGUUAUGCAUGUGUUCGAAAAGUUUUGAAUUAAAUGAAAUUUUAUGACCUAGUUUUCUUCUAUGUGUAUUGUUAAGUCUGGUAAUGCCUCGUACUCUGUUCCGGCCUUGGAUACGGGUAAGGGGUGUUACAACUAUACACCACAAACUCUUUUCCCGACUCUGGUUGCACUAGAACUGGGGCUUCGGUCAACAAGGUCUAGAGUUUCUCAAAACUCUGUUGGCACUUCUCCGUCCAUUCAAACUCAACAUCCUUUUGUAACAACCUUGUCAUUGGAGUAGCUAUCACGGAGAAUCCAUUCAAAAAUCUUCUGUAGUACCCAGCUAAACCCAAAAAGCUUCGAACCUCUGACACAUUCCUCGGCGAUUUCCACUAAACAAUAGCCAAGAUCGUACUUGGGUUAACUCUAAUCCCAUCACCCAGCACAAUGUGUACUAGGAAUCCGACCUCUUUAAGCCAAAAUUUUCUCUUACUGAAUUUGGCGUAUAACUGCUUAUCUCUCAAGGUUUGUAAAAUCGUUCUCAAAUGCUCGGUGUGCUCACUCUCAUCACGCGAAUAAAUCAAUAUGUCAUCGAUAAAGAUGACUACGAAAUUAUCUAAAUACAGUUAGAAAAUAUGGUUCAUUAAGUCUAUAAAAACUACCAGGGCAUUUGUUAAGCCAAAGGGCAUGACGAAGAACUCAUAGUGGCUAUACCUUGUCCGAAAAGCAAUUUUCGGUACAUCUUGCUCCUUAACCCUUAACUAGUAGUAGCCUGACCUUAAGUCUAUCUUAGAAAACACGGUGGCUCCCUUCAAUUGAUCAAACAGAUCAUCGAUUCUUUGAAAGGGACAGUUAUUCUUCACAGUCAGCUUGUUGAGCUGUCUGUAAUCUAUACAUAACCUCAUCGACCCGUCUUUUUUCUUCACAAAAAGUACCGGAGCACCCCACGGGGAAAAACUCGGUCUUGCAAAACCCUUAUCAGUUAGUUCUUGCAACUGUACUUUCAACUCUUUUAAUUCCAUCGGAUCCAUCCUAUACGGAGCGAUCGAGAUAGGUGCAAUACUAGGGACCAACUCGAUACCAAACUCAACUUCUCUAGUUGGAGGCAAUCCAGACAACUCUUCCAAAAACACAUACAGAUACUCACAUACCACCAACAUUCUCUCAAUUUUCACUUUAGACGCUUGGGUAUUCAACACAAAUGCAAGGUAGGACUCAUACCUUUUUUCUCAAAUAUCUUUCCGCAGUCAUGGAUGAUAUUACUACAGGUGAGUCAUCUGAUUCCUCUGGUUCAAUCCGAAGAACAUUCCCAUCUUCACAUUUCAACUCAAUAGAUUUCCUUCCACAGUCCACUACAACUCUAUGAGAAGUUAACCAAUUCAUUCCAAGGAUUACAUCAAAUUCAUCAAACGGCAAUAACAUGAGAUCAGCCAGAAAACUAUGACCCUUAAUUGUCAAGGGACAAUUUCUACAUACUUGGUCAACUAACACAUGCUUGCCUAACGGGUUAGACACUUUUAGUACAAAUUCAGUAGGUUCAACUAACAUAUUCAUACUGGGUACUAAUUUCAUGCAGACAUAAGAAUGGGUAGACCCCAAAUCAAUUAAAGCAACAAUAGAAAUAUCAUGAAGAGAAAAAGUAUUCGUAAUCACAUCUGGUGAAAAUGCCUCUUCGCGAGCGCGAAGGGCAUAAGUCCUUGCAGGCGCUCGGCCCUUGGACCUCAUAGAUGUAUCUCUAGGAGCACCUCUACUACUAACCCCAUUGCCUGGGUUCUUUUGUGGUCUACCCCUCGAAAGAGUAUUACUUACUCUCUCAUCCUGCUUUUUCUCUUUCUCAUCUAAAUCGGGGCAGUUUCAAAUGAAGUGGUCUAGAGAUCCACAUUUGAAGCAACCUCUUUCAUCCCCUCAGAACUUGUUGAAAUAACACCUAUCAUACUGCGAACAAUCCGGCCUAUUUGGCCGAGUACUACCAACACUUGCGAUAGAAGUAGUUUGGGCUUUAGACGUCGUGUACUGCUUAUUCUUCUUUCUACCUGAGAACUCCAUUGAAACAUUCGAUCGGGUAGUGAAUUCCCUCGAUCUCUUAGAUGAGGAUUGAUGCGAUUUCCCCAUCUGUCUUUUCCUAGAGUUUCGGGACUCGAUGUCAGCUUUUCUUUUCUCUUUGGCCAAUUCCUCGGCCUUACAUGCUCUCUCCACGAGCACCACAAACUCCCUCAAUUCUAAUAUGCCAACUAGUAGACGGAUAUCUUCGUUCAGACCAUCUUCAAACCUCUUGCACAAGAUAGCUUCUGUAGAUACGCACUCCCGUGCAUAUUUGCUAAGUCUCACAAAAUUACGCUCGUACUCCGUCACCGUCAUACGGCCUUGCUUUAGCUUUAAAAAAGCUUUUCUUUUUUGGUCUGUAAACCUCUGGCUAAUGUACUUCUUCUGUAAAUCUUCCUGAAAGAAUUCCCAAGUUAUCCUUUCUCUUGGUACAAUGGACAUGAGAGUAUUCCACCAUUGGUAGGUAGAAUCUCGUAGGAGUGACACUGCGCACUUCAUGCACUCCUCAGGCAUGCAUGAUAGCUUAUCAAAUACCCUAAUAGUAUUUUCUAGCCAAAAAUCUGCUCUCUCCAGGUCAUCAUCAAUAUUCACCCGGGAUUCCUCGGCUCUUUACUUAUGAAUCUUGUCUACCGAAGGUUUUUCUCUCCUAACCGUGUCUACUCCUUAAGAAGUUACAGAGGCAUGCUGAAGAAUCAGAGGAGGUGGGGGAGGUGGAGUAUUCGGAUUCGCACAAAUGAACUCCGAAUACCAUGCAUCCAUCAUAUGGAGGUAAGCUUCUCUAGCUCCUCCGCCCUGACUCAUUGUCACGGGCCCACUACCUACAGGCGCGAUUCUUUCAACGGGAGCCAACGCAUUACUCUCCACAUCAUCUGCCGUAGCUACGUCAGAAUCCAUCUACUAUAUAAAUAAAAACAUAAUUUAUCUCGUUAGGAGUCGUCACACUAUCAAAAUACAAUUAUGGCAUGUAUAACUAAACUCGUACUCACACUAGGUUAGUCCUAGAACUGACUAAACUAUAGCUCUGAUACCACUAAAUGUAAUACCCCUUACCCGAGUUCGACGCUGAUAUCGGGUACGAGGCAUUACCAUUCACAAAUCACAGAUACAUUUACUAAGUCAGAUCAUACGAGCCCAAUAAAAUUUAAAACUUUUUCGAACUUGUUUAAACUCCUCAAUAUGGGCCUACGAGGCCUCAAACAUCUAUUGGAAGCCAUUCAGAACCAACUAGGGUCCUUAAACUGACGUUAUAAAAAUGACUCUUGAAACAGGGCACACGCCCGUGUGGAAGGGCAACACGCCCGUGUGGCCACUAUGACAUGGUCGUGCUGAUAACCCGUGCGGUUCACACAGCCUAAGUAAAAGGGGACACCGCCCGUGCCCUGAGCCCGUGUGAAUUAAAUUCUAAAUUCAAGCCUAUAGGAUUUUCACACGGCCUGACUUACACCCAUGUCUAUGGCCCAUGUCUCUCACACGACCAUGGCAUGCCCGUGUUCUAGCCCGUGUCUAAAAACCUUGACAUUCUUUUUUUGAUGUCAGCAACCCCUUAAGGGUCACACGGUCAAGGCACAUGCCCAUGUGCUAGGCCGUACCCAUCACACGGUUGAGAAACACGGUCGUGUCUCUGCCCAUGUGUUUACUAUCAUGCUUACUGACUUGUCAAUUUAACGUGCAGGGGACACACAACCGGAUAACACGCCCAUAGGGCUGACUGUGUGUCACACACGGCCUAGACACAUGCCCGUGUGAACAAAAUAAGGUUAUUUACCAAGCUUUUUUACCACCCUUACUUGUACUAACCUACAUAUCAUCUAACAUGACAAAUCCACACAACAAUACAAGACCUAAUCAGCCACACGAGACAUUAUCUCAUUCAUGAAAAUAUCAUCAUUUGCAUCUAUCAAUAAUUAACCUUAGCCACUAUCCAAAGCUUUAUACAAAAUGAAGGGAUUCAUCCCAAGCCAACACAUUUGGCCAAAUAAACAUUGACACAAAACUCAAAAGUAUAAGCCCUAUACAUGCCAUAUUCAAAAUAAUAAAACUAACUAUACCAAGUGCUUCAGUUGAUAGUGUGAUCGAUGCCUCCGACAUCUGAUGAUCCUCGAGCUAAUUAGGCGACAGUAUAAGAAAAUGGAAAGGAGAGGGAGUAAGCAUAAAGCUUAGUAAGUUGCAUGCAAAUAAAUAUAACUACAACUUUACCAUUCAUCAUCAUACUCAUAAUACAAAAGUAGGCAUAAGCACAACUUACUUAUCACUAUCCAAUGAAAUUCACAUAGCAUAUAUUAAGCUCACAUCUUAUACAUUUCAAAUAGGUACCUAUACCACUCACAACAUGGUUAUGCUUUUCUCGUUUAACUUAAACUGUAACUCUCACCGUUGAACCAUUCUGAAUGCUAUCGGAUAUUGAUUAAGCCUCAAACAUAUGGUAUAAUACCGAUGCCAUAUCCCAGACAUAGUCUUACACUGGCUCAUCCAUCAAGUUGAUGCCCUGUUCCAAACAUUGUCUUACACUGACUAUCAAAAUUGAGGCCGAUGCCAUGUCCCAGACAUGGUCUUACACUAACACCUCUAUACAUGCGAUGCCAUGUCCCAGACAUGGUCUUACACUGACACAUCUCGAGGCCAAUGCAUGUCCUAGACAUGUCUUACACUUCCUUACAAAUAACCCGAAUGUCAUGGCAUGAAUAUCUGAUUUAUUUCCUAAGGUUUAAACAGGAGUUUUACUAUCUCAAUAUACAUCAUACGUAAUCAUUUCCACAAACAAGCAAUUUAUUCUACAUCAAUUAAAACACAUAUAAUAACAAUGUAGUUGUAUUAUUUACAUACAACUUACCUCGGUACUCAAAAUGUGGCGACUAGUUGAUUUAAUCUAUUUACUUGGACUUUUCCCGGUCUAGGUUCGGAUUUUGUAAUUCUUGAUCUAAAAUUAUAGAAAUUCAUUCAUUUCAUCAGCAUAUUAAUCAAGACACUCAAAAAUUCAUAAUUGGGCAAAAUGACCGUUUUGCCCCUAGACUUUUCAUAAAAUGACCAUUUUACCCCUUGGUCUAAAAAUUGAUUUUUAUCAUAUUUUCUCAUUAAUCAAGCCUAGCCAAAUACUUUUAAUACUUGGAGCAGCCCACAAUUCUCAUUAUUUCACACAUUUAGCAACUAUUUUACGACUUAUGCAAAAUGGUCAUUAGUUAGGGUUUCCAAGAAAACUACUUCACAAAAGUUGUUUAUUUCACAACCAUGAUUCAUUUUCUUCCAUAAAAUUUCAGAAAACAACAUGAACACUCUCAUGGUAAAACCCUAUACUUUCAACCAUUUUGCAGAAUAGUCCUAUUAUUAGAAAGCUCAUGCUACAAUGAUUCUAAAAAUGUAAAAAUUUUCAAGAAAAGCCAUUAAAGUCACUUACUUGCAAGAGUAGAGAGGUUAAAAUUUUUGAAGCUCAAAAACCCCUACAAUGGCUAAGUUUUCGGUGGAGAAGGAGAUAGGGAAAAAUAUGAUAUCUUUUCUCUUUGUUUUAUUUUAUUUUUGUCAAAUAAAUUACCAAAUUUCCACUUAAUUUUGACUUUCUCUAAAAUUAAUUCACCAAAAUUUUCAUACUCUCAUAUAAUCAUGCCGCAACACAUAAAAUAAUAUUAAAAAUAAUUUCUCUGACCUCGAAUUAGUGGUCCCGGAACCACAGUUUCGACUGGGCCCAAAAUCGGGUCGUUACAUCUAAGCCACUAACCUACAAUCAACAACAAUAACACAAGUAACAAAAAUUAAAACUAACAAUAAUAAUCAAUAAAAAUCCAAAGAUAAUAAAAUAAAAGGAAGUCUAAACCAUAAGGAAUCCAUGUUGGCAUCAUGGGAUGAGUCGAUAAAGUGUUACUCCAAUGCAAGGAGUAGCGAACCUAAAAAAAAAGACAAAAGAAAGCUAAAAGGAAAAAAAAGUGUAAAGAGAUGGAAGGGGAGUUAAAUGAAAAUAUGAGAGGAAAGAUGAAGAGAGAGGAAGAAUUAGGGCAACUAGGGCUUAGAAUGAAUGAUUUGGGGAUUUUGGGGUGUUUUAAGGGUUAAACCCUGAAAAACACACGAAUCAUGAUACCCAAACUUGUUUCUGGCGUAACCCGAUUUGGAUAUCACGAUAUCUUGAAAAAUUUUUGACCCACAUGUUGACUCUUUUGGUGAUAUCACAAUAUAUAGGGUUGGAUAUCGUGAUACUACUGUGUUGCCCACAAAUUUUUAUUUUUUGAAAACUUAAAGGAAAUCAUGAUAUCAAUGUUGGGUAUUGCCAUAUCCACAAGGUUUUUGGCCCCUCUGUUCAAACUGUCAAAGGUAUCCCGAUAUCCCCUCUCAGAUAUCGCGAUAUCAUUGAAUGAAGCCUAAAAAGUUUUCAAUAAAUUUAUCUUUUACCCCCAAACAUGCAAAAUUAACUCUACAAGUUUAAAUUUUAAAGGUGUGCGAAUGUAAACCUAAUCUAAACGAGAAAAAAAAUUAAGUCCAUGCUCAAGAAUUUAUAUAUGCCAAUUCAGAAAGUUAAAAAUUCAUCUUAGGGCAAUAAGUUACUCUCAUGUGAUGGUGUUCACACAAGCUUUUGAGCACUAGCAUGCGUCUCAUUCUCUUAAACCCAACAAGUUGCAUCGACCACAUCGUUACGACACCUCUUUUCUUCACUUGAAUGGCUCACAUCCUUGCUUGGGAACCUGCAAACACACACCACUUGAAACAUCUUCCCUCAUUAAAAGCAUAAUCAUACAACACACUAAUAGAUUGACAUUGACCUGUAUAAAAGGAAGCCUCCCUAAGCUUAGGGUCGAGGUCAGCACACCUAAAGAUUUUUACCUCCCUACCUACUUCCACUGUCAAUUCUCUCUUGCCCACAUCUAUCGUGGCCUUAGAAGUGGUUAGGAAUGUUAUCCCUAAGAGAAUCAGGAUUUCUAAAUCAUCCUCAAAAUCUAAGAGAAUAAAGUUUAUGGGAAAUAUAAAUCGUCGAACCCUUACCAAAACAUCCUCUAAGACUCCUUUUGGGUGAACUAAGGACUGGUUGAUAAGUUGAAGGGUCACCGUAGUCUCCUUAUGGUCACCUAAGCCUAACUUAUGAUAAAUAGAUAAAUGCAUAAGGUUAAUGAUUGCUCCUAAGUCGUAAAAGGGCUCUUCCAAAGUUAACUCCACCUAUUUCUAUGGGAAUCGUGAAACUACUGAGAUCAUUAAGUGUAGGGGACACCUUAUGAUAAACCGUAAUAUAUACAUAUUUUUACCUCAUGCUUGGCAUAUUUAUGAAUUAUUUUUCCUUGGUUUUAGUGAAAUUGAUGCUCCUAAUCCUUUAAUUUCAUGUUUUAUACUUAGGAGAGCUUAGGAUAGCAAAAAGAGAGAGAAACGGGCUAAAAAUGGACAAAUUGGGCCUAAAUUAGUAUUUCACAUGAUAAACCGUAAUUUAUGCAUAUUUCUGUCCCAUGCUUAGACAUUUUAUAGAUGAUUUUUCCUUAAAAUUAGUGAAUUUGAUGCUCCUAAUGCCUUAAUUUCAUGUUUUAUACUUAGGUGAGCAUAGGAGAGUGAAAGGAACGAGAAACGGGCAAAAAACGGAAAAAAUGGGCCAACGUACGAAAUCAACACAGCCUGGACUUCCUCACACGGGCAAACCACACGGCCAUGUCAAUUUGGCAGAAUCGAAGCACAACGCACACGGGCAUGUCCUUGCCAAGCCCAAGUUUAGUCCAAUUCAGAAAAAGCCAAUUUUGAGGGUUCUUAGGCAAUCCAAAACCUAUAAAUACACCCUAGAGGAGGAGGAAAGAGGACACACAGAGAGGAAAGCAGGGAACUGCUCAAGGAAAGCCAAUUGAUCCAUCUCAAAAGCCAGAUUCAUUAUUAAGACUGAAGAUCUCCCCUCAAUUUCCCUUCAGGAGUUUUGGGUUUUUCUUUAUGUUUUGUAUUCAUUAUUUUUCUGAGAUGUUUACCAUUUUAGUUAUGAACUAAAACCCCUAAAUACCUAAGGGGAAUGAAACUUAAGAUAGAUCUUGUUAUUAUUAUCUGAAUUGUAUGAUAAAUAUUUGUCUUGUUCUUAAUUAUGUCUCCUUAAUUCUUGUUUUGAUUCAAGUUAAGCUCUUAUUCAGAGGAGGAAUAGACCCUGUCUAAAAGUACAUUUGUCAUAAUUAAGCAGAGUUGGUUGCUCGCCUAGAGAUAGGGUGACAAGAUUUUGCUAGAUUAGGGUGACACCUAAUAAGGGGAUCCAUAGAUCGAGUUAAUGCAACCCUAGAGAGUUAAUUAGAAAGAGAUUUCAAUUAUUCAACCUAGGGUUAGACGUUGUUAGUCUCGAGAGAGAUAAUAAUAUAACUUAGGGAUUUCUACGGAUCAAGUCAAGUGAAUAAAUCAUCCGAUUCAGAGUCAAAUAACAAGUGAAGUCUAGGUAGAUUUUUCCUUAGGUAUUGUCUCAAUCAAUCGAGUUUUCCACAAGUAAUUCCCCAAUUCUAUUUUUUGUGAAUUCUUAGUUUAGUUAAUUAUCUAGUUAAAACAAAUCCCAUUAUUCUUAGGCUAGAUAAUAAAAAGAUAGUCAUUACAAGUACUUUUAGUUCCUUUGGGUUUGACAAUCCAGUCUUGCUAAAGCUAUACUACUGUACGAUAGGUACACUUUCCUUCAUCGUGAUAAUAGUUACUUUCAAGAAUGAUUCAUUAAAAAAAUUUAAAACCUAUCACGAAUAUCAUGUAUCAUCAUACGGCCUAGGCACUUCCACACGGGUGAUCCACAUGUCCGUGUGUGACACACGGGUAAACCACACAUCUGUGUGUCAUGGCCGUGUCAACAUUAAUCCAAGUCAGAAUUGCACACGGCUUGAGCACCUUCAUACGGGCGUGGUACACUACCGUGUCCCUGUCGAGCCCAAGUCUAGUCCUACUCGAAAAAGGCUACUUUUGGGCAUUAAAAAUUUUAUAUAAACACCCUAGAAGAGGAUUAGAGGGGACACGAAGAGAGGAAGACUGAAAAUACUCAAGGACAGCCAUCAAAUUCACCUCAGAAGCAGGAUCUACAUCAAGACUGAAUAUUUCCAUCCAAUUUCCUAGAAGUUCUUUGGGUUUCUUUAUGUUUUGUUGUUUUCCAAACUUCGAGAUGUUUUCUAUUAUUAUUAUGAACUAAACUCCCUAAAUACCUAGGGGAGAUGAAACCUAAGAUGGAUCUUAUUACUGUUUGGAUUAUAUGAUAAAUACUUGUUUUUAUUCUUAAUUUUAAAUUCUGAUUCUUGCUUUAAUAUUCUAGGAUAUUAGUUCAAGUUUUUGAUGUGCUUAUUCAGUGGAGCAAAAGUUCCUGUUUAAGAGUAGAUCAUUCAUAAUUAAGCGGAGUUACAUGCAAUCCUAGAGAUAGGAUGACAUAAAUUUGCCAGAUUAGAGUCAAAUCUAAUAAGGGAAUCCAUAGAUCGAGUUAAUGUGACAAUAGGGGUUUUAAUUAGAAAGAGAUUUCAAUUAAUCAACCUAGAGUCAGUUGUUCUUAAUCUCGAAAGAGAUAUUAACAUAAAUCAGGGAUUUCUACGGAUUAAGUCAAGUGAAUAAAUCGUCUAAUUUAGAAGUAAUAAGUGAAGUCUAGGUGGAUUUUUCCUUAGGUAUUGACUUCUCCAUCAGUUUUCCAAAAGUGUUUCCCAAUUUUAAUCUCUGUUGCAAGCUUAGUUAAUUAGAUAAAUAGUUUUAGGUUAAAACAUUCCUUUAAUUAUUAAGCUAGAUAAUAAAAAGAUAGUAAUUGCUAGUACUUUUAGUCCUUGUGGAUACGAUAUUUCCGGUCUCACCAUAACUAUACUACUGUUUGAUAGGUGUGCUUGCCUUAGUCGAAUUUUGUUAGUUAGUUUCAUGACCAUCAAGUUUUUUGCGUUGUUGUCGGGGACUAAGAUAUUAGGAACACUUAAUUUUUAUUACUUUAGCCAUUUUUAUUUUAUUGCAAUUGAAUUUUGUUUUUAUUUACUAAAUUUUCUUUUCUUUACUACUGGCAGGUUUUUGACAGUUUAUUACUAGAAGAAACCUGUCAUGACCUUUGCUUAGGAUAGUGAAAUUGAGAGCAUAGCUUGCAGAAAUGAAGAAAAAUAAGGAAAAGCUUACAAUACAUAGAGGAAGGGCACGAGGACGACACCAAUAAUACCAAGGAGAUAGCUGAAAAUAAAAAUAAUCCGCUACCUCUUGUGGUUGCUGCAAAUCCAGUAGAUCAGAAUCCUGCUCCUCGUACUAUGUAUGAUUAUGCUAAACCUACUUUAACUGGAACUGAAUCGAGUCUAGUUAGACCUACUGUUGCUACAAAUAAUUUUGAGCUGAAACCUAACACGAUUCAAAUGAUACAACAGUUUGUUCAGUUUGAUGGUUUACAGGACGAGGACCCAAACACUCAUUUAGCAAAUUUUCUGGAAUUCCGUGACACCUUUAGAUCAAUGGCAUUUCUGACGAUGCCAUUCACCUUCGGUUGUUUCCAUUCUCAUUGAGGAAUAAGGCUAAACAGUGGUUGAACUUGUUACCGCGAGGGUCAACCACCACUUGGGAAAAAAUGACCAAAAAUUUUUUGCUUAAAUAUUUUCCGCCAGCUAAAACGGCUAAAUUAAGGAAUAAUAUCUCUUCUUUUUAUGCAGAUGGAUCUAGAAACUCUUUAUGAUGCAUGGGAGAGAUACAAGGACUUAUUAAGAAGGUGUCCUCACCAUGGGUUACCUCUAUGGCUCCAGGUUUAGACUUUUUACAACAGUGUGAACCCCUCAACGAGACAACUUAUUGAUCCAGCCACCGAUGGAACUUUAAAUAACAAAACACCUGAAGAGGCUUAUGAAUUUAUUGAAGAGAUGUCACUGAAUAACUAUCAGUGGCAAGUCAUGCGAACAAAGCCGACAAAAGCAGCUGGUGUUUUCAACCUCAACACGGUCACUAUGCUAUCCAACCAGGUAGAACUUUUAAAUAAAAAGAUUGAUGGUCUGCAUGGUUCUACUCAGGUACAUCCAGUAAUGAGGUGUGAUUCAAAUGGAGGAGGAAUGCACAAUACAGAUUAUCCAUCCGUCAACUCUAGCACCGAGGAAGAACAAGUCCACUAUAUGGGUAAUAAUUCUAGACCUCAAAAUAACUCGUAUAGUAACACUUAUAAUGCAGGUUGGAGGAACCAGCCCAAUUUCUCAUGAGGUGGUCUAGGAAAUCAAAGACCACAACAUCCUCUAGAUUUUCAACAACCACAUUACCAAUAAGAUAAGAAAUCGAACCUUGAAGAUAUGCUUAUAAAAUUCAUCUCGGUGUCAGAAACUCAUUUUCAGAAUACCUAAACAGCACUUAAGAAUCAACAAGAGUAAAUUCCAGCUUAAGGCGUCCGCAACCACAUUAGCCUUUCCCGGGUGGUAAUCAAUGACAAGCUCGUAAUCUUUCAACAACUCAAGCCAAUGUCUUUGUUGCAGAUUUAAGUCUCUUUGAGUCAUCAAAUAUUUGAGACUUUUGUGAUCCGAAAAUACAUGGCACUUUUCACCAAAUAAGUAAUGUCGCCAUAUUUUUAAAGCAAAUACAAUGGCAGCUAGUUCAAGAUCAUGGGUAGAUAAUUUUUCUCAUGUGGCUUUAAUUGUCUCGACGCAUAGGCCACCACUCGACCUUCUUGCAUCAAUACGCAACCCAACCCAAGUAGGGAUGCGCCACUAUAAAUGACAAACUCUUUGCCAGAUUCGGGUUGCACUAAAAUUGGAGCUUCAGUCAAAUAAGUUUUUAGUUGAUCAAAACUUUUCUGACAUUUCUCCGUCCAUUCGAACUUAACAUCCUUUUGAAGUAGCUUCGUCAUUGGUGUGGCUAUCAUCGAGAAACCUUUGACAAAUCAUCGGUAAUAACCGGCGAGCCCUAGGAAGCUCCGAACUUCAGUAAUAUUUCUUGGAGGCUUCCAGUUAAGUAUGGCUGAAAUUUUGCUCGGGUCAACUCGAAUACCCGAUGCUGAUACCACAUGACCCAAGAAGCUAACCUCUCUUAACCAGAACUCACACUUACUGAACUUAGCAUAUAACUGCUUAUCCCGCAAAAUUUGCAACACUAGUCUCAGGUGCUCAGCAUGUUCGGUCUCAUCUCUUGAAUCGACCAAGAUGUCAUCAAAGAACACAACUACGAACCGAUCCAAAUAUGGUCUGAAGAUCCGAUUCAUCAAAUCCAUAAAUACCGCAGGGGCAUUAGUGAGCCCAAACGGCAUCACUAAGAAUUCGUAGUGACCAUAUCUCGUUCUGAAGGCAGUUUUGGGUAUGUCCGAAUCUCGAAUUCGCAACUGAUAAUAGCCCGAUCUCAAAUCUAUUUUUGAGAACACUGAGGCUCCUUUCAGUUGGUCGAACAAAUCAUCGAUACGCGGUAACAGAUAUUUGUUCUUUAUCGUCACUUUAUUCAGUUGACGAUAGUCAAUGCACAACCUCAUGGUUCCGUCCUUCUUUUUCACGAACAAUACUGGUGCACCCCAAGGUGAGAAACUUGGUCGAGCAAAACCUCUAUCCGUCAAUUCUUGCAACUGAGCUUUCAACUCUUUUAACUCGGUUGGUGCCAUACGAUACGGAGCUAUCGAAAUCGGCGUAGUCCCAGGUACAAGCUCAAUACCAAACUCUAUCUCCCGAACAGGUGGUAAACCCGGUAAUUCUUCAGGAAAAACAUCCGGGUAUUCACAAACCAUCGGCACAGAUUCGGGUUUCUUUUCUAAUUCUUUGUCAUCAAGUACAUACGCAAGGUAUGCUUCGCACCCUUUUCUUACAUAUUUCUGGGCCAACAUUGAGGAUAUUACAGCUGGAAACCCCUUUAAGUCCGUAGACUCAAAUCGGAUCAUCUCGUUAUUUGCGCACCUCAAAUCAAUAGUCUUGCUUUUGCAAUUCACAACCGCAUCAUGCGCGGUCAACCAAUCCAAACCAAGAAUAACAUCAAAUUCAUUAAACGGCAAAAGCAUCAAGUCCGCCGGAAAACAGGAACCUCGAAUUACUAGGGGACAUUUCUUACACACUUUGUCAACAAGCACGUAACGACCCAAGGGAUUUGACACCCGAAUUACGAACUCAGUAGACUCAAUAGGUAAAGUCUUACUGGAUGCUAAGGUUUCACAUAUGUAAGAAUGAGUAGAACCGGGGUCAAUCAAAGCAAUUACAUUAGUAUCAAAGAGAGUAAAAGUACCGGUAAUAACAUCAGGCGAAGAAGCAUCCUCGCGGGCACGUAUAGCAUAAGCUCUAGCAGGCGCACGAGCCUCGGAUCUGGUCGUAGCAUCUCUAGAUCCUCUCUGACCACCACUAGCAUUGCCCGUAUUUCCAGAUGGUCUACCUCGAGCAGUGGUAGCACCCGGUUUCCUACUCUGAUUUACAUUCUGUUCAGACAACCUCGGGCAAUCUUUAAUGAAGUGGUCAACUGAUCUGCACUUGUAACAGGAGCGGUCAGGGAAUCUACAACUCCCCGAAUGCCAUUUACCGCAAUAUCGACAUUUCGUUCUGUCUCGACGUUCAUUCCGAACACUGGCGACCGAAGUGCCUCGUGUACCCACAAGGGGUCGAUCACAAUCUCGUCUAAAAAGGCCCGAAGUGCCUCUCGACCAGCCCACAUCAUCUCGAAAUUUCUUCGAUGCCUGUUGAAGAGACUUUCCCAAAGAUCUUUUACGAAACUCUCCAGUUCCCACAUCAACUUUUUGUUUUUCUUUUCUAAGCUCUUCGGCUUUACAAGCUCGCUCGACAAGUACUACGAACUCUCGUAUUUCAAGAAUGCCAACGAACAUUUUUAUAUCUUCAUUCAGCCCAUCCUCGAAGCGUCUACACAUGAUAGCCUCGGACGAAACACAUUCCCGAGCGUAUCUACUAAGUCUAACAAAUUUUCGCUCGUAAUCAGUAACCGACAUGGAACCUUGCUUAAGCUCAAGAAAUUCCUUCCGUUUUUGAUCAACAAAUCUCUGACUGAUAUACUUUUUCCGAAACUCAGUUUGGAGAAACUCCCAAGUUACUUGCUCUCGGGGCACAAUAGAAGUCAGAGUACUCCACCAAUAGUAGGCAGAAUCACGCAGCAAGGAGAUAGUACACUUUAAGCAUUCAUCGGGUGUACAAGAUAGCCCAUCGAGUACCCGGAUAGUGUUGUCCAACUAAAAUUCAGCUUGUUCGGCAUCGUCGCUAUCCGUAGCUUUAAAUUCGGUAGCCCUAUGUUUUCAGAUUCUGUCAACUGGAGGCUUAUUUGACCUUAUUUGGUCAGUUACCGGAGGUAUUGUAGGUGCGGGGGUGGUAUUAGUCGGGAAUGGAGGUUGUGGAACAGCCGUAUUAGUUCGAAUGUAUUGGUUGAACCAAUCAUUCGUCACGCUAUAGAAAGCUUGUCUAGCUUCAUCAUUCGGGUUACUAGCAUUAGGUUGAGAGUCCGCCGGUGCUGUCCCUUGUGCGGGAGCAGGCGCUACACUCUCAAGAUCAUCAGCUACCUCUCGGUCGGGAUCGGGAUCCAUUACUAUAAAUAAACACAUUUACAAUUGUCAGAAAUCACCACACUAUCAAGUAAUCACAUAAAAUGGCAUGUAUAGCUAGACCCAACGCAUUACGGUAGUCCUAGAAUCGACUAAACCGUAGCUCUGAUACCAAUCAAAUGUAACACCCCGAACCCGAGACCGUCACCGGAGUCGAACACGAGGUGUUAACAGACUUUAAAAAUUUUCCAGAUACUGCCAAUCUGCGUAAUAGUCACUUUAAAAAUCAUAUCUUGAGUUCAGAAACUCGGAACCCAGUUUCGUAAAUUUUCCCUGAAACUAGACUCAUAUGCCCAUCUACAUAUUUUUUUCUAGAAUUUUUUGUUGGACCAAUUAGUACAGUUUAUUAGUCAAAGUCUCCCAUGUUACAGGGAUUGACUACACUGACCUUUGCGCAUUACGACUUGGAUAUUUCCCUGUACAGGGAUUCAAUACUGAUUUCGUUUGUUUCUAUAGAAACUAGACUCAAAGAGGAAUCUAUACAUAUAUGUCUUGACUCCUAAUUGUCUCUGGUUAAUUUGUAAUGAAUUUCCAAAGUCGGAACAGGUAAUCCAGAAACCGUUCUGGCCCUGUCUCACGAGAACCUGAAUAUCUCUUAACAUACUAUCCGUAUGAUUGUUUCGUUACUUUCCUAUGAAAACAGAUUCAUCCAGGUUCGUUUACAUAAUUUAUUCACUAUUUAAUUCCAUUCCUACUAUUUUUAGUGAUUUUCCAAAUCUACAUCACUGCUGCUGUCAGCAUCUGCCUUUAAGGUAGACUUUACCUAUUUCAUGGUUUCCAUGAUUCAACUAGCCCUUUUUGCAUAAAUAGCACAAUUUAUGAUAGUGAUUAACCAUUCCCAUGGCCAAUCCUUGUCAAGCAUAUCCACACCAAAUGAUUAUAACAUUAUACUCAAACACAUAUAAGCCAUUUUCGCAUGGCUAUCCAAAAUUAUACAAGUCCAAAGGGUCCAUGACCCACAACAAACGGGUAGUCCUAUACAUGCCAUUUCGAAGUUCAACCAAAAUUGUACCAAAAGGGGGGGCUUUGAUAGUGUGGGCGACUUCGACUUCAAAAUCCCGAGUCCGAUAGCUGGAGAACCAAAAUCUAUAAAAUAGAGGAUCAAAGAAACGGAGUAAGCAAUUUAUGCUUAGUAAGUUUUGAGCAAGGAAUUCCAGCACAGCAAAAGUAUAGCAUUCAUAUAGCUAAACGAAUAAUUUCAUAUGCACAAAUUUUCGAUAUCAUACUUGCUUCACAUUACCAACCCUUAUGUACAUACACAAAAGAUCAACUUAGCCAAAGGCCGGUAGCUCGUUUAUCAACUGAGCGAAUACUUAUUUGUAAGGGCUCAACUAAAUUCAAGCACAUACGAAACAUACCUCAAUGUUGGGAUGUUUCUAGAGUAUUUACUGAAAUUUUUACAGCAAGAUCAUUCAUUCCCAAAUCACGUACCUUCGGAAUUUAACCGGAUAUAGCUACUUGUUCAAAUGCCUUCGGGACAUAGCCCGGUUAUAGUAACUCGCACAAUUGCCUUCGGGACUUAACCCGGAUUUAGUAACUCGCACAAAUGCCUUUGGGCUUAGCCCGGAAUUAGUAUCUCGCACAAAUGCCUUCGGAUCUUAGUCCGGAUAUGGUCACUUAGCACAAAGCCUUCGAGACUUAGCCCGGACAUCAUUCAAAUAACCAUGCACAUUUAACAAUAAAUCAUGGCACAUUCGUAUUUCGUUUUCGUUAGUAAAACUCAAACACAAGACAUUUAUCAUUCUUGCAAUUUCGGCUCAAUAGCCACACAAAGAGCAUGAUUUUGGUUUGCUUAAAACAUGAUCUAAUCAAAUCAUAAUUUAAGCUCUUUUACUCAAGAACUUACCUCGGGUGUUGUCGAACGAUUCCGAUAGCUAUUCGACCACUUUUUCCUUCCCUUUAUCGGAUUUAGUUCCCCUUUGCUCUUGAGCUUAAUUAAACAAAUAAAUUGAUUUAAUCAUUUGAGCAUCGAAAAGAGGAACACAAGGCACUUAGCCCAUAUUUAUACAUUAGACAUUAAAGUCACAUAUGUACGGAAUCAUGAAUCAAACUCAACAUUUUAGCUAAUUUUUCCCCCUUGGCCGAAUAUGCAUGUCUAUUUUGGGGCCGAUUUCAACACUUAAUACAUUCUACAAGUAUGGUCACUUGUAUUGACUAAACACCCUUUUGUUUCAAGUUCAAAACUUGGCUAAUACACACAUAUAUACACUAGUAAAGCAUCCUCUCCUUUCCAUCAAUUUAACACAUGCAUUACUCAUUAAUAUACAAAAUUAUAUUCGGCCUUAGCACACAACUUGCUAGCCGAUUCUUCUCCAUAGCAACCAANNNNNNNNNNNNNNNNNNNNNNNNNNNNNNNNNNNNNNNNNNNNNNNNNNNNNNNNNNNNNNNNNNNNNNNNNNNNNNNNNNNNNNNNNNNNNNNNNNNNNNNNNNNNNNNNNNNNNNNNNNNNNNNNNNNNNNNNNNNNNNNNNNNNNNNNNNNNNNNNNNNNNNNNNNNNNNNNNNNNNNNNNNNNNNNNNNNNNNNNNNNNNNNNNNNNNNNNNNNNNNNNNNNNNNNNNNNNNNNNNNNNNNNNNNNNNNNNNNNNNNNNNNNNNNNNNNNNNNNNNNNNNNNNNNNNNNNNNNNNNNNNNNNNNNNNNNNNNNNNNNNNNNNNNNNNNNNNNNNNNNNNNNNNNNNNNNNNNNNNNNNNNNNNNNNNNNNNNNNNNNNNNNNNNNNNNNNNNNNNNNNNNNNNNNNNNNNNNNNNNNNNNNNNNNNNNNNNNNNNNNNNNNNNNNNNNNNNNNNNNNNNNNNNNNNNNNNNNNNNNNNNNNNNNNNNNNNNNNNNCACCCCGAACCCGAGACCGUCACCGGAGUCGAACACGAGGUGUUAACAGACUUUUUUAAAAAAAUUUCCAGACACUGCCAAUCUGCGUAAUAGUCGCUUUAAAAAUCAUAUCUUGAGUUCAGAAACUCGGAAUCCAGUUCCGUAAAUUUUCCCUGAAACUAGACUCAUAUGCCCAUCUACAUAUUUUUUUCUAGAAUUUUUGGUUGGGCCAAUUAGUACAGUUUAUUAGUCAAAGUCUCCCAUGUUACAGGGAUCGACUACCCUGACCUUUGCGCAUUACGACUUGGAUAUCUCCCUGUACAGGGCUUCAAUACUGAUGCUGUUUGUUUAUAUAGAAACUAGACUCAGAUAGGAAUCUAUACAUAUAUGGCUUGACUCCUAAUUGUCUCUGGUUAAUUUAUAAUGAAUUUCCAAAGUCGGAACAGGAAAUCCAGAAACCGUUCUGGCCCUGUCUCACAAAAACCUGAAUAUCUCUUAACAUACUGUCCGUAUGAUUAUUUCGUUACUUUCCUAUGAAAAUAGAUUCAUCAAGGUUAGUUUACAUUAUUUAUUCACUAUUUAAUUCCAUUCCUACUAUUUUUAGUGAAUUUCCAAAUCUACAUCACUGCUGCUGUCAGCAUCUGCCUUUAAGGUAGACUUUACCUAUUUCAUAGUUUCCAUGAUUCAACUAGCCCUUUUUGCAUAAGUAGCACAAUUUAUGAUAGUGAUUAACCAUUCCCAUGGCCAAUCCUUGUCAAGCCUAUCCACACCUCUCAAUAACCGUAUCCAUACCAAAUGAUUAUAACAUUACACUCAAACAUAUAUAAGUAAUUUUCGCAUGGCUAUCCAAAAUUAUACAAGUCCAAAGGGUCCAUGACCCACAACAAACGGGUAGUCCUAUACAUGCCAUUUCGAAGUUCAACCAAAAUUGUACCAAAAGGGGGGGCUUUGAUAGUGUGGGCGACUUCGACUUCAAAAUCCCGAGUCCGAUAGCUGGAGAACCAAAAUCUAUAAAAUAGAGGAUCAAAGAAACGGAGUAAGCAAUAUAUGCUUAGUAAGUUUUGAGCAAGGAAUUCCAGCACAGCAAAAGUAUAGCAUUCAUAUAGCUAAACGAAUAAUUUCAUAUGCACAAAUUUUCGAUAUCAUACUUGCUUCACAUUACCAACCCUUAUGUACAUACACAAAAGAUCAACUUAGCCAAAGGCCGGUAGCUCGUUUAUCAACUGAGCGAAUACUUAUUUGUAAGGGCUCAACUAAAUUCAAGCACAUACGAAACAUACCUCAAUGUUGGGAUGUUUCUAGAGUAUUUACUGAAAUUUUUACAGCAAGAUCAUUCAUUCCCAAAUCACGUACCUUCGAAAUUUAACCGGAUAUAGCUACUCGUUCAAAUGCCUUCGGGACAUAGCCCGGUUAUAGUAACUCGCACAAUUGCCUUCGGGACUUAACCCGGAUUUAGUAACUCGCACAAAUGCCUUCGGGCUUAGCCCGGAAUUAGUAUCUCGCACAAAUGCCUUCGGAUCUUAGUCCGGAUAUGGUCACUUAGCACAAAGCCUUCGGGACUUAGCCCGGACAUCAUUCAAAUAACCAUGCACAUUUAACAAUAAAUCAUGGCACAUUCGUAUUUCGUUUUCGUUAGUAAAACUCAAACACAAGACAUUUAUCAUUCUUGCAAUUUCGGCUCAAUAGCCACACAAAGAGCAUGAUUUUGGUUUGCUUAAAACAUGAUCUAAUCAAAUCAUAAUUUAAGCUCUUUUACUCAAGAACUUACCUCGGGUGUUGUCGAACGAUUCCGAUAGCUAUUCGACCACUUUUUCCUUCCCUUUAUCGAAUUUAGUUCCCCUUUGCUCUUGAGCUUAAUUAAACAAAUAAAUUGAUUUAAUCAUUUGAGCAUCGAAAAGAGGAACACAAGGCACUUAGCCCAUAUUUAUACAUUAGACAUUAAAGUCACAUAUGUACGGAAUCAUGAAUCAAACUCAACAUUUUAGCUAAUUUUUCCCCCUUGGCCGAAUAUGCAUGUCUAUUUAGGGGCCGAUUUCAACACUUAAUACAUUCUACAAGUAUGGUCACUUGUAUUGACUAAACACCCUUUUGUUUCAAGUUCAAAACUUGGCUAAUACACACAUAUAUACACUAGUAAAGCAUCCUCUCCCUUUCCAUCAAUUUAACACAUGCAUUACUCAUUAAUAUACAAAAAUUAUAUUCGGCCUUAGCACACAACUUGCUAGCCGAUUCUUCUCCAUCUAGCAACCAAUGCACAUAUGUGCUCACUCAAAAAUGCUAAAAAGAAGAUUCAAGAAUCAUCAAUCCACCAUCACAUGCAUCAUUACAAAGCUUUACACUUAGCAUGCAAAUGACAUCAACACAAAUCCACCUUAGCCGAAACUUAACUCAUCUUCAUGCCUCAUCACCACAACAUCAAAACAUCAACCAAGAAUGAUGCAUCCAUGGCCGAGUGUCAUUUCCAUCACAUAGCAAGAUUUAGACCAUGGGCUAGGUAGAACUCAAGCUAACAAAAACAUGCAUGCAUCUCAUGGAACAUCAUCAACAUACCUUAGCCUAGUUACAUGCAUGGCCGAACCUCUUCAACCUUUCUUCUUCCUUCCUCCUUAAAAUUUUUGGCCAAGGAUGAACCAAAGGAUGAACACCUUCUUUGUGUUUUCUUUCUAGUUUCGGCAAAAUGGGGGGGGAGAAACAACCACACACUUUUUUUUUUGUUUUCAUCAUAUUCCCUUUCUUUAUUUAAUUUCCAUGCUCAUUAUUUUAUUUUUUUUUCCACCCAUGAUGCACCAACCCAACAUGUCUAUGACAUGUCUUGCCCAUCACACUUGGUCUACCAUGCUUGUCAUGGCCGGCCACUACUAAUAGGGGGAAAUUGACAUGCAAGUCCCCCCUUUUUCAACAUGCACUAAUAGGCCCUUAUGCUUUGACCUAUCACAUUUCAAAAUUUUCUCACAUAAGUCCUAUUGACUAAAUUCACAUGCAAUCGACUAAAUCGAAGCUUGAAAUUUUCACACAUUCAUAAUUACAUAUUCUAGACAAUAAAUAUCACAUUCAAACAUUUCGGUGACUCGGUUUAGCGGUCCCGAAACCACUUCCCGACUAGGGUCAAUUUUGGGCUGUCACAACUCUCCCCCACUUAAGAAAUUUUUGUCCCCGAAAAUCUUACCGGUAAAUAGGUUUGGGUAUCGUUCUUUCAUCGAGCUCUCGGUUUCCCAAGUAGCUUCCUCGAUCCCGUGUUUGAGCCAUAACACCUUAACUAACGGAACCCUUUUGUUUCGCAACUCUUUCACUUCACGAGCUAGGAUACGAAUCGGUUCUUCUUCAUAACUCAAGUCAGAUUGAAUUUCAACUUCUGAGGGAUUAAUCACAUGUGACGGAUCGGAUCUAUAACGUCGAAGCAUCGAAACAUGAAAGACAUCGUGAAUCUUUUCAAGUUCAAGGGGCAAAAUCAAUCUAUACGCAACCGGACCAACUCGUUCAGAGAUUUCGUACGGCCCAAUGAAUCUCGGGCUCAACUUGCCCUUACGGCCAAAUCUGAGUACCUUCUUCCAAGGCGAAACUUUAAGAAACACUUUAUCUCCCACCUGAUAUUCAAUGUCCUUUCGUUUCAAAUCCGCAUACGAUUUUUGACGAUCUGUGGCUGCUUUCAGACUUUCACGGAUUACCUUUACUUUCUGUUCGGCAUCUUUAAUCAAAUCAACUCCGAAAAUUUUACUUUCACCGAGCUCGGUCCAAAACAAUGGUGUACGGCAUUUACGACCGUACAAAGCCUCGUAAGGUGCCAUCUUAAUACUUGAUUGAAAACUAUUGUUGUAAGCGAAUCAAUCAAAGGUAAAUAUCGUUCCCAUGAACUACUGAACUCGAGGAUGAAACAUCUCAACAUAUCCUCAAGUAUCUGAAUUAUCCGCUCAGAUUGACCAUUGGUUUGGGGGUGAAAAGCAGUGCUAAAAUGCAGCUUGGUACCCAAAGCUUCUUGCAAUUUCCUCCAAAAUCGUGAGCUGAAUCUCGGAUCUCUAUCCGACACGAUAGAAAUAGGUACCCCGUGUAAUCUCACAAUCUGAGAAACAUACAAUUCGGCUAGUUUAUCCAAUGAAAAAUCCAUACGCACGGGGAUAAAGUGAGCCGACUUAGUCAGUCUAUCAACAACAACCCAAAUCGCAUCCUUCUUACUUGCUGACAAUGGCAGUCCGAACACAAAGUCCAUUGUGACUCGAUCUCAUUUCCACUCGGGUAUCAUGAUCGGCUGAAGUAAUCCUGAAGGCACUUGAUGUUCCGCUUUCACUUGUUGACAUAUUAAACAUCUCGAAACAAAGUCGAAGAUGUCUCGUUUCAUACCAUGCCACCAAAACCAACAUUUCAAAUCGUUGUACAUUUUCGUACUCCCCGGGUGAAUUAACAUUCGACUACAAUGGGCUUCGUUCAGAAUCAUCGAAAUGAGUUCUAAAUUCCUUGGAACUGCACAAACGACUUCUGAACCUCAAACAAUCAUCAUCAUCAAUUUGAAACUCCGAUUCCUUGUUCGGAACACACUCAGCCCGUUUUGCAACCAAUUCAUCAUUAACUUUCUGGGCUUCACGAAUUUGAUGAAUCAAUAAUGGUUUGGCUUUUAAUUCAGCUACUAACACAUUGUCAGGGUAGAACAGACAAGUGCACAUUCAUCGCUCGUAAAGCAAACAAUGAUUUUCGGCUUAAGGCAGUCCGCAACCACAUUAGCCUUUCUCGGGUGGUAAUCAAUGACAAGCUCGUAAUCUUUCAACAACUCAAGCCAACGUCUUUGUCGCAGAUUUAAGUCUCUUUGAGUCAUCAAAUAUUUGAGACUUUUGUGAUCCGAAAAUACAUGGCACUUUUCACCAAAUAAGUAAUGUCGCCAUAUUUUUAAAGCAAAUACAAUGGCAACUAGUUCAAGAUCAUGGGUCAGAUAAUUUUUCUCAUGUGGCUUUAAUUGUCUCGACGCAUAGGCCACCACUCGACCUUCUUGCAUCAAUACGCAACCCAACCCAAGUAGGGAUGCGUCACUAUAAAUGACAAACUCUUUGCCAGAUUCGGGUUGCACUAAAAUUGGAGCUUCAGUCAAAUAAGUUUUUAGUUGAUCAAAACUUUUCUGACAUUUCUCCGUCCAUUCGAACUUAACAUCCUUUUGAAGUAGCUUCGUCAUUGGUGUGGCUAUCAUCGAGAAACCUUUGACAAAUCGUCGGUAAUAACCGGCGAGCCCCAGGAAGCUCCGAACUUCGGUAAUAUUUCUUGGAGGCUUCCAGUUAAGUAUGGCUGAAAUUUUGCUUGGGUCAACUCGAAUACCCGAUGCUGAUACCACAUGACCCAAGAAGCCUAACCUCUCUUAACCAGAACUCACACUUACUGAACUUAGCAUAUAACUGCUUAUCCCGCAAAAUUUGCAACACUAGUCUCAGGUGCUCAGCAUGUUCGGUCUCAUCUCUUGAAUCGACCAAGAUGUCAUCAAUGAACACAACUACGAACCGAUCCAAAUAUGGUCUGAAGAUCCAAUUCAUCAAAUCCAUAAAUACCGCAGGGGCAUUAGUGAGCCCAAACGGCAUCACUAAGAAUUCGUAGUGACCAUAUCUCGUUCUGAAGGCAGUUUUGGGUAUGUCCGAAUCUCGAAUUUGCAACUGAUAAUAGCCCGAUCUCAAAUCUAUUUUUGAGAACACUGAGGCUCCUUUCAGUUGGUCGAACAAAUCAUCGAUACGCGGUAACGGAUAUUUGUUCUUUAUCGUCACUUUAUUCAGUUGACGAUAGUCAAUGCACAACCACAUGGUUCCGUCCUUCUUUCUCACGAACAAUACUGGUGCACCCCAAGGUGAGAAACUUGGUCGAGCAAAACCUCUAUCCGUCAAUUCUUGCAACUGAGCUUUCAACUCUUUUAACUCGGUUGGUGCCAUACGAUACGGAGCUAUCAAAAUCGGCGUAGUCCCAGGUACAAGCUCAAUACCAAACUCUAUCUCCCGAACAGGUGGUAAACCCGGUAAUUCUUCAGGAAAAACAUCCGGGUAUUCACAAACCAUCGGCACAGAUUCGGGUUUCUUUUCUAAUUCUUUGUCAUCAAGUACAUACGCAAGGUAUGCUUCGCACCCUUUUCUUACAUAUUUCUGGGCCAACAUUGAGGAUAUUACAGCUGGCAACCCCUUUAAGUCCGUAGACUCAACUCGGAUCAUCUAGUUAUUUGCGCACCUCAAAUCGAUAGUCUUGCUUUUGCAAUUCACAACCGCAUCAUGCGCGGUCAACCAAUCCAAACCAAGAAUAACAUCAAAUUCAUUAAACGGCAAAAGCAUCAAGUCCGCCAGAAAACAGGAACCUCGAAUUACUAGGGGACAUUUUUUACACACUUUGUCGACAAGCACGUAACGACCCAAGGGAUUUGACACCCGAAUUACGAACUCAGUAGACUCAAUAGGUAAAGUCUUACUGGAUGCUAAGGUUUCACAUAUGUAAGAAUGAGUAGAACCGGGGUCAAUCAAAGCAAUUACAUUAGUAUCAAAGAGAGUAAAAGUACCGGUAAUAACAUCAGGCGAAGAAGCAUCCUCGCGGGCACGUAUAGCAUAAGCUCUAGCAGGCGCACGAGCCUCGGAUCUGGUCGUAGCAUCUCUAGAUCCUCUCUGACCACCACUAGCAUUGCCCGUAUUUCCAGAUGGUCUACCUCGAGCAGUGGUAGCACCCGGUUUCCUACUCUGAUUUACAUUCUGUUCAGACAACCUCGGGCAAUCUUUAAUGAAGUGGUCAACUGAUCCGCACUUGUAACAGGAGCGGUCAGGGAAUCUACAACUCCUCGAAUGCCAUUUACCGCAAUAUCGACAUUUCGUUCUGUCUCGACGUUCAUUUCGAACACUGGCGACCGAAGUGCCUCGUGUACCCACAAGGGGUCGAUCACGAUCUCGUCUAAAAAGGCCCGAAGUGCCUCUCGACCAGCCCACAUCAUCUCGAAAUUUCUUCGAUGCCUGUUGAAGAGACUUUCCCAAAGAUCUUUUACGAAACUCUCCAGUUCCCACAUCAACUUUUUGUUUUUCUUUUCUAAGCUCUUCGGCUUUACAAGCUCGCUCGACAAGUACUACGAACUCUCGUAUUUCAAGAAUGCCAACGAACAUUUUUAUAUCUUCAUUCAGCCCAUCCUCGAAGCGUCUACACAUGAUAGCCUCGGACGAAACACAUUCCCGAGCGUAUCUACUAAGUCUAACAAAUUUUCGCUCGUAAUCAGUAACCGACAUGGAACCUUGCUUAAGCUCAAGAAAUUCCUUCCGUUUUUGAUCAACAAAUCUCUGACUGAUAUACUUUUUCCGAAACUCAGUUUGGAGAAACUCCCAAGUUACUUGCUCUCGGGGCACAAUAGAAGUCAGAGUACUCCACCAAUAGUAGGCAGAAUCACGCAGCAAGGAGAUAGUACACUUUAAGCAUUCAUCGGGUGUACAAGAUAGCCCAUCGAGUACCCGGAUAGUGUUGUCCAACUAAAAUUCAGCUUGUUCGGCAUCGUCGCUAUCCGUAGCUUUAAAUUCGGUAGCCCUAUGUUUUCAGAUUCUGUCAACUGGAGGCUUAUUUGACCUUAUUUGGUCAGUUACCGGAGGUAUUGUAGGUGCGGGGGUGGUAUUAGUCGGGAAUGGAGGUUGUGGAACAGCCGUAUUAGUUCGAAUGUAUUGGUUGAACCAAUCAUUCGUCACGCUAUAGAAAGCUUGUCUAGCUUCAUCAUUCGGGUUACUAGCAUUAGGUUGAGAGUCCGCCGGUGCUGUCCCUUGUGCGGGAGCAGGCGCUACACUCUCAAGAUCAUCAGCUACCUCUCGGUCGGGAUCGGGAUCCAUUACUAUAAAUAAACACAUUUACAAUUGUCAGAAAUCACCACACUAUCAAGUAAUCACAUAAAAUGGCAUGUAUAGCUAGACCCAACGCAUUACGGUAGUCCUAGAAUCGACUAAACCGUAGCUCUGAUACCAAUCAAAUGUAACACCCCGAACCCGAGACCGUCACCGGAGUCGAACACGAGGUGUUAACAGACUUUAAAAAUUUUCCAGAUACUGCCAAUCUGCGUAAUAGUCACUUUAAAAAUCAUAUCUUGAGUUCAGAAACUCGGAACCCAGUUUCGUAAAUUUUCCCUGAAACUAGACUCAUAUGCCCAUCUACAUAUUUUUUUCUAGAAUUUUUUGUUGGACCAAUUAGUACAGUUUAUUAGUCAAAGUCUCCCAUGUUACAGGGAUUGACUACACUGACCUUUGCGCAUUACGACUUGGAUAUUUCCCUGUACAGGGAUUCAAUACUGAUUUCGUUUGUUUCUAUAGAAACUAGACUCAAAGAGGAAUCUAUACAUAUAUGUCUUGACUCCUAAUUGUCUCUGGUUAAUUUGUAAUGAAUUUCCAAAGUCGGAACAGGUAAUCCAGAAACCGUUCUGGCCCUGUCUCACGAGAACCUGAAUAUCUCUUAACAUACUAUCCGUAUGAUUGUUUCGUUACUUUCCUAUGAAAACAGAUUCAUCCAGGUUCGUUUACAUAAUUUAUUCACUAUUUAAUUCCAUUCCUACUAUUUUUAGUGAUUUUCCAAAUCUACAUCACUGCUGCUGUCAGCAUCUGCCUUUAAGGUAGACUUUACCUAUUUCAUGGUUUCCAUGAUUCAACUAGCCCUUUUUGCAUAAAUAGCACAAUUUAUGAUAGUGAUUAACCAUUCCCAUGGCCAAUCCUUGUCAAGCAUAUCCACACCAAAUGAUUAUAACAUUAUACUCAAACACAUAUAAGCCAUUUUCGCAUGGCUAUCCAAAAUUAUACAAGUCCAAAGGGUCCAUGACCCACAACAAACGGGUAGUCCUAUACAUGCCAUUUCGAAGUUCAACCAAAAUUGUACCAAAAGGGGGGGCUUUGAUAGUGUGGGCGACUUCGACUUCAAAAUCCCGAGUCCGAUAGCUGGAGAACCAAAAUCUAUAAAAUAGAGGAUCAAAGAAACGGAGUAAGCAAUUUAUGCUUAGUAAGUUUUGAGCAAGGAAUUCCAGCACAGCAAAAGUAUAGCAUUCAUAUAGCUAAACGAAUAAUUUCAUAUGCACAAAUUUUCGAUAUCAUACUUGCUUCACAUUACCAACCCUUAUGUACAUACACAAAAGAUCAACUUAGCCAAAGGCCGGUAGCUCGUUUAUCAACUGAGCGAAUACUUAUUUGUAAGGGCUCAACUAAAUUCAAGCACAUACGAAACAUACCUCAAUGUUGGGAUGUUUCUAGAGUAUUUACUGAAAUUUUUACAGCAAGAUCAUUCAUUCCCAAAUCACGUACCUUCGGAAUUUAACCGGAUAUAGCUACUCGUUCAAAUGCCUUCGGGACAUUGCCCGGUUAUAGUAACUCGCACAAUUGCCUUCGGGACUUAACCCGGAUUUAGUAACUCGCACAAAUGCCUUCGGGCUUAGCCCGGAAUUAGUAUCUCGCACAAAUGCCUUCGGAUCUUAGUUUGGAUAUGGUCACUUAGCACAAAGCCUUCGAGACUUAGCCCGGAAAUCAUUCAAAUAACCAUGCACAUUUAACAAUAAAUCAUGGCACAUUCGUAUUUCGUUUUCGUUAGUAAAACUCAAACACAAGACAUUUAUCAUUCUUGCAAUUUCGGCUCAAUAGCCACACAAAGAGCAUGAUUUUGGUUUGCUUAAAACAUGAUCUAAUCAAAUCAUAAUUUAAGCUCUUUUACUCAAGAACUUACCUCGAGUGUUGUCGAACGAUUCCGAUAGCUAUUCGACCACUUUUUCCUUCCCUUUAUCGGAUUUAGUUCCCCUUUGCUCUUGAGCUUAAUUAAACAAAUAAAUUGAUUUAAUCAUUUGAGCAUCGAAAAGAGGAACACAAGGCACUUAGCCCAUAUUUAUACAUUAGACAUUAAAGUCACAUAUGUACGGAAUCAUGAAUCAAACUCAACAUUUUAGCUAAUUUUUCCCCCUUGGCCGAAUAUGCAUGUCUAUUUUGGGGCCGAUUUCAACACUUAAUACAUUCUACAAGUAUGGUCACUUGUAUUGACUAAACACCCUUUUGUUUCAAGUUCAAAACUUGGCUAAUACACACAUAUAUACACUAGUAAAGCAUCCUCUCCCUUUCCAUCAAUUUAACACAUGCAUUACUCAUUAAUAUACAAAAAUUAUAUUCGGCCUUAGCACACAACUUGCUAGCCGAUUCUUCUCCAUCUAGCAACCAAUGCACAUAUGUGCUCACUCAAAAAUGCUAAAAAGAAGAUUCAAGAAUCAUCAAUCCACCAUCACAUGCAUCAUUACAAAGCUUUACACUUAGCAUGCAAAUGACAUCAACACAAAUCCACCUUAGCCGAAACUUAACUCAUCUUCAUGCCUCAUCACCACAACAUCAAACAUCAACCAAGAAUGAUGCAUCCAUGGCCGAGUGUCAUUUCCAUCACAUAGCAAGAUUUAGACCAUGGGCUAGGUAGAACUCAAGCUAACAACUAAAACAUGCAUGCAUCUCAUGGAACAUCAUCAAACAUACCUUAGCCUAGUUACAUGCAUGGCCGAACCUCUUCAACCUUUCUUCUUCCUUCCUCCUUAAAAUUUUUGGCCAAGGAUGAACCAAAGGAUGAACACCUUUUUUUUUUGUUUUUCUUUCUAGUUUCGGCAAAAUGGGGGGGAGAAACAACCACACACUUUUUUUUUGUUUUCAUCAUAUUCCCUUUCAUUAUUUAAUUUCCAUGCUCAUUAUUUUAUUUUUUUUCCACCCAUGAUGCACCAACCCAACAUGUCUAUGACAUGUCUUGCCCAUCACACUUGGUCUACCAUGCUUGUCAUGGCCGGCCACUACUAAUAGGGGGGAAAUUGACAUGCAAGUCCCCCCUUUUUCAACAUGCACUAAUAGGCCCUUAUGCUUUGACCUAUCACAUUUCAAAAUUUUCUCACAUAAGUCCUAUUGACUAAAUUCACAUGCAAUCGACUAAAUCGAAGCUUGAAAUUUUCACACAUUCAUAAUUACAUAUUCUAGACAAUAAAUAUCACAUUCAAACAUUUCGGUGACUCGGUUUAGCGGUCCCGAAACCACUUCCCGACUAGGGUCAAUUUUGGGCUGUCACAUUUUAUGCAAGAACAGUGACCCACACGGCCUAAAAACACGGACGUCUAUUUGGCCGUGUAGAAACAGGGCUGAAAUUUCCCAAAAAUUGACAUACAAAUGGCCUGUGAUACAUCCACAUGGACGUGCGACACAGUCGUGUGGACCACACAGCCAGGACACACGGGCGUGCCCUAGGUGUGUCCUGGCCCUGUGAAACCUAGAGCUUAAUUUUUCAAAUAUUCAAACAAGUCAGAGAGUUACACGGGCAAGGCACACAGCCGUGUGUUCGGACACACGGGCGUGUGGGAUACCACACGGGCGUGGGAGAAAUGAACAACAAAGAACACAGCCAUGUGAACCACAUGGCCUGGACACACGGGCGUGUCCAUAAGCCGUGUGGCAAAUAGUCAUAAAAAUUUCGCGACUAACACAGGCAAUAGUCGAGCCACACAAGCGUGUGACACGGCCGUGUGGCCCAACACAGGCCUCACACAGCCGUGUCCCCUUUAAAACCCCCAACCGUAACUUUAUUUUUGUCUUCUUCUUCUUCAAUCUUUCCCCUCAAACCCUAGCGCCGAAGCCCCUUUCCCCUACUCUGGCCACCACCUAGCUCUUCUUCUUGCUCUCCCUCUCUUCUUUUUUCCCUUCUCUUUCUUUCCUUCUCUUUUCUUUCUUUCUUUCUUCUUUCCUUCACUUUUUCCCCUCUCCUCUUUCUUUCCCAUUUUCCUCUUAACCUAAUAGCCACUCCCCACCCUAGCCCUCUUUCGCGCUGCACAGCCUAGCCCCCACGCCCGUGUGUUCCCCAUUCACCCAUCGUCGGCUUUAACCCCCCGCCAGCGUUGUCUGCACCUUCGGUCCCACUGACGGUUUCCCCUUUUACCCUAAUUAUUAUUAUUGUUAUUAUUAUUAGUAUUAGUAUUAUUAGAAUUAUUUUUAUGUUAUGCAUUUUAUUUCUUUAUCUUUAUCCUUGUCUUUAUUUUAAUUUUGUUUUAUUAUGCCUUUAAGUUAUUUUAGUUUUGUCUUUAUUUAGUUUGCUACAAAUUAGUUUAGGUUAAUUCUAUUAUGUUUAGAUUGCUACUACUACUCUCUUAGAAGCUCCAUAUUUAGUCUAUCAUGUUGGACUUAUCUGUCUCCUGCCAAUUCAUAUAAGUUUAAUUUCGUUAUUUUGUUAACUUCAUCCUUCAUUACCAUUCCUCUAAAUAUAUUUAUGGUUUAAUUAGCAGCCACUCAUAUGUUCCAUCCAUAGUUUGCCUACAUCGUUAUUAAUUCUUUACUUGUUAUUUUCUAGGUGUUCCCUGAUAGGGAUUCUUUUACUCUUGCAGGUCUAUUAUGACAAACAUACGAGGCAAGAAGACUGUCGUUCUCACUUUAAAAAAGCAAAAGGGUCCUGGCCCAACCUCCUCGAGCGCCUUGAUCGAAACUCGUCAUCCUCUGCUUCGAUUCUCCUUCAGCCCACAGGAUGACUUGUUUCAGCUUUUGCACGUGCAACCACUAGGAAUGGGCCGCUGAAUUGAUUGGGUCACUUUGGAGCAAGUUCACCUUGCUCACCUUGUUCGAUUCCAUCUCGAUACUGCCCCGUGGGAUCAGUUCUUUGCAAUUAUCGAGCCCACAUAUUUAGAGCUGACCUUAGAGUUUUGCACUACGUUCCAUCUACAACAUGUGAUAAAUACACAUGACGAGGCUGGUACUAUUGUUUUUAGACUUGGUGGACUCGUAAAGCACAUAAGUGUACUAAAAUUUGGAGCUGCUUUGGGCCUUUACACGGAGGAGUUCAUGGCUUCUGAGAAUUUUUUACAACUUCACCGGCACAUACACUACUCGCCCUCUUACUGUUGGACUGACCUUACGGCAAGUACUGUUCCCUAUGACGUAAGUCGCUCAAAGGUGACUUCUCUUCCUCCAGCAUUACGCUACAUCCAUGUCAUCUUGGCUCACACCUUCACUAGGAGGAGAGAGAGCCCUAAUGUCGUUAGCACCACCGACGCUUACUUCUUAUGGAGCAUGGCGAUUGGCCAUGUAUUUGAUUUGGCAUACUUUAUUGCCCUUACUUUUCACCACCAGAUGGAUCACCAUAGGAGGGGCCCUAUUUGCCUUGGCCCUUCUAUGACUCGCCUUGCUUGACACUUCGGCCUCUUUGACACUCCAGAGAUGUCAUUGACACUCACACUAGUAGGACAGAUGUCUCCUCAAUGAAUAUAUAGCAUGAUCCACAUGAGGAUGAUAGAGCGACGCUAUGGAUUCGACCCCCCUCAAUACAGAUUCUUUUAGUUUGAUGACCAUGAUGAGCUCGAGGACAUUACUGAUGAUGUCCCUCCCCCUCACGAGGACCCACCCCACCAAUACCACCGAGUCACAGACGUCCUGCUGCCACUUUGACAGAUUUUUCUGAGAGAUUCACUCACUUUGAGCAGCAGUGCUUUGAGCGGUUCGACAGCAUCGAUGCCACUCUUUGAUAGAUUUGCCACCACCUUCACAUCUCUCCUUCGGCACCAUCGACCCACUAGGCAUCUGAUGAUAAGGACCUUUGAGGCCCUUUAUUUUACUAUUAUUUUUAUGUCUAUUUUCAAUUCUAUUUUAUCUCUUAUUUAUUUUUGAAAACUUCUGUUUUAUAUUUUGAACCAUGUUUAUCUUUAUAAUUAUUAUCAAGUGAUCCCUUUAUUCUCUUCCACAGUGGUAUUUAUUUUCUUAUUGGUAACUCAGAAUCAUGUCUUUUAUUCAGCUUUCUCCACACUUCUUUCUUGCGUUCUUUCAAGGAUUUCAUCCAAAUCCAGGGUAGUUUCACAUCUCUCCUUCUCUUCUGAUAUUAUGCUUAUAUUUCUAUUCUCUAUAUUUGUACAUUAAGGAAAAUGUACAUCUUAAGUGUGGGGAGAUUUUUUAUGUGAUUAUCAAAAAAUCCCUGAAUUUUUAUCUUGUUCUGAAAUAAUUUUCUCAUAUCAUUAUUAGAGUAAAUUUUGAUUGAUUUAUGAUUUUUUGAUAUGUUUUGAAUUAAAUCAUAGGUAACUGUGCAUUGGUUGUUUAAACUUUAAGACAUUAGAGUAUCAAGCAUGAUAAGUUGACUUUUGAGAAGUAAAAUUGCUAAGUUGUUUCCCUGAAUUGAAGUAUUAUCUUGAAGUUUUGAAUUUACAGGAUCGACAUUAAUUACCCAUAAUUUUCGUGAGACUUUGAGCUUUUUAGAGCAUAUAUCUUUCAUGCUCACUCAUUUUAUUGGUUAUGAGUGUGUCAACAUUGAUUUGUUAUUCUAGAACUUGCAUUGGUUAUACAUGUCGAGACCACACCUUUGAUUUGUUAUACUAAAAUGAUAAAGACAUUUAGGUUUUACCCCAUUUACUCCACAAAAAGCCUACCCACAUAAUUGACCCCUAGUGAACCCCGUUGGGCCUUAACUAUUAUUUCUUGAUUUUUUCAUUAAUAUUAACCCACAACCUAACCCUUUUUUGAUUCGUUAAGGAUUUUUUUUUUAUUAACUCCCUUUUUAUCGAGAUUUAAUUUGAUUAAUUACCUAAUUAUGUUCGUUCAUUCCAGUUGCUAGAUUAUUUUUCGUUAUGUACUUUCCAUUAUUGUUCUUAUUCUUAAAAAAAUCGUAUAUUCAUUCAAAUUACAUCUUGUUCUAAAGAGCUUGGAUAAGUUAUCAUAUUGAGAGAAAAGCUCCCUUCAUUAGUUUUCAUUAGUGUUAAUUCUGACACUUGUUUGUAAUUUAGUUAUUAGUUUUGUUUUUUUUCUAAGUUUGGUAAUCUAUUAAAUUAAUCUCGAUCCUAACCCUCUUUUGUAGCCUUUAUCCACACCUUUAACUCAAGUCCCAUUACAACCCUGUUAAAGACCUUUUGAUUUGUGUAUCAUUUCAUUAUAGUGGUGGAGACUUGAUUUUCAUGCAAGCCUAUGGUAAUAACUUUUCAUGUUUGACUAUUGAGUGCUUAAUUAUUGAACCUUAAACACUUUGAGUGAUUUGAGUGAAUCAUUAGUGAGGAUGUCAACCUUGUCGAUUUGGAAUUAAAGGUGAUUACUUGAUAAAAGGGGAUACCUAUGAUUUUAUGAUUGAAUGCUUAAUUUGGAUUGUUUAAAACUUUAAUGAUCUUUUCGUUAAGCUCUUAACGUAUGAUUACUUGUGGAUUAUUUCAAACAUUAUUGAUUAGAAUUAUAAGUUGAGAAGAAUUUAUUUUAAUUGUGGGUGAAGGAUUUUGUUUGAGGACAAGAAAAUGCUUAAGUGUGAGGAUAUUUGAUAAACCGUAAUAUAUACAUAUUUUCACCCCAUGCUUGGCAUAUUUAUGAAUGAUUUUUCCUUGGUUUUAGUGAAAUUGAUGCUCCUAAUCCUAUAAUUUCAUGUUUUAUACUCAGGAGAGCUUAGGAUAGCAAAAAGAGCAAGAAACGGGCCAAAAACAGACAAAUUGGGCCUAAAUCAGUAUUUCACACGGACUAGCACUUCUACACGCCCGUGUACGCCUAUGUGUGACACACGGGUAAACCACAUGCAUGUGUGUCAUGGCCGUGUCAACAUUAAUCCAAGUCAGAAUUACACACGGCCUGAGCACCUUCACACGAGUUUGGCACACUAUCGUGUCCCUGUCGAGCCCAAGUCUAGUUCUACUCGAAAAAAGCUACUUUUGGGCUAUUUUGGGCAUUAAAAAUUCUAUAUAAACACCCUAGAAGAGGAUUAGAGGGGACACGAAGAGAGAAAGACUGAAAAUACUCAAAGACAGCCAUCAGAAUCACCUCAGAGGCAGGAUCUACAUCAAGACUGAAGAUUUCCAUCCAAUUUCCUAGAAGUUCUUUGGGUUUCUUUAUGUUUUUUUGUUUUCCAAACUUGGUGAUGUUUUCCAUUAUUAUUAUACUAAACUCCCUAAAUACCUAGGGGAGAUGAAACCUAAGACGGAUCUUAUUACUAUUUGGAUUAUAUGAUAAAUACUUGUUUUUAUUCUUAAUUGUGAAUUAUGAUUCUUGCUUUAAUAUUCCAGGAUAUUAAUUCAGGUUUUUGAUGUGUUUAUUUAGUAGAGAAAAAGUCCUUGUUUAAGAGUAGAUCAUUCAUAAUUAAGCGGAGUUGCAUGCAAUCCUAGAGAUAGGAUGACAUAAAUCUGUCAGAUUAGAGUCAAAUCUAAUAGGGGAAUCCAUAGAUCGAGUUAAUGUGACAAUAGGGGUUUUAAUUAGAAAGAGAUUUCAAUUAAUCAAAUUAAAGUCAGUUAUUCUUAAUCCUGAAAGAGAUAUUAUCAUAAAUCAGGGAUUUCUACGGAUUAAGUCAAGUGAAUAAAUCGUCUAAUUUAGAAGUAAUAAGUGAAAUCUAGAUGGAUUCUUCCUUAGGUAUUGUCUUCUCCGUCAGUUUUCCAAAAGUGUUUCCCAAUUUUAAUCUCUGUCGCAAGCUUAGUUAAUUAGAUAAAUAGUUUUAGGUUAAAACAUUCCUUUAAUUAUUAGGCUAGAUAAUAAAAAGAUAGUAAUUGCUAGUACUUUUAGUCCUUGUGGAUACGAUAUUUCCGGUCUCACCAUAACUAUACUACUGUUUGAUAGGUGCGCUUGCCUUAGUUGAAUUUUGUUAGUUAGUUUCAUGACCAUCACCUUAUAGGUCACCAUUGCACUACAUUCAGCAUUGAGAGCUAUUUGCUCUCCUCUCCCCAUAUUUUCCCUUUUAUUUAUUACAUCUCUAAGAAUUUUUGCAUAGUUGGGCAUUUUUUCUAGGACCUCAAACAAAGAGAGGUUUAUGUUCAAAGCUUUAAACAUUUUGAGUAAGACUAAAAAAUCCUCACUUUCUUUCUUUUUUCGCUCUUCUAAAUGAGAUAAAAAGGGAAUCGAUUCUUAAUUAGGGGAUUUAAUCGACUUAUCUUGACUUUUUUUUUGGCUUAAGUUUUACUUCCUCUUGUACCCCUUCUCCAACACUAGGGGUACGGGUACCAUCUUCCUUCUUACCUUCUUCUUUAACACUCAUUAACUUAAUCAAAUCUUUAACCACCACUCUUGAUCUAAGUGUUAUGGGCUUUGCAUGAUCUUUUUGUUCUCGUUUUAGAUUCAGCUCGGUAUUGCUUGGUAUGCUAGAGGAGGUGUGGGUUUGCAUCCAUUGAAACAUUUGGUCUAAUCGACCAUGUAUUUGACACAUAUCAGCUUGCAAAUUAUUCACAUUAUCCUCUACCUUACUCACUCAAAUGGUAGAGGAGGGUUGCCAUGAAAGGUUGACUUCCUCUUGGCCUCUUGCGGUGACCUAUAAGGUAGUUGAGGUUGUUAUUGAGGAUUACGUCAAGGGGCAUUAAAGUUUUGGACUCUUUGAUUGGAGGGACCACCUUAGUUCCCUCUCCACCUAAAGUUGGGAUGGUCACAUCAUCCUGGGUUGUGUCUACCCAAUAUGUACCUUCACAUUCAUUACCUACAUGAGAAGUGGUUAAAAAAGGCGAAUUUGGAGCUUGCAUUCUUUCCAAACUCAUCUCAAGUGAUUAAAAACGGUAGAUUUGUUGGUACUUAUCCUCACUACCGGCCGCAUUUACGGUUGAUUGCUUGGCUCGAUAUAUGAACUGCUCAGCAGACCACAUAUACAAAUUCAUUGCCAUAUCUUCGAUAAGUUAGCAAGUUUCCGCGUAUGUCUUUGACCUAAACGCACUAACAGAUGCUCCAUAAAGACUUGAACACAAGUUCCCAUCUAACCCAUUAUAAAAGACUUAAAGUUGUAACCAAUCUUGUAGGCCGUGGUACGGGCACUUAUGGAGCAUGAAUUUGAAGCACUCCCAUGCCUCAUAGAGUAACUUACUUUCUAGUUUCUAAAAAUUCGUUAUGUCCAUAAGAAGCUUCAUUAUUUUACUCAGAGGGAAGUACUUAGCAAGAAACUUUCUAGCCAACUCGUCACACAUAUUGGUUGAAUCAAUCGACUGUGAAUCUGGCCACAUAAAAAUAUCAUCAGUAAGAGAAAAAGGAAAUAACCGAAGAUGUAUAGCGUUAUCAGAUACCCCUAUUGUAUUUGAAUGUAUUGUAAAUGGUUAAGAAUCUCUUGAGAUACUAGUUAGGAUCCUCGUUCAUCGAUCUCAUAAAUUGGUGAUUAGCUUGAAUCAUUGCAAGCUUGAUCUUGAAGUGAUUCGCAUUAAUCACAAGGUGAUUAAUGCUUCCUCGGACAGCCUCCAAGUUGGGUAUAGCAUAGUCAUGUAAGGUUCUUUUUUCUAUCAGUGGUGGUUGUGGACAACAAGAUUACCUCUCGAUCUCAGUUGCCUAAAUAUUCCCUUAAGGGUGUCAAUACUAGGUUUUUAGGUUUAUUCAAUUUAGUCCAAUUUUUUUGCAACUUAGUCCCUCAUCAAAAAAUCAACUUACCCAAAUCUCUAUCAACCAAUCCCCUGAAGGUUUAGUUAUCCAUACUAAAAACUAAACUAAUAAACAUGCAAGCAAAAGAAAUGACAACCAUUAACAUAAAGCUUGAGAAAAAGAUGACAACUUGGAUUUUUAAUCUACAGAACUUAAAAGAAAACUAUAGAUGAACAUUAAAUAGUAAAAUGUAGUACAAGAAACAUAAAAGUUGAAGUCUUUAACAAAUUAAACUAAAAAAAAACUUAAAUAUAUUAAACUAAAGGCUGAAAUGUCAUUACAAGCAAAGAAAAAGGACUAAAAGUGCAAAUAAACCAUAGCUAUAGCAAUAACUAACUUAACUAAUAUAAAGAAUAACAAGAACAAGAAGAAAAGUUGUAGAAAAAUGACUCUACAGUUAAGGAAGAUGAAAAUUAAUAAACCCUAAAAAGUGGAUAAGAAAACCUAAAAGAACUAAAGAGAAAAACUAAGCUAAACUAAAGCUAAUAUGUGUAUAUCUCUCCUUAGUUUUAACAGUAAUUUCUGACCCCUAUCUUGUCACAUCCCAAAAACCAGGUUAGUAAAAAUUGGGUUAAGGAACCGAGAGUGGUCCAGCUCAAAUUUUUUUUAGUGAUUGAGUAGUGGUGGAGUUGUCCUUAAUGAUCAAUGUUUGAAUCCCUUCCCUCUCAUUAUUUUCUGUGGUGAAAUUUUGCUUCUAACCUUAGUAAAGGUCACAUGCCAUGUUUUAAUUAUUUUCUAUUAAGUUAAGAACAAGGAUUAAAUAUGGCCUAGUGGUUAAGAGCUUUAAAAGUUUCCUAAAAGUCCUAGGUUCAAGUCUCCUCAGUACCACCUUUUUAAUUAAUUUUGUGAAUUUUCCAUAUGCUUAAUUACCAUUUCUGUCCAACCUUUCUUACCAUACUUAGGGGAGAUUCUUUCCUUUCUUUUUAGUCAACAUACCAUACUUAUGAUAACAUGAUCCCCUUUUUACUCCAUUUUCCCCCUAACUUGCCAUUCUCUUCACCAUUACCAUGAGCGUGAUACAUUGAACCUAGACUAGUUGUGAACCUCCAUUAUCAUCCAUCUUUUGAUCCCCCUAAUUCUAAUUACCGCACCUCCCUUAGUUCUUCCACUUUUUUUUCUCUCUUUUGUUUAGUUAUCAACUACCAUUUCUCUCUAAUUUCUCCUCUCUUCCACCACUUCUUGGCUUAAAAAACUUCUACCAUUCACUAAGCCACCACCUUUCCACCACUCAUCUUCUUUUUUUUUCUUUAUUGUUGCCCAUAGCGCCACUCUCCACCACCGUGAAAACCACUGUACACCACUUCUCUUCUUUUCUUUUUCUCUUCUUUUUCUUUCUCCUUCUUUUAGUAAGAGACUGAAUCCUUCUCUUUUCUUUCUCCUUCGUCGUAGCUCCAUCGUCGAACUUCCAUCAUUAUCGUCCUUGCUGCCACCAUCGUCCCUAUUGCACCACCGCCAGUGGUUGAUUUUUACUUCCUCUUUCUAUCAUUUUUUCCAUCCCUUAUUAGUGAUCCAAAAAUUCUACACUGUUUAUUUUAUUUAGUUCUUAAUCCUAAAUAUAUUUAUCUUGGACUUACUUUCAAAACGAUUAUUCUACCUAGAUUUUUCAACUUCUUCGAUUUGAAACCAAGAUGACCUAUCAAUCCUAUCGUUCCAACUAAGAUAGUGUAAGUGCAAGGGAUGUUUAUAAACCCCUUUCUCCUCACUAUUUUCUCUCUUGACCGGAUGUUCAUAGGGACAAGGUGAAUUAUUCUCUCAUGUAUUAACAUUUAGUUAUAACGUAUUUUUGAAGGAUUGAUCGAUAUCAACCCAGAAAAUCAUUAAACUUGGGAAAGAAAUCACGAUUCUCAACAUUCAGUAGGGUAAGUGUCAUUAGGGAGAUCCAUUUAAUUAACUUGUCUCUUACAAUGUUCAUAACAACAUUAACGAGAGAUCAAAAUUCGUGUGAUUAUGUAAUCCAUUUGUUAGAUUCAUGUGUAGGCAUCCUUAGAGAGUUGAGACACAUCGGAUCUACAAUCAAGUGUGGGUUUUAACAUUAAAAAAAUAAAUCUAUGUUUUAUAUUGAUUAAAAAUCAUUAUUAUUUAAAUUGUGUUUGAUGAAGAUACUUUAAGUAUCCAUUAAGAGGGAUAAAACCCAUCAACAUUGACUAUGUCAAGUAAAUGAUUCCAAACUGUAUAUGUUGUGAAAAGCACGUUGUGUGAUCUUGAUGAUUAUUAUUGAUAUGAAAUGUAUGAAAAACUCAUUAUCAUGUUAUGUGAUCUUAUGACAUGUGAUUUUCGCAUGAUUUAUAAAAUGAGAAAUAUUGAUAUAAAGUGUAUAUAUGUGAUUUGCAUGUUAAGCAUACCUACGUUAUUUUAAGUGAAAAGUGAUAUAAUGAGCAUGUCUCACAUGCCAAAGUGAAAACUAAUUUUGUGGUCAUAUCACAUGCAUGGGGUGAGAUAUGUGAAAGGUGGAAGAACGUGACAGUUUAUCUACAAAAGUGGUAGCUUGUCCUCAAUUAUAUUAUAUGGCAGUUUAUCUACAUUACUAUGACACUAUUUACAACUUGGUGUGUUAUCGGUUGGACAAGUUCUAGGGAACUCGAUUGUGGUAUGUAGCGAAGAUUGGUAGGACCAUUUUCAUAAAACUUGCAUCAUUUUACGAAAUGUUCAUUGACAUGAUCAUGCAUAGUAUAAAUGUGAAAUAUUGAGUUAUAUGAAACUAAUAUGGUUAUUAUGAUUGUAUAAUGUAAACGUUUAUAUGUAUGUGAUUGUGUUUAUGUUAAUCUCACACUGGGCUUAAAAAGCUCACCCCAUUAGUGUUAUAAUCUUUCAGGUAAGACUCAGACAUAGGACUUGGAUUCAGCAUUCGGUGGAGUCUCUCGGAUUUUUUUACCUUAUGAACAUUUUUUAUGAAUUUUAAAAACUAUUUGGAUUUUGGUUUGUGGACUUUGGACUUUGGUGACAUUUCUUUUUAUUUUUGGGUUUGGUAUUUUUAUAAACUUUAGAACUGUCAUACAUGCAUGCAAAUUUUAUGAGAUUUCAAGUAUUUUAAAUUAUGGAAUUUAUUUAAACUAUUUACGAUUUUACUUGGUUUUCAAUAAAAUUAUAACUCGUAAUUUUCUAAGUAGUUUUAUAAGUCCAUUGGUAAAAUGAUUUACCCAAAAACAUUUUUAUAAAUAAUUAAAGUGCAAAUUCUUUAUUUUCAAAUAACUUAAAAUGACAUUACAAUAUAAUGUCGCCCUUUCCUUUUAAAUGAUUAUAUUUUUAAGUAUUUCUCAAAGAAACAAAAUCAAUAAAUAUUCAAAUUCUUUUAGUUUUCACAGAACAACUCAAACCUAGUUAUUUUCAAUAAGUAAAUAAUUUCAAGUGCUGUUAAUGUAACUUCCAAAAUUCAGUCAUAACGUCUAAGCUAGGUUUGGAGUGUUACAUAUUUUUUGACCAAAAGGCCCUUAAAUAGGCCUUCUCUGAUUGGUGCUUCGGUUGGACAAAUAUUACCCCUGGAAUUAUUUUUUUCUCUUCACGAUGUGGAUAUCGUGAUACCUAGGGUAGGAUAUCUCGAUACCGUGAUUAGUAUUGAAAUGGGGUCCCUCUUGGAAGGUGGAUAUCGUGAUACCUAAGGUGGAUUUCGCGAUACCACUAUAGGUGGUCUUCAUCUCGGUCCUGUUUGGGGUAUUGUGAUUCCUAUGAUUUGAUAUUUUGAUACCCUUUUCUUUGGUGAUGUUUUUGUACAAUUUUGGGCCAAGCGUCGAGUACCUACAACACUCCAUUAGACGUUAGGGCCACCAAUGACACAAUUGGCCAAUUUGAGUUUCAAAAUGAUUAAAAAGAGGUAUUUGCACUUAUUAAAUUGGAAAUCUAAAAUAUACACUAAGCUAUGGAAAAGACAUUAAUUUGCCCAAAAACAAGCUCCUUAAGUAUAACGGGGAAGCCUAAUUUAACAUAUCAAAUUAUGACAGAUCAUUACACACAAAGAACCUCCUGUAUCUUUUUUUCAAAGAUCUAGUCAUAUCCAACACUCAAAGUCUCCUAAUCUCUAAUUAGCAACCACCACUAUUUGGAUCAUACCAUCUCAUCUAGUCAUCCAUAACUCCAAGUAACAUCCUAUCAAGAUAAGGGUAUAACACUAGAAUUUAUGCACAAAACCUUUAUGUCUCAUUUGGCCUAUAAAAAGGGUUCCCCUUCCCUAUUCCAUAUAUGAUAUACAUGACAACAUGAACUUCCUUUUUCACAUUUUCCAUUCUUUUUUGCAAGAAAAUCUCCUUCGACGACUUUUGACACCUAAAAACGUGAUGUGAACUACCUUCAACCACCAACUCGAAACCACAUAUCAAUAUGUAUAUAUCCAUGCUAUGAUUUAAGUGUAUGAUUAAGUUAGUGUCACGAGUCAACUCGGCACUAACUCAAUAAAGGAAAUUAAUAAAAUAACCUUACAUGUUUUAAAUAAGUUAUAUUAUUACAAGGGUAUUUUAUCUUCUUCUUUUUUUAAACUAAACCAUAAAAAGUUACUAAUGUUGAGGUUUGAACCUGUGCCCCUAAAAUCUAUAAAAUCUUUUCAUUUUUAGUAAAUAAUAAAUAGCUCUAAGCGAUUAUAAUAAAAUCAUAAAUCAAAACUCAAAUUAUCUUUUUGAAUCAACCCCUAUAUAGCUUGAGGAGGGAUGGAGAACACCUAGAUACUUGUGAAGCUUGGAGCAGCAUGUUUAGCCAUAAAGUCUGCAACUUCAUUGUGAGCUUUGGGAAUGUGACGAAUCUGAACUUUUCAAUUUCUAUAAAAUAUUAUACAUUAUUAUACAUUUUAAUGUUAUUAUACAAAUUGUUUUUUUUAAUUUAUCUAUACUAUUAUUUGUAUGAUUGAGUUGAUCUUAUGAGUCAACUUGACACCAACUCAAUCAAUGAAAUUACUAAAAUAAUCUUACAUAUUUUAAAGAAGUUAUAUUAUCACGAUAGUAUUUUUGUCUCUUUUUUUUUAAUCAAUAAAAAAUUUACAAAAGUUAAGAUUUGAACUUAUACCACUAAUAUUUAAAAAAAAUUACCACUUUAACCAAAGAUUUAUUUUGAUAUUUUUAUGCAUUAUCAUGAUAAACAAUCAAAAUGUAAUUAAUAUUAUUAAUCUAAUGUGGUUACCUAUUUAAAUUUUAUUUUACAAAAAAUUUAAAAUAAUUUUUUAUUUUAAUUUUAUACAUAUUGCAUAUGUAUUAUUAUUAUUUUCAAAUAAUACAUUUUAUUAUGUAUUGUAUGAUAUUUUGAAAUGUAAAGGAAUAUUCUAAAUAUGCAUGUACAUGUGUUAGAAAAUAACAAAUCCUCCACCUUUAAAUUAAAUUUAAGUUUGCAAACUUUAAUGUUCAGAUUCGUUGAAUUUUCAAAUUUUGGGUAUUAUUCAUCAUGGGGAACACUUUACUCUUAGGAAAAAAGCUACAAUCAUGCCUCUACUUACUGUUUUCAUGCUAUAUUUUUGUUCCAAAAUUUCUUCGUACAGUGUGUUACGUAAUCAAGUUUAAAUUUUGAGGUCAUUCACUAGAUCUAAUUCGAUAAGCAUUCAUGCUAUUGUUAAUAUAAAAUAAAAAUAUCUUUUUAUUUAAAAGUUGAAAAGUUAUUGAUAGAGUCUUAAUUUAGUGUUAUCAAUAUAAGAUGACAUAUAUUCGAAUGUAUUGAAAUAUAUUAUCUUCUUAUUUAUAGAUAUAAUUUUAGAUAUUCUUAUGUCAAAAAAAUAAAUAUAAUUAAAACGUAAAAUGAAAUUAUUAAAAAAAUUUAAAAGUUAAACUAGAUAUGGAAGAAAAAUACUGAGGCUGAAAGACAACCACGUUUCCUGAAAUUUAUGUCCAUGCAAUCUAAGUUGAAGGACCCAAACAUUAAAAUCACAGCUGAUAUCCUCCACAAAUUUAAUGGGACAGUUUUUCCUUUUUCAUAUCUUAAAAAACGUUUUAAACUAAAACAAAUUAAAAAAUGUGGAACUUAAAAUUUAGAUUUUUUUUUCCCUUUUUCCUGGUAGAUAUUACUAUGUAUAGAUAUAGAGAGAAAUGAUAUGUUUGUAUUAAUGAAGAACUAAAUUAAUUGUAUAUACCAAUUAUAUUUGUUAAUUAAUAUAUCAUACUCUACUUAAUUAUAUAGAUUGUACAACGUUAAAGUUUUAGUGAAUUAAAAAUCUAUAUAUAACUUUUGAUUGUUAGAUAUAUAUUAAAAAAUCAUUUAUCAAUCCAUGUGACAAAAAUAUUAAAUUUAAUUGCAAUUUUGUAUGUGUCAUAACAACAAUUAUAUUGUUAAAUUUUAUUAUUAUUUUGGGUCAUGGGCAAGGUCAAUUUGAUUUAGGAAAUUUUUUCUUAUAUAUAUAUUUUUUUUAUAAAAGUUGUGGUAAUUAGUAAAUAUUUGGAAUUGUCAUAGUAAACAUUGCAACUGUUUGUGGUGAUACUAGUGUUUAACAAGGAGGACUUGGUCGCGGUAGGGGUUUACAAUAAUUCACCCUUAUAGGGCGGAGUCAUAAAUGGAGGAGAUGAGGGAGAUUAGUAAUGGAGAGCUUCCAUAUGGGAAACGAGGAAAGGAGAUGCCCAUUGCUAAAAUGUAGAAUAGAGAAAGAACUAGAGGUGUCCAUAUGCCGAGUCAGGCCAGGCCCAAUCAAAAUUUUAGGCCCGUUUGCUAAGCUCGGGCCUAGCCCAAAAAUGGGUUUAAAAUUUUAUUUAAACCCGACCUGGAUAAAAAUGUUAAAACCUAGAUCCGACCUGACCAUAUCAAUUUUUUAUAUAAAUUUUUUAAAAUAUAUAUAAUAUAUCAAAAAUACUAAAAGUAUUAAAAUAAUUAUUUCCUAACAAAUUAAAAAUAAAUUAAAAACAAUAUUUAUACUUAAAUAACACUAAGAUAGGUGCAACUUAACAAGCAAAUGCCUCUAAAAUAGUAACAAAAUUAACAAUAAAAUAAGAGUUAUAUAAUAUUCAAACAAUAACAAUAAAAUAAUAACAACAUAAUAGUGAAAUAGUAGUAAAAUAUUAAUAAAAAAACCAGGAAAAUACGAAGAAAAUAAUAAAAAAAUAGCAAGAAAGCAAUAAAAAAUAGCAGUUUUUUUUUCAUAUUCGGUCUAGGCCAAAAAAGCCUAGGUUUAUUUAAAUUUUGGGAGAGAGAAAGUAAAAUGAUUUGAGGGGUAGGAAGAAGGUAAGUAAAAAAAAUUUAUAUUUGAUUUAUUUAAAUUAUUUAAAUUAUUUGAAUUUAAAAAUUUAAUUUAGUUUAAAAAAAUUAAUUAAUUCAAUUUGAAUAAUUCGAAUUUUUUUACUGAGUGACACUGCUUUAAGCCAGGCUAAUGUUUUUAACGGAAAAUACAUGGUGAUGGUGUAAUUCUUAGGAAUAUUAGUAAACAUAUUUUGAUGGGUACCGACUACGGACAAAGUGAGGUCGUUGCUAAUAGGAUUGUUGGCUUGUAGCUGAGCUGGAUGCAGUGGCAAUCAGUAAAGGAUCUUCCUUCACUAACUUUGGAAUGAUUUACUUACAUGUGAAAAAAAAAAAAAACACCGUGUUCGAAAUUAAAUAAAUGCAAUGAACGUGUUAAAACAAGAGAGGGGAAUGCAUGAAAAUGUGCUAAAAUUAAGGAGCCGCUGAGACAAACAUCAUCUAUAAAUAGGGGCUCACGCAACGUCUCUUGAUCACCAUAACAAGCUUCGAGAGAUCGUAAUUACAGAGAGAUAAAAGACUUAUCGAGAUGGAAGUAGUUCAAGUUCUUCAUAUGAAUGGCGGAGUUGGAGAAACCAGUUAUGCAAAGAACUCUUUACUUCAGGUAUGUAUGUAUGUAUGUAUGUAUGUAUGUAUGUAUGUAUGUAUGUAUGUAUGUAUGCUGUGAUUUUUUAACCUGAAAUAUCUUGGACAGCAAAAGGUGAUAACCAUGACAAAGCCAAUCACAGAGGACGCAAUAACUAAGCUUUAUUGCAGCAAAUAUCCGGAUGAAAUAGCCAUCGCAGAUUUGGGUUGUUCUUCGGGACCCAACACUUUCUUUUUGGUAUCUGAACUUCUCAAAGUGGUGGAUAGUGUUCGCCAAAAGAUAGGCCAGAAAUCCCCCGAGUAUCAAGUGUUUCUGAAUGAUCUUCCUGGGAAUGAUUUCAACACCAUUUUCAGGUCCUUGUCCGACUUCCAAAACAAACUGAGGAAGCAACUUGGACCCGGCAACGGACCAUGUUUUUUCACGGGAGUACCUGGUUCUUUCUACGGAAGGCUUUUCAGGAAAAACAGCCUUCAUUUCGUACACUCUUCCUAUAGUCUUCACUGGCUAUCCCAGGUUUAGUUUAUAUAUUAAUGUUGUAUUGUGUAUAUAUCAUUAAUCAUUUUAGAAUCGAAAAGAGCCUUUAAUUUAUGAGUGAACUAUUUUGAUUUGAUCCAGGUUCCUCAAGGGCUGGAAAGUAAUAAACGGAACAUUUACAUGGCUAGCACAAGUCCACCAGACGUGCUUAAGGCAUAUUAUGUGCAAUUCCAAAAGAAUUUUUCCUUGUUUUUGAAGUGUAGAUCAGAGGAACUGGUGGAUGGAGGGCGUAUGGUUUUGACACUUAUAGGGAGAAGAAGUGAUGAUCCUUCAAGCAAAGAGUGUUGUUACUUUUGGGAGCUUUUGGCCAUUGCACUUAGUGAUAUGCUCGUUGAGGUAUAGAAUUAAUAAUUGGUGAAAUGACUUUGUUCGCCCUCUAACUUUUCAAAAAAAAAAAUCAUUUUAACUCUCCAUUUAAUUUUUCAUCUCUUUUAAACUUUAAACUUGCAUUUUUUUGUCAAAUCACCUCAAAAUAGUUGAAAAAAGUUAACGCUUGUUAACUUUGAUUACGUGACAUACAUGUGGAUUGCCAUGUAAAUGACAUGUCAUAAUUUAAUUACAUUUUUAAAAAUUUAAAAAUAAUUUUUAUAUAUUUUUAAUGAUUUUUAAGUAUAAAAAUAAUUUUUAUUGAAUUUUUAAAAUUUUAAAAACAUUAAUUGAAUGAUGAUGUGUCAUUCACGUGGUAAUCAAUGUGUAUGCCACGUCAAUAAAGUUAAAAAAAUGUUAAAUUUUCUAUUUAUUUUGAAGUAAUUUGACAAAAACACAAGUUUAAAGCUAAAAAAAUGAAAAAUUAAAUAAAAAACUAAAAUAACUUUUCUUUAAAAUUAGAGGAUGAAAUAAAUUAUUAUCCCUUAAUAUUUCUCCUCAAGUAAUUCAUGAUACAAUCACGAGUAUUUGAAACAUAUCACGUGCGCAAAUACUUAAUUUUGGCUUAUGUCAUUUUCAGCACUUAAAAUCUAGUACUGACGCGCCCAUAAAAUUGAAAUCUAUUUUAGCUUACACUUUCUAUUUAUUAUCGGAUUCAUCACCGGUCAUUGUUCAACAAUCUACAGAAUACUUUGUUAACGUUUAGUUUGCUGCAAAUAUAAAGUUGAUUACUAGUAAUUAAUUAAAUCAGAAGAAACCAUAAAGAAAUCAUGGUUAAAUGCAGGGACUGAUAGAAGAAGAGAAACUGAACUCCUUUAACAUCCCUAUGUACACACCAUCUCCGGCAGAGGUUAAAUAUGAGGUUGUAAAGGAAGGGUCAUUCAACAUCGAUCGAUUGGAAGUAACUGAAGUGAACUGGAAUGCUUAUCAGGAUGAAACUGACUUAUCUGAUGCAUUCAAAGAUGGUGGGUACAACGUCGCCAAGUGCAUAAGAGCUGUGGCUGAGCCACUGCUUGCCAGCCACUUUGGUGAAGGAAUCCUCGAUGAAGUUUUCCGUAGGUACAGAGAGAUUAUUUCUGAUCGCGUGUCCAAGGAGAAGAAUGAGUUUGUGAAUGUCACUGUUUCUCUUAUAAAAGCUUGAUCAUUAUCGUCAUCAUGAUCUUCCUUUAUUUUAUUAUUAGAUAAAUAAUCACUGGUUAUCUAUGCUAGAAAUGAACUGUUCGAAGCAAACCGCAGUAUCCAGUCAAGAGUAAUCUCUUGCAAGCAUAUUGUUUUUAAUUAUAGCUCUCUCGCAUGUAAUUUGAUUAAAUCGAAACAACAAUUUUAAAUAUUUUUGUCUCUUUGGAUCAAACUCUACUCCUUAGACUGAUAUUUAUUUACUGCUUAGGUGUAUAAAUAUUUUUUGAUGAAUUCAACACCCAUCAAGCAAUAAAGACCUAAAAUAUAUGAAUUAUGAGUAAUUAUUAUACCCCACACUUAAACAUUUUGUUUGCCCUCAAACAAAACAAACAUUAAUGCACAUACAAACUAAAGAAAUAUUCAACUUGAAUUAAUAGUCGAAAAUAUUGUCACACACCAAUGAGACACGCAAACGUGUUUUCAAGGACACUGACAAAAUUCUAUAUGCUAAGCAAAACAAGUAUCAACAACAAUUCACACAAUUAGGAAGAAUUAGAUACAGUACAUCUCUAUGCUCGUAUGCAAUCAUCCUCCUUAACAAUGUGUUGUGUAUAAGAAGUACUAGAAUAAUCAAGAAACAUAACUAAAUUUUACCAUGAUUUUAAGGUCACUUGGUGUUUAAGGUUUAGGGUCAAAUAUAACAAUAAGGAAAGAUUAGGCUCACGCCCAAAGCACGCAGCUACCUUUGGAUUCGAUUAAGGAUAAAAUAUUAAAUUUCUUUUUCCAAACAACUUAAUCCUCCAAUACCCUUAAACAAGCAUAAGAUAGAACUCAAGUUCAAAAUAUUUAACAAUAUAAACAAUUAAGCAUUUAUUCAUCAUUAAUUUUUUUUGGCACAGUGUAGAUGAUAACCUAAGCACUUAUCCUAAAUUACUUGAUUAAUCACACAUAAAUAGCCUUUGGUUUUAUUCAUAACUAGAUUAGUAAAACAUACUAGGAAACACCAAACUUUUUGAUGCAAAAACAAAAAGGCAGCUAACUAUCUACCCCAGUUACUUAUUCAGACCACUAGUUCUUUCGAAGCUCAUGAUAUAACUAGUGGAGUAAUCAUACUUAAGUUUUAUUACCAAUUUAAUAUUCAUUUAAGCCCAAACAUCAAUCCUGUAAUUCAAUACGUUAAGUUCAAAAAUAAAUCCAUAAGCACUAAAUGCUUAAGCAUCAAAAUAAGGAUAAAACUUUUACGGGUAAAGGCUAAAAUAUAGGCGAUUACGAACACGAGUUAAGUCAAAGAAAAAAAAAGAUAAAUUAGCUCAAUAAACAGGCUCAACAGUUCAAACAAUCCAAAAAAAUUGUCUAGUUUAUUCUUUAUAAGCUUGUUUCAAAUAAGAUCAUUCUGUCAAAAUUUCUAAAAUUGAUUAUACAAAAUACACUAUUAGGGACGGCAAUGUGAAUUACAAAAUAUUUAUCAAUGAAACCAUAUAAAGAAUCCAUGGCUCUAACAAACAACCUAAUGGAGUAUAUCAAUAAUGUAUAACUAUAUAAAGUCAACAUGUAGGUUUCAGAAGCAUUCACUACAAUAUACGAUCUUAGAAGUAUAUAAAAAUAUGUCAAUCUCUCAUCAAGUUAAAAUUUCAUGCAAACUACUAUACAUCAAGAAAAAGUUGAAAAAAGAUGCAACCAAAUUAUGCUAAAAUAAAAAAAAACAAAAAAAAAACCUAAAAGCAUGCAAAUAAUUAAACUAUCCCUCUACACAUAAACUGAAUAUUGUCCCCGAUGUUUCAAAAGUAGAGAAGAGUUUAGGUCAUUUCCUUGUUUAGGCUCCCAUAAAGUAGAGUUAAAGUCAACCUAUCUUUUUACGCCCUUUUAGCAAUUAAAAUGUAUUUGCUCCAAGUGAGGAGUACUUACAACAGAAGGAAAAGUGAAAACAACAUUAAAUAAAAAGAAAAUAAUAAAGAAAAGAAAAGAAAAUACAAAAGCAAAACAAAACUAAAGAAAAAUAUCCUAGAAUUAAGCAACAGAAAUCACUCAUUGGUGUUGAGGUGCAAUGGUCGGCUUUAGGGCAGCACGUAUUGUGUGUUGGAUGCUUGGUGCACGAGGUGCUUCAGGGCUUCAAGGUGUGAUUGAUGAUGUCACAGUUUGCGCCACUAUGCAUGUAACAAGUCGAUUUUUAGUGCUGCUAAAAAAGGCAAUUUCAAAACUCUAUUUUUGUAAGUUGGGUUCGUAAAUAUUAAAUAUAAAUAUUUACAGAGUUGGUAUAAAAUUUUAUUAGAGUUUGGUGUUUCAAUUUUGUCUUUUAAUUGCUUAAUUAAGGUACGGGAACUAAAUUGUAAAAGUUUAUUGUCAUAGAUUUUUAAAUAGCUAAAGGUUCAAAUUGGUAAAUAAACCAUUUUGUUUUGAAGGAUGAUGUUAACAUCCAUUAAUUUUAAGUAAUUAUUAUUAAGUUUAAUUAAUUUUGAUUAAUUUAAGUUAAUUAGGUGAUUAAAGAAAAAAUUGAGGUAUAAAAGACUUGUGAAAGUGGAAUUUGUCAUCUUUUUCUUUCUUCUUCACCGAACAAGCAUGGAGAAAAACCUAAGGAAGCCAUUUUUAGUUUAAAGCUUUCAAUCCUCAAAUAUUGAUGAGUACAAUUAAGUCAUUUUCUUGAAUUUUUUAUGUUUUUGAGGCUAUGAGAACUUGAUUUAGCUAGCACAUAUAUCAAUUUGUAAAACUAUUAAAGUUUUUUAAAGUUUCUAUUAUUGAUUUCUUGAAGAAAUUUGUGCUAAAUUGAUAUAUUUUAAGCUUAGAUGUGAAAAAUGACUAGACUGUAAAGUUUAAUUAUUAGUUUUGCUCAUAAGGACUAAAGUGAAUAAAAUGUAAAUUGAAGUGAAAUUUUGAUAAUAAUUGAUAUUAGAGGGUCUAUAAUAAAUGUAAUUGAAAUUUGUUUUAAAACCAAAGCUCAAAAUUUAAAACCAGAGCUCAAAACUUUAAGGGCAUCGAAAAAUGAAGUUUCAUAGGUUCAUUCAUAUCAUGAUACAAUGUAUAAAUAUUUGGUAUUGAUGAAUUGUCUACAAUAACUGCUUAGAUCAAGAAUUGGAUCAAAUCGGAGAUAAUAGAGGAAAAGCCAAAAUUGUCAAUUAGUCCUUGAAGAUUCAACUAGUUUGUUGUUUUUUCUACAGGUAAGUUCAUAUGGUAUAAAUGUAUUUAGGUUUUUAUGUAUUUGAUUUGUCUAUAUACGUUUGAUUUUGGGUUGAUUGGUGGUAAAUUAGUAUGAAAGGUGAGAGUUGGACUAUAUUGUAAAGAAAUGUUUAAUGUGUUAAAAAGUGCUCAAUUAAAUUGUAAAGAAAUGUUUAUAUGUGUUAAAAAGUGCUUGGGUGAACUUAGUAAAGGUUAGGAUACGAUCAACAUGUCAAUAGAGUUUUUUGUGCGCUUGUACGGGAUUGGUUACAGAUAUUACUGAGACCUAACAUUUGUUGCCGACUUAAUGAUACAUGUGACACAAGUUUAGCUUAAACUGGUAACCUGACAUGUAUGUAUAUUCAGCUUGGACAAGCAAUCAGCUGUGUCAUUAUACAGGUUUAGCCUAGAGUGGUAACUUGACAUGAAUACAUAUUCAACUUGGAUCAGCAAUCGGUGUAAUGUAGUUACAUGUGUAUCUAAGUCCAUUUACUUGAGUUCAUCAGGUUAAGUAGUUAAUGUAAAAUGAAAAAUUGAAAUGGCAUGAUAUGAGUUUGAUGUUCAAAUGGAUAAAUGUUGAAUUGAGCAUGAGCAUGAUAUUGAGAUGUUGACUUUAAAAUAAAUUGGAUUGAUAUAUGGUUGAGAUGUCAUUUGGUUUGAUUAUAUAUUAAGCUCAUUUUUUUUAUGUUGUGUUUUGCUAUGACUAGCCAACUAUGUUAAAGUAUGGUAGCAUAUUGUAUUUGAUUGUAAGAUAAGGUAAGUCUUGUUUAAUGCCUAUGAACUUACUAAGCAUUUUAUAUGCUUACCUCGUUUGUUUUUAUUUUCCUUGUAGAUCGCUAUCUUGCAGGACGUGUCAAGCCAGUUGACUUGAAGCUCACACUAUCCUAUCAUCAAAUUGGUAGACGUUUAAUCAUUUUGAACCUAGGGUUGUGGCAUGUAUAUGGUUUCUUUAUGUAUAUAAGUCUUUAUGAAUUGAAUAUGGUAUUGAACUUGGUUUAUGUGAUUUAAAUGUUGGUUUUGUAUUUGGUUUAAAAAGGCAUGAUUUGGCAUUUGUGAUGCCUAGUUGAAUAUGUAUACUUUGACUUAUAUGCUUGAGAUAUGUAUGGAAAAUGAAAUUUCGUGUUUUAAAGUGGAUUGUUAUAGGUAAAGUUGGUAUGGAAUGACUUAGUGAUUGAAAUGAAAAUGUAGUUGAACAUAAGUAAAUUGAAGUAUGCUUGAGAAAUGUAGUUUAAUUUGGAUAGUUAUUGGUUAUGCUUAAUGUUAUUAUGUCAUAUAUUUGUCUAUGUGUUUAUAAUGAAAGGAAAUGACAUGUUCCAAGAUGUUUUGGCAUAAGUAAGAUUAGUAAUUAAAUGAUUUAGUAGGUAUGCCUUAAUGAUAUUGUAAUGCUUAAGAUUUGUUGAUGUUAAAAUAAUGAAUACUUUGAUGUAAAGUUGAAUAUGAGUAUUGAGCUUGUUUGGUAAUAAGGUUAAUGCUUGAUUCAUAUUUUUGAAUGAUUGUUUAAAGCAAUUGAAAUAGGUACCAAAUUUGGAGUGAAAGAAGAGAAAUGCAUAAAUGUGCUAAAGCGAUAAAAUCUAUUUUAAGAUUAAGAAAUUCUUUUGCUUGCUUAAUGCACCUAAACUUGUUGGCUUUUAUAUUUGCUAAUAUUAAACCAUGUCCUAAUCACUUGGAAGAUAAAUGGAAGGUGAGAGAAAGAGAGAUAAUAAGGUGAACUUAUUGAUAAAUUGGGAAAGAAAAGGUAACAAUGUCAUGUGCUUCACUAUUUAUAAUACUUGAAACCAAUUUGAGUUAACUUUUCUUUUGAAUCCAAACUAUCCUAAGCCUCUGAACAUUACAAGCAUUGAAGACCAAUGUGACUUAAACAUUUCCUUUAUAUGAAUUUCCUAAAUUGUUCAUGCUUGAAUUGAUGGAUGCUUGUGAUUCACACUUGAGUGUCCAUAAUGCAUCUUGCUUAUUCAUCUUGAUGGAUUGACACAAUUUAACACACAUUCACUUGAAUUGGCUUUUUGUUUAUUAACUCUGAAACCUAGUGAACUAAGGCGAAUUUACUUUAAAGUACUUGAAUUAACUAGUCAUCAAUCUUGAUUUGGAUAUAAUAUAUGUCUUUUACAUGUUCAAUGUUUAAUUAUCAUAUUUUCUAAUGUUCAAUGUAGCUUGAGGGUCGUUAUUUCUUGUGUGUUUUGUGUGUUUUUUUCUUAUAGACAAUCAAAUACUUAAGUGUGGGGGAGUUUGAUACGGUGAAUUAAGCCAUUUUCACACUUAAGAAGCUUGAUUUCACGUAGCAUUUAGAGUUAUUUUUAUUAGUUUUUGCAUUAGUGUUUGGAUUUAGUUUAAAUGUUUUUUAUUAAUUUUUUAUUAUAUUUUGAAUAAAUACUUUAAUUUCCCUCAUAAAUGGACUUAAAUAUAUGAAAAAGGGGAUUGUAGGGCUCAAUGAAGGGAUGCAAAUGAAAAAAAAAACAAGGCAAAGAUCCUUUUAUCUUUAGUACUUUAAUUUCCCUCAUAAAUGGACUUAAAUAUAUGACCACAGGUUGCCUUGUCGCAACCAUGACCUUGUUGACUUGCCAAGAAGUUCCCUCGACCAAGCCCUUAUCUUAACCGCGACCUUGCUAACUUUCUAAGAGGUUUCUUCAACCAAGUCAUUAUCGCAACCAUAGCAAUGUUAGGUGUGGGUCCCACUAUGUGGGAAACCCAUAAUUUCUGCCACAUUUUAUUGUCUCUUUUUGGUUUUGUCAAAAGCCAUUUUUGGGGGGCUUUUAACAGGUGAUGUGAGCAAAAAUUUUUGCAGAGCAAAAAUAAAAAAAAAAUCUCAAAUUAAAACAGAGAGAAAGAGAGAAGAAAAUUUCAGUUUUUCAAGUUUGGUGUAGUAGUGAUCAACUCUUCGAUCGAAGGUUCAUCCGUGGUUCGAUUGAGCUGAUUUUUUGACAGCAGCUAGGCGAUAAGGUGUUCUUGACUUUGUACGGUCGGAUUUUUCAUCCGAGUCUUGUAGCAUCGAAAAUACCCAUUUUUAGCAGCUGCGUUUUUUGUGAUAUUCUCUCAUUUUUCUCUCUUUUGCUAAAGAUUAUAUAUUCUUAGCCUUGUUGGAGUUGAAUGCUUGUUGUAGGCUUGAUAUUGUGAUCUUGUAGUUGAACAUUUGAUGAUAGUGGAACUCUUGAUCGGACUCUAAAGUCCCGUGGUUUUUACCCUUGAUUUAAAGGGGUUUUCCUCGUAAAAAUACCGGUGUCUCUAUUUAUUUUUGUUGUGGUUGCAUUAGUUGAUUUGUGGUUGAUUAAGGUUGCUAGAGAACAUAUCUUGUGCUAUUGUGCUUGCCAUAAUUUUUGACAGGAGUUAUAAGGAGAGAAAGAACACCGGUUGUGCUUUCGCUUUGUUUCGGUUGUUCGGUUUCUUCUCAACAAACUGGUACCAGAGCUUGGUUAUUGUAUCAGAUAAUUAUGGAAAUUAAUACAAGCAAGAUGAUUAUGUUGAAUGGCACAAAUUAUUAACUUUGGCGGAAUAAAAUGAAGGACUUGUUGUUUGUGAAGGCUUUGCAUCUUCCGGUCUUUACUACUCAAAAACCCGAUUCGAAAAGUGAUGAAGAAUGGGAAUUUGAGCAUCAACAAGUGUGUGGCUUUAUUCGGCAAUUUGUUGAAGAAAAUGUUUACAACCACAUUGAUCAGGAGACACAUGCUCAAACAUUGUGGGAGAAGCUUGAAAGCUUGUAUGCUUCGAGGUCGGGCAAUAACAAGUUGUUUUUGCUGAAGAAAAUGAUGGCACUGAAAUAUAAAGAAGGAAUGUCUAUAGCUGACCAUGUUAGUGAAUUUCAGAAUGUGAUGAAUCAGUUGCUUGGUAUGGGUGUCAAAUUUGAUAACGAGAUUUUAGGACUUUGGUUGCUUGCUACUCUACCAGACUCUUGGGAGACCUUUCGAGUCUCACUCAUUAAUUCUACCCCACAGGGUAUUAUUACUUUGGAUUUGGCUAAGAGUGGUGUGUUGAAUGAAGAGGUUAGAAGAAGAUAUCAGGGUUCUACAUCACAGUCCGAGGUGUUGGUUAUCGAGAACAGGGGGAGAAACAGAGACAAAGAUGGAAAGGGUAGAGAUAAAAGCCGAAGCAAGUCAAGAUCGAGAUACAAGAAUCUUGAGUGUCAUCAUUGUGGGAAGAAAAGUCAUAUCAAGAAAUAUUACUUCAAGUGGAAGAAAGAGAACAAAGGUGGUGGUGAUAAACACGAUCGGAAUGACGAUGAAAAAUCCGAGCGUUUUGCUACUGUUACUCGUGAAGAUCUGUUAGUUAUUUGUGAUGAGAAUUUGGUCAACCUAGCAUGCGACGAGACUAGUUGGGUGAUUGAUACUGGUGCAUCACUUCAUGUCACGUCGAGGAAGGAAUUCUUCACAUCUUAUACUCCUAGUGAUUUUGGGGUAUUGAAGAUGGGUAAUGAUGGUUUGGUUUCGGUUAUUGGUAUGGGAGAUGUUAGCUUGGUGAGUAACAAUGGAACAAAGUUAACUCUCAAGGAUGUCAGACAUGCACCGGAUGUCCGUUUGAAUUUGAUUUCUGCAGGAAAGCUUGAUGAUGAGGGAUUCUGUAACACCUUCAGUGAAGGGCAGUGGAAGCUGACUAAAGGCUCCUUGGUUGUGGCUCGAGGAAAGAAGAGCUUAAAUUUGUACUUGAUACAAGCUUUGACUUCUCGAGAGACGGUGAAUGUGACACUGAAUGACAGCUCAACUGAGUUGUGGCAUAAACGACUCAGUCACAUGAGUGAGAAGGGGCUUAGCUGUUUAGCGAAGAAGAAUCAACUUUCGGGUUUAAAGAAUGCUACACUGAAGAAUUGUGCUCAUUAUCUAGCAGGAAAGCAGAGAAGAGUUUCAUUUAGAAGCCAUCCUCCUCAUAGGAAAUCAGAGUUGCUAGAGUUGGUCCAUUCAGAUGUUUGUGGUCCGAUAAAAGUAUGAUCACAUGGUGGUGCACUUUACUUUGUGACUUUCAUUGAUAAUUGUUCAAGAAAGCUAUGGGUUUACACUUUGAAGUCUAAAAAUCAAGUCUUUGAGGUGUUUAAACAGUUUCAAGCAUCAGUUGAAAGGGAAACUGGGAAGAAGUUGAAGUGCAUUCGUACUGAUAAUGGUGGCGAGUACACAGGGUCGUUUCAUGAGUAUUGUCUGCGACAGGGAAUCAGACAUCAGAGAACACCACCAAAGACUCCACAGUUAAAUGGGUUAGCUGAAAGAAUGAACCGAACAUUGAUUGAGAGAGUCAGAUGUUUGUUGUCAGAUGCAAAGUUACCAAGAUCGUUUUGGGCUGAAGCUUUGAAUAUAGUGACACAUGUGAUAAAUCUGUCUCCUAGUGUUCCUUUAAAAGGUGAUGUGCCAGAUAGAGUUUGGUUUGGUAAAGACGUGUCAUAUGAUCACCUACGUGUGUUCAGUUGUAAAGCAUUUGUUCAUGUUCCAAAGGAUGAAAGAUCCAAGUUGGAUGCCAAGGCUCGACAAUGCAUUUUUAUUGGUUAUGGUCUAGAUGGUGAGUUUGGUUAUAGACUCUAUGAUCCAGUUCAGAAGAAACUUGUGAGAAGCAGAGAUGUUGUCUUCAUUGAGGAUCAGACCAUUGAUGACAUUGAUAAGACGGAGAAAGUGGAUUCACAAGGUAGUGGUGACUUGAUCGAUGUGAAUCCGAUUCCCCUAGACUCCUCACCAGAUCCUAUCCAGGAUGAUGUGCAUAGUGAUGUUAGUGGUGACCAUCAGACUAUAGGUGACUUUGAUACUCCCAUGGAUGAUGUUGUGAAUGAUCAACAACAAGCACCUAUAGCUCCACCAGCAGUUCCACUUCGAAGGUCUUCCAAAGAUCGACGAUCUUCUGUCAGGUAUUCUCCUGAUGAAUAUGUUCUUUUGACUGACGGGGGAGAACCUGAAUGUUAUGAAAAGGCUAUGGAGAGUGAAUGCAAAGAUCAGUGGGUUGAAACGAUGAAAGAUGAACUUCAAUCCUUGCAUGAGAACCAUACUUUUGAAUUGGUGAAACUACCCAAGGGCAAAAGAGCUUUGAAUAAUCGGUGGGUUUACAGGUUGAAGCAAGAAGAGAAGUCUUCAUCUCCAUGAUACAAAGCUAGAUUGGUCGUCAAGGGUUAUACUCAGAAAAAGGGGGUUGAUUUUGAAGAAAUAUUUUCUCCGGUUGUGAAGAUAUCCUCUAUCAGAACUAUACUGAGUUUGGCAGCUUGUUAUGACCUAGAGGUUGAACAAAUGGAUGUAAAAAUUGCUUUUCUUCAUGGUGACUUGGAAGAAAAGCUUUACAUGGAGCAGCCAGAGGGUUUUGUUGCACAAGGGAAAGAGGACUAUGUGUGCUGAUUGAAGAAGAGCUUGUAUGGUUUGAAGCAAGCUCCAAGGCAAUGGUACAAGAAGUUUGAGUCUGUUAUGGGGGAGCAAGGCUACAAGAAGACUACUUCUGAUCAUUGUGUGUUUGUUAAGAGAUUCUCUGGUGAUGAUUUUAUUAUUCUUUUGCUCUAUGUUGAUGAUAUGCUUUGUUGGUCAGAAUGCUUCUAGAAUUGAGAAGUUGAAACAAGAGUUGAGUAAAUCCUUUGCAAUGAAGGAUUUGGGGCUAGCAAAGCAAAUUCUUGGCAUAAGACUGACACGUGAUAGAAAGGCCAAGAAAUUAUGGUUAUAACAAGAGAGGUACAUUGAGAAAGUACUUCAAAGGUUUAGUAUGGACAAAGCUAAAGCGGUGAAUACUCCCUUUGCUAUGCACUUUAGAUUGAGUGUUAAGCAUAGUCCUUCCACAGAAAAGGAGAAGGAAGAGAUGCAGAAAAUUCCUUACUCUUCAGCCGUGGGUAGUUUGAUGUACGCAAUGGUUUGCACGAGACCAGACUUGGCUUAUGCCGUUGGUACAGUUAGUCGGUUUCUUUCUAAUCCAAGCAGAGAGCAUUGGAAUGCAGUGAAGUGGAUUAUGAGAUAUCUUCGUGGCACUUCCAACAUGAAACUUUGUUUCGGCAAUGAGAAACCUGUUCUUGUUGGUAUACAGAUUCAGACAUGGCCGGAGACAUUGACUCGAGGAGAUCUACUUCAGGUUACUUAAUCACUUAUGCAGGGGGAGCUAUGGCAUGGCAAUCAAGACUGCAAAAGCGUGUUGCAUUGUCCACCACCGAAUCAGAGUUCAUUGCAGCAACCGAAGCGUGUAAGGAGAUGCUUUGGAUGAAGAAGUUUGUGCAUGAGCUUGGUUUUACUCAGGAGAAGUAUGUCCUGUACUGUGAUAGCCAGAGUGCUAUUCAUCUUGGUAAGAACUCAACUUUUCAUGCUAAAUCUAAGCAUAUUGAUGUGAGGUACCAUUGGAUACGAGAUGUUCUUGAAGCUAAGCUGUUAGAGCUUGAGAAGAUACACACUAAUGAUAAUGGUGCUGAUAUGUUGACGAAGGCCUUACCAAGAGGAAAGUUUGAAGCAUGUUGUUUGACCUCCGGCAUGGAGGCAUUCCCCACAUAGUUGGAGUGGGAGAUUUGUUAGGUGUGGGUCCCACUAUGUGGGAAACCCAUAAUUUCUGCCACAUUUUAUUGUCUCUUUUUGGUUUUGUCAAAAGCCAUUUUUGGGGGGCUUUUAACGGGUGAUGUGGGCAGAAAUUUUUGCAGAGCAAAAACAAAAAAAAAUCUCAAAUUAAAACAGAGAGAAAGAGAGAAGAAAAUUUCAGUUUUUCAAGUUUGGUGCAGCAGUGAUCAACUCUUCGAUCGAAGGUCCAUCCGUGGUUCGAUUGAGCUGAUUUUUGGACAGCAGCUAGGUGAUAAGGUGUUCUUGACUUUGUACGGUCGGAUUUUUCAUCCAAGUCUUGUAGCAUCGAAAAUACCCAUUUUUAGCAGCUGCAUUUUUGGUGAUAUUCUCUCAUUUUUCUCUCUUUUGCUAAAGAUUAUAUAUUCUUAGCCUUGUUGGAGUUGAAUGCUUGUUGUAGGCUUGAUAUUGUGAUCUUGUAGUUGAACAUUUGAUGAUAGUGGAACUCUUGAUCGGACUCUAAAGUCCCUUGGUUUUUACCCUUGAUUUAAAGGGGUUUUCCACGUAAAAAUACCGGUGUCUCUAUUUAUUUUUGUUGUGGUUGCAUUAGUUGAUUUGUGGUUGAUUAAGGUUGCUAGAGAACAUAUCUUGUGCUAUUGUGCUUGCCAUAAUUUUUGACAGGAGUUAUAAGGAGAGAAAGAACACCGGUUGUGCUUUCGCUUUGUUUCGGUGGUUUCUUCCCAACAAGCAAGCCCUUGGCACAACCACAAAGGCCUUGAAUUGAGCUAGGAAGCAAUCAGAGAUCUUGUUGUUGCAACCAUGGACCUUCAAUGUCACAACAACGAUCAAUCAAUUGGAGCAAGGUUUGGGAAACAGACAACCCGUUAUCAUGACAACGCUUUUUGUAACUACAAAAUCUAAAAUCAUUAUUAGGGACAAUCAAUAGAAGAUUGAAUAAAAAUUGCAUUAGUUUAAUAUUUCUAUUGAGGUUAUUAUUGUAAUUGAAUUAUUAAUUAGGUUUAGUAUAAAUAUCACUUCUUAAUCAGCAAAUGGGGGAUAUAAAGGAUAUCAUUUUUAGAAAAUAAACUUUAUUUUUAGUUUUUGUUGAUAAUUUUUCUAAGUUUAGUCUUUUAAAUAAAUUUCAAAUAUUUUUCUCUUUCAAUUGGCUUUUAUUGUUAUUGGGCAUCAAGACAUUUAGAAGAUCAAAUACAAUCGAAUUUCUCAAAGCAAAGGAUUUCUUGUUUUAAAGAGCAUUUCUUACACUCUUUUUAAUUUUCCUUUAAUUUAAUUAUAUUGGAUUGAAUGGAAGAUUAUUGUAUUUUUGUAUUUGCCAUGGAAAUGAACAAAAUUCUCUAUGUAAUUGGUUAUCUUGAUCGCUUGUGAUGUUAUUUUAUGUCUUUUGUUAAUUUGAAUGUAUGCUUUUUUUUUUAAAUUAAUAGUGUUAAUAACUUGAAAUUAACAACUUUGAGUAAAAAUUGAGAUAGGAUAGGCCGAGAGGAAACCCUAUCGAAUAGGUAUCGAUUUAGUUAGGCUUAUUUGAAUAAGAUCUUCUAAUAGUUAUUUGAGACCGAGAGGUGAAAGUAACUAGGUAAAGAAUCAUGUGUUUAGAUUCCUUAAGUAUAAAUCCAUCACAACUGAGAGACAGGACCAAUCACUACUUGUUGCUAAUAGUAAUUUUUACCGAUCGAAACCAUUAGAUUAAUACUUUCUAGGGUAGUUAGUAUUACUACCAUUCUUCCCUUUUAUGAAUUGUUGUACUACUUUCUGUUUUGAGUAAAUUGAUAGCCUUCUUUUAGCAUAGAAAGCAUCUAAUGCAGAAAUCAUCACAUCUCCUAUGAGUUUGAUCCUCUGGAACAUUCCCAUGUUCCAUUAUAACAAUUAUAUUAUAACUAGACUUGCAUACUUGUAGUACACUGCGCUUAAAUAUUGAUUAUAUUUUAUUUGUUACAUGUAUACUGGUGGUCAAUUUUUUAUAAUGUCCUUUAAAGCUUGCAAAUCUUAUGCAAAUCUUGUCAAAAUAAUUGAUAGAUGAGAAAACUCUGACUUAAAAUUUAAACUGGAACUUGUCUGCUUGUUACACACAACAAAAUCGUGUACAUGAUUCAAUAGUUUGAAGGGGUAUUUGGAGACAUAAAAUUAAUACUAAUUGCAAGUCACCACAAAUGAAAGUGAUAAUAUCAUACAUCAUACCAUUGUAAUUUUUCUCUAAUUAAAAUAAAUAAUUUUUUUAUAAAAAUAUCAUAUUUUUUAAAAACAUUAUUUCUAAUUAACUAAAUUAAUUAAAAAAUAAAAAAAUUAUAAAACUCAAUUUGAGAAAUCAUAUUUUAUAUGAAUUUUACUGGAAAUGUUAAAUCCAGCCUAAAAAAAUAUUUUGAAACUUGAAACUCAUUUAAGUAAGUGUUUCUAAGGGUGUAAGAACUUAAAAUUUUCUAAACAAACUCCAUGUCGAUUCUCAAAAAGUCGCUAACAAGUCUUAAUCCGCUAAAAUUUAAUUUUCAAAAAUAUGUUUCGACACAAUUAUUAAGCAAACUCAACCAAACAAAAUCAUAUUUGAAGCACCUAAUCUUAUUCUUGUGACACAGAGAGAGAAACCUUGUCUUUUAGAAAAUUGUAACUUCCAAAUAUUAAAAUAAACAUUCUUUCUUGUGUCGGAAAUUUUCUGUGUCAUUUUCCUUCAUUAAAUUUGUGUGUACAAACAAAUUAAAGUUGAGCUUCAUCGCCAAACGCAUUUAUAUAUGCAUAUGGGUUGGGAAGAUGCUAAAAACAGCCAUGAUGGUGGGCACUGAUAUCAUUAGUCAUAGCUUGCAAUCCCACAAUGAUUUUACUUUCCCCUUCGUUUUACCAUCAUGUUUGUGCUCCUCUUUGUGCGGUGCGCGUAAUGCCUCUCCUGGUUGUAAUGGACUAUGACAGAUUCAUUUGAAUCACAAUGAAUUUUAAACUUAAAAAGGAAAAAGAAACAAGUAUACCCAAAUUGGGUACUCACAAUACCCAAAUUACAGCCGUGCACAUAUAUUUUAUGACCACUAAUUAAAUCUCUGCCCUCCAACUGAGUUGAACUGCAUGUGCUCUCUACUUCACCAGGACAUUUCCAACAGGUGUGAUCUGUGAUAGAUUACUUCCAAAUAUGAAAGGUCAAAUCAGUUGUGACUUUGAAGCAUAAGAUCAAUUGUGUUUAUCCAAGAACAGAUGUCAUAUUCUACACAGCUAGCUAAUAGCACACUGAAAACUACUUAAAAACCCACAAGGGAAUCUCUAAGCUCAUUUAUAUAUUCCUUUGUCUACCUUUUUAUAAAGCUUUUAAGCCUCUUGUCCUUAUAAUCCAUUCAAAAGUUGUGCUGAUCAAGCCUUUUGACUGUGCCUGGCUGGCUACCAACAAAAUGGUUACUGCCCUGAAAAACUUGAUGGUGUUUGAAUGCCCACAGCAGCAAUGGCUGGGGACAGUCCUAUUGGUGCAUCCCUUGCCUGCCAUUUGUCCAACUCUUGUACCACUUGAGAAGAAUCCCUGCUACACACUCUAAAGUUGGAACAGUAUUGAUGUGAUGAAGCUCCAGUUGCUUUGAUUCCUAGAGUAGUGGGACUCUAGGAAAGUCGAGAUCAAUCAAACCGAUACAAGACUCCACUUACAAAAAAGAACUCCUCUAUUCAAGAAAUCAAACGUCACACAAACUCUCACAAUAUAUACCCACCAAUUGCUUCAAAGUAAUGGGAUAUUGGCAAAUGUUUUACGGCUUUUUAUAAUUCAGCCAACCCAGCUUAACCUUUUGGAGAAGAUCAGGAAAGCACUGAGGACUUUUAUAAUAAAAAUGUUACUAAUAAGGGAGAUAUGAAUUGCACCUAACUUUUACAUUUCUCUUUUCAAUGGUAAUCUUUUUCAAACUGUUGAAGCUUCACGCCCUCAAUGCAUGCCAUAAAUAAUUGCAUUUUUUUCAACCGAUGUGAACAUCAUGAUAAUUGCAUUUUCAUCUCAAGUCAACCAAUUUACUCACAAUCCAAUUCCAAAAACUGUACAUGCAUCUUAAAUAUGUUGAUCCACCAAAAGAACAUUCUGAUUUAGCUCCAUAGAUCUUCUUUUACUUCAUUUACAUGCAAAUUAAGCUUUUAAUUUACAAGACCUUUUGAAUGGCUACCCCAUCAAAAAAAAAAAAAAAAACAAGAGGGGCACUAACAAAUCUGAGAUAGGCCUCGGUCCAGGAGGGGCCCUGCCAUGAUGGUUAAUGAUAAAAUGUAAAUUAUUGAACUGCAAUGACAAGUAAUAUAUAUUAAUAAAACAAGCAAUAACCCCAAAAGUUGAUCACGGGCUUUAUGAAUUAUGAUAAUAUUUUGCCUUUAAAAGGAGACUCAAAGCAAUCCCCCGCUAAUUCCAAUUCACCUCUAAACAUGGAUGUCGAGAAAGUCUUUCAUAUGACUGGAGGAAUCGGCAAGACUAGCUAUGCGCAAAAUUCUGCUUUCCAGGUUUGGCACGUUUGUUUUUUCCUUUCUUCUAUAUCACCAUUUUCUUUCAUUUUCUUCUCUACUAACUAUGUUUCUCCUACAGAAAAAGGCAUCAGAUACGGUGAAACAUAUAACCAUGGAAACGAUACAAGAACUUUACUAUGAAGUAACUCCCAAGAGCUUAGGCAUAGCUGAUUUGGGUUGCUCUUCUGGACCCAACUCCUUGUCCCUCAUCAAAGAUAUGGUCGAAGCUGUUGAAGGAACUAGCCAUAAAAUUUUCCAUCCCAUGCCAGAAUUUCGAGUUUACCUUAAUGAUCUUCCAACAAAUGACUUCAAUUCAGUGUUCAAGUCCCUGCCUGAUUUUUAUAAGGACCUUAAGAAAGACAGAAAUCAAGAGGGUCCAUCUAUUUUCAUAGCAGGCUACCCUGGUUCAUUUUAUGGAAGACUGUUCCCAUGCAAUUGCUUGCACUUCAUCUAUUCGUCUUACAGUUUGCACUGGCUUUCCAAGGUAUAAAAUUGUCUCUGUUCCAUUGUUUUUAGAUUUGAAUCCCAUGCAAUGACAAGAAUUUCAGUUAAUGGUCACUGUUAUACAUGCAGGUUCCUCCAGCUCUUUACGAUGAGCAUGGCAAGUCCAUCAACAAAGGAAACGUUUACAUUUCUGAAUCAAGCCCUCCAAGUGUGUCCCAAGCAUACUACAAGCAGUUCCAAGAGGACUUCUCAUUGUUCCUUAAAUCACGAUCAGAAGAGCUAGUCACAGGUGGGAGAAUGGUGCUGAUUCUCUUAGGAAGAAUAGGUCAAGAUCAUGUUGACAGAGGCAAUUCUUUCUUCUGGGAAAUCCUCUCAAGAUCCCUUGCCAUAUCUGUUUCUCAGGUACUCCUUGUUUUUCAUACAUGCAUAAAUAUUUCAUUUCUUCUUGUUGACAUCUUCUCCCCCUUAUGUUUUGCAGGCAGAGAUUGAAAAGGAAAAGGUUGAUUCCUACGACGUGCAUUUUUAUGCAGCAUCAAGAAAUGAACUAGAAGAUGAAGUGAGAAGAGAAGGGUCGUUCGAAAUAGACAAGCUUGAGAUGUUUGAGAUAGAGAGGGAAGUGAAAAAUGGGGAGAGCUAUGGCACCGCAGUGGCUAUGACUGUGAGGGCUGUUCAAGAAUCCAUGCUUUGCGACCAUUUUGGAGAUGGGAUAGAUCUGGAUUCCUUGUUUAACAAUUAUGGGAAAAUGAUUGAUGAGGAAAUGGUUAAAGUAGAUAUUAAACCCAUCACUUUUGUCAUGGUUCUUAAGAAAUUAUGAAUGUCAUGCAAUUACGAGAAACACCGAUUUGCCUCAGUCUAAAUCUAAUUAGUUUUAUAAUAUUUUUUCCAUAAUUUUGUCUAUGUUGAAUAAUUUAAUAGGGGAUAAACUACCCGUUUAGUCUCUGAUUUUAGAGAUAUUUCUUAAUUUGAUCUCUAAACUUUUUUAGUCUACACUAAUUUGGAAACUUGACAACUUUUUCCAAUUUGAUCCUUGAACUUGGGAUUCUUCCAUUCAUCACUUAAAUUUUUUAUAAUUUCUUUAUUAACUUUUUACUAUUAUUUUUGGGUUUUUUAGAUUAUAUAUAAUUCUUCUAAAAAUUUUACAUGAUGGAAUGACAUAAUCUCAAAGUGUCAUAUAAUCAUACUUUAAUUAAUUCUAAAUUCAAUGAUCAGAUUAAGAAAAAUUACCAAAUUACAGAACA